rnacentral:lncRNA from 1 species
GUUUAUAUAUGUAGGCUCAGCAUAUGAUGGUUCCAAUGCCGGGCACAGAAUAGUACGAUGGUGUUCCAAAAGGGCCGGCCGUGUCUGUAUACUAUUUUGUGCUGUAAGGAUGAGGGUAACUGUGACAAUAAUCAUCUAAAUUAUUAUGUUUUCUUUUUCCUUUUGAUUUGUUCUUAAGAAGUCAAGAGAUUCGUAUUUGUAUUUGGUUUAUUGGUUUUGUGGAUUAUAUCAUGCAAGCCUUAAUAUUGAUGCAACUUAUAGUUUCUGUUUGACGCCAUAAAUUAUAUUAAAAAAUCUAUUAACAUCAUAAUUUUUCUAUAUGAAUUAAUUAUAGAUUUUGUUCUUUAAGUUGGUAAAAAAAAAAACCUUCUACUCAAAAAUAUUCAUAUGAUAAUUUUUUUUCUUCUUGUUACUCAAAUGUGGUGAAUACUAAAUUGCAGUAUUUUUUAAACCGGACCGACCCGAUAGUUGGAUCCGGUUCAACCAUGAACCGAAUAUAUAACCGGGUUGGAACUUAUAAUUGGUUCAACCAUGAACCAAUCAUGUAGCCGGAUUGGAUCUUAAAGUUAUUAAACUACUAAAACUAUCAAAAAUAUAUAAAUCAUCCAUAUAGACAUAAAACUAGUUUAUAUUUAUAAUGUUUUAUGUUUAAAAGUUAUUUAUAUUUUAGUUAUGUAUCAUAUUUAUUAACAUUACUUUUAAAUUUAUAUAUUAAAAAUAUAUUAAACCAGAUUACUGAAUCAGAUUUGAUUCGACCGUGACCCAAAAAAUUUCCGGUUGGGCUCUCGGUCCGGUUUUAAAAACACUGCUAAAUUGUAAAAGCAAGCAAGGUGCGCUACAAAGUAAAUAUUAAUACUGUAAAAGUUUACAGGAGACAUAAUUUCCAUAAAUAAUUACGAAGAAAAUCAAAGAAGGAAGUAGAAAAAUUCAAUAAUCUGUUUGAAGCUUAAAGUAGUAAAAACCGUAAUUUUCUAAAAUUGCUUUGUUAUUUGGAAACAUCCCAAAAAGGAUGAUUAUUGUUAUUUCAGUUACAGUUGUUGCGUUGUCUUCACACAUUUCCACCACUACACGAUGUAUGAUCUAACGGCCAAUAAUCAACGGACUACGGUUAUCUCAGAGACCCACUUCGGUUAAGCCUUAAACCAAACGUGCUCUCUAAAAACUCGAGACAAACCAAACGCGCCACUAUUAUUACUUUCCGUUUUUAAAACUAAUUACAGAAAAGUUAAUUAAUUAAUUAAGUAAAUAAGAAACCGCCGGUUUGCUUCGUUUCAAAUUUCGUCUCAUUUCUUCGUUGUGAGAAUCUCUCUCAAGAGCGAUUAUGGGAGAGAUCAACAACGAUGAUGACUGGAGAAACGGCCUCGACAUCUCCGGGCUUAGUCUGAUGGACGAGGACGAUAGCCUCCUCCUCCUCUUCCCCGAUCCCACCUCAGGUAAUUUGAGAUUCCAUCUUCUCUUUUUUUUUUACCCAUUAUCUGCAAAAGUUUGGAACUUUUUGAUCUGGGUCGUGAUUUCUCGAUGUGGGUUUGUAGAAUUGAUGAUGAUGAUGAUGUGUUUAGGUACUGAUAAGGAAGGUCUUGAUUGGUUUGGGGAAGAUGAAUUGAGUGAGGUGAUGAAGUAUAACCUGAGGAAGAGUCUUGCUUGGGACAAAGCCUUUUUCACCAAUGCAGGCAAGUUUUUUUUUUUUUUUUACUUGUGUGGAUUUGAUGAGAGAUGUUGUUGAAAUUUAGGUGUUCUGGAGCCUGAUGAACUGUGUCAUAUGAUUGAAAGCAAUCAUGUGGGUGAGAAGAAAGCUUUGGCGACUAUUCAAGAGGAUGUGAAGAGAUCAACGGAGUCUACAUCCACGUUGAAGAGUGACUGCACUUUGGAGACGAGUGAGGAACUGGGAGAAAGAGAUGAUGAUGCAGUACAUAGCCCAAGUAAGGUUUUUUUUAAUUUACUAUUGGUUGAGUUAACAUGAACUAGCUUUGCAUUUUGAAGUAGACAUAUAAGGUUACAACAUUGGUAUCGUUAUUUUCUCUUGUUUUGGUGUACAAAGAUGUUUAUUUCUAGUCUUUGUGGCUACUAAUACUUUUUUUUUUAUCAUCUGUGAAACUCUAACCAACUUAUACAUUUCUCAUUUGAAAUUUGCAGCUCCAAGUACACUAGACGACCGUGACUCUAACGAAAAGGUAUGUGUCCCAAUAACAACUUUAGGCUGUGAUUUGAUCUUUCACUCCCUCCCUCAUGAAACAUCAUAUGUUGUUUCUCAGGUGAAACCCAAUGGUAUUCGUAAAAGGCCAAGUAUUAGGGCACAAGGACUAGGGAAGGUGACAAAGCAGGUAUACUGACGACUCUCUCUAUUAUGUUAAAGCACAAACUGAAUGUCUUGUCUUCUAUGAUCACUUCACAUUAUAAAGAUUCCUUUUUGGCCUAUUUUGUUGGUUUAUGAUACAUUUUCUACAGGCAAAAGAGCACAAUACAUCAUCCAUUUCUAGGCCAUCCACUGGACUCAGCAGAAGUGUAAGAGCUUCGGUAGAUGUCAACAAAACCAAACAAGGUGAAUCGUCUGUGGCUCCCAGAGUUGCAAUUUCAAGGAGGAUUCGACCCACUGUAUCGAAACCUGGACCGCCUUCCAAAUCUGCUUUUAGGUCCUCCAAGAAUGAAUUGACAUCUUCCUGCUCUUCACUUGAGAGCUGUAUCAGUGCUUCCUCAAGCGCCUGUAAAAAAUCUCCGCUAGAGUCGGCAAACCAGAAGAAAUCUCAGAGUUCAAGAACAGCUUUCCAUUCUAUGGCGAACGGAUCCACAUCCAGAGCUGCGUCUAGAGUUUCACCCCUCUCAGCUACUAGCACAUUCAAGUCCAGGCUUUCCUCUAAUAAUGCAGCUUUUCUUAGUGCUUCUGUCGACUGGUCUUUUAACUCGCCGAGAGCUCCUACACCUAAUAAAAUGGCUAAAGGUAAGAAGAAAACUGUAUCUGCUGUCCAACAUGACCCUAUGCCGGAUCAACAUGGUUCCAUGACGAAACCAACAGGACUCCGUGUGCCAUCACCAAAACUAGGCUACUUUGAUGGAGUAAGGUUCCCAAAAUUUGCAAAGCAUAUCUUUUGCAUAAGAACUCGGCUCCUUAACUUGUUUUGUUUAUUGAUGCUGCUAACAGGAGAGGAGCAGCGUAGCAAGAACACCCACAGGAUCCUGUACUGGUGGCUCAGCAAAACAUGGAGCUCGUAGUCUGAAUGAACCAACAGCUUCUAGUAGGACCAAGUCUCGUCUUGUACAAGAAUCCACAAAUUCUAAAGCAAAGGCCAGGCCUGUUUCAAGGAGUUCCAGGCUGAUUGUGUCAGCUUCUGCGUCUUCACCAAAGGUUACCAGCAAAACCUAUUCAAAGGUCAGUGCAGAGGAACGACUCAACCGCGAUGCGGUGGAAGAUAAUCUAGCACAGUGAUGAAAGCCAAGUCACCUGCAACCUUAUUAUAUUAUCAUCUAAGGCUGGCUAUUAGGUUAAAGACCAGAUCGACAAGUGCAGUGUCAUGUGUAUAGCUUUGAUUUGCACUUUCUGUCUCUGGUUCAUAAACAUAGCUUUAUUAUAAUUAUAUUAUGUUGUUGUUCUCUAAGUAUGUUUUUGAACCGGAAACAACAAAGUUCAGCUUUCAUAAAUGUUGAUCAGAGUUUCAGAUUAGUCUACUGAAAUGAAGCAAAAGCAGUUUGGUCUUGCUUCAGUUAUCACUCUUGACUUUUCUUGAGUAACACACCAAACUUCUUUAGCAUGCUCACAUUCUUCUUCUUCUUCUUUGGUGAAGAAGACAAAUCAUCAUCAGUUUCAUCUGUAUCAGCUCCAUCAGAUCAUAUUCUAGCUUCUUGAGUUCGUCAGUAACCUCAGGCUCUCAUUGGUUCAAGCUGUUUCCAAGUUUACUUCUUUUCUGCUUCUUUGAUUUUCAAGUUUAGUAACUCAUUUUCAACCGCCAGUAUCCUCAGCUUAGCUCGUUCAUUGCAAAGCGUCUCAUUUCACCUUUGGUUUUCUUCACUUCCCUUUUUGGUAUAAUCUUUGAAGUACAAAGCUUAAGCAAAGUAUACAGGAAAGAAAACACACAGCCCUAACAAACUAAACCAAUACAUUAGCUCAAAGAGACUCCAUUUGAAACUAACUACCAUCUACCACCAAACCAAAGGCAACAAGACAAACAUAAAAACAAACAUUUGUUCACAGUCAACCUAAUCACAAAGAUGCACUACAAAAAAUUGUCCACACACAAUAAAAUAGCUUGUUGAAUAUAAAAAAAUAUUAACACAUUUGUUAAUAAUGCUUUUAACUAAUGUUUACCAUAGACUUUAAUUGUAGAAAAUUUAAUUUUUUAUAGAUCUGUAAGUAAUAUAUAUUUAUUUUACUAUAUAUUACUUUUUAUUUUAAAUUUUAGCUAUUAAUAUAUACAUUACGUAAAUUCAAACACUUACCAUAGUGUUAAAAUAUAUUUACAUUUAAAAUAUAUUUACAACUCUCCCAAGCAUUUGUUUAGUUUUUUUUAAUAAUAAGUACCUACAAUAAUGUUUUGUUCUGUUAAUAAUAUUUUUCAUUCUAUUAAUUUUAAAAGCAAUAAAAAAAACAAAAACCAAAAUCUAAAACAACCAUUCAUGUUUUUCAAAAAAUUAAAAUCUACUGCAAAUAAAAAACCAUAAACUAAAAAGCCAAUAUCUAAAAUCCAAAAACCAAAAUCCCAAACCAAAAACUAAAAACCAUUUAAACAAUCAUCGUCUUACCUAAAGCGGAGAGAUAGAGACUUGUUUCAACUCAACCUAUUGCAUCAAUUUUUUCCUGAAAAUACGAUUAAAUAAGAUUAACAUAGUAUGAUUACCAUAAAAAUAAGUUUCAUAUAUAAAAUAUUGUUACUACAAUUUUUCUUUACCAUUGAUUCAGUAACUCUUUUACAAGCCAUAUUAUUUUCAAAUCAAAAUUUUGGUCUUUGACGUGAUAGUGAAAUAUGAAUUUGAAAAUCCCAAAAUAGUAUAAAUACAUAAAAUCAAGUUAGAAACUAUAUAUUUAUAUCUCUGAGUAUUCAUUGGUUUGGUUGAAUCUAUAUCAUUUUUCUGAAAAUACGAUUAAAUAAGAUUAACAAAGUAUGAUUACCAUAAAAAUAAGUUUCAUAUAUAAAAGAUUGUUACUACAAUUUUUCUUUACCAUUGAUUCAGUAACUCUUUUACCAGCCAUAUUAUUUUCAAAUCAAAAUUUUGGUCUUUGACGUGACGAACUAUGCAUUUGAAAAUCCCAAAAUAGUACAAUAGAUAAAAUCAAGUUAAAACUAUAUUUAUAUUAAUAUGAUUGAUCUCGAGUAUUCAUUGGUUUGGUUGAAUUUGCUAUUAUUUUUUCUCCUAAUUUAAGAGCGCGAAAGGGUAUAUUUAGAUUAUAUUUUUAAUAUUUAUUACGAUUGUUAGAGAAACAUAUAUAUUUGACAAAAUCAGAACAAUAGAUUUCUACAAGUGAAAAGGAAAAAGAAAAUUCUAUCAAAUUUUUAUAUUGAAUCAUGAGACCUGUUACUUUGUUCAUGUUUUCUUUGAUCUUGAUAUUACUUGUUUGGACUUGCGUUAAAGGUAAUAUAUCAACAUUAUUUUAGUCGCAUAUUGGUUACAUAAAUACUCUAUGAUAGCCCUAAUUUUCUUUGUCACAAAAAUAUAGCCUAUAAAGAUCAAAAAUUUUCAUUAAUAAAUAGGUAAAUAUACAGUUAUACUCAUAUGGUUAAUUAAUCUUGACCCUAGAGUUUAAAAUUAAGGGGUGAAGUUUUGAAUUGAGAUUUAAAAUUCUAUAAAAUAAAAAAAUAUAUAUACUGAAAUUGAAAAUUAUUUUUUAAAAAUAGUUUCAAAAAGAAAAUUUGAAAAAAAAUCGAAGCUAUAAAAAAUCAAAUUUGAAAACAUGUAAUUCGAAACUAUAUAAAAAAGUUUCUUUAUUUUUUUAUUUUAUGUAUUUAUAUAUUUAGGGUAUAAGUGUCUUUUAGCUAUUAAAUCAAACAUUUCGGUCAUUUUCCUUUUCAAAGACUUUUUUAGGAAUUUGUUUUUGAAAAUGAUGUAUUUUGGAGAAUUGCGCUAUUGGUUAUUCUCCAGAAUAAGAAAAAAAUAUUUGGAUACUGUCAAAGGUGAAAAAUAUUGAUGUGGUUGAUGGUGAUAACGGUUAAAUGACGUAUACUCCUCUUUUAAAAUGCAAGUAUCAAUUUAAAACAUCAUCUUCAAAAAUCAAACGUAUCCUCCUCUUGUUCAUGGUUCAAUUUGUGUUUGAUUUCGAUUUAAUUUCUACUUGAUAAAAAUGUUUCACAUUGUGCUAUUUGGUUUUGUUUUAGUAUAAAUCAGUUUAGUUUGGCUAUUCAUUUGAGCAUGAAGAUUCUUUUCCAAUGUUGCCAAUUGGUUGUUUGUCUAUACUGUUGAAUAAUGUAUCUCUUUGUUAUUGUUGAUACAAACUUGUAUUAGACGCGGAGGCUCAGAAAAAGAGGUGUACAUUUUCAGAACUUACGGCUUACAGUGGAACACUUUGUGGCAAAACCGGUGUCUCUGAUUAUUGCAUUAUGAAAUCAAAACGAGUACCCAAACCUUUUAGAUGUUUCUGCGGAAAUAGUCUGGAUUAUAGCAUGGUAACCGGCAAAACAGUUUCCGAAUUCCUUCGCACUUCUAAAAAAUAUCAUCACUGCGAGUGUACUUAUUUUUGUAAGUCUUAAUUACGUCUCCACUGCUAAAAUAUAUGUAAACAUUUCUCUGUUACGGUAGAAGUAGGUGGACAGUCCGCAGGCUUUUACAAGCUUAAACAUUAUUCUCAUUUUGACGUUUAUAUUGCUAUGAUUUCUCCUGAUUAAGUUAUUAUAAUGUUAAUAUAUGAUAUCAUACACAUAUGUACUCAAUCUAUCAUUCUUCAUGUUUAUUUGCUCAAUCUCUCUCUCCAAACAAUAUUCAUGACGCAUCAUAUUAUUUUUAAAUCAUGUAUGUGCCUUAGUACAUUAUUAACUAAUCUGAUAUAUAACAAAGAUAGAGUGAUAUUUAACAAAUCAUGUAUGGAAGGAAGAAUGUGAUUUAAAAAUUAGGUUAAAAGUAAGUGUUCACGUAUCAAUAUAGAUAUUCAUUUGAUAUUUUAAUAUCAUUGACGUAUAUUCCUUUUUUGUUAUUAAGUAAACUAAAGUUCCUUUAUAUCAAUAUAUGGAUUACUAUAAUAUCAUUGACGUGGAUUCCUUUUUUCAUAAACGUUUUGAUUUUUCCUCCAAGAACACUUAACAACAUAUACAUCAACUAAUGCACGUUGUGCAUUUAAUACUCAGUUCAUUUAAUUUCCAAGAAAAUACUAACGAAAGCGUCUUUGUCUAUUUUUAAUUCGUUCCUUAACGCGUACGGAACGCGGCCCAAUAAAAUAAUUACUUUAAUUAUAUUUUAAGUCUCUGCUUCUCUACCUUCUUUCCUCUUUGUAAGAUCAAAGAGAGAGAGAGAGAGAGAGCGUUUGUUGAGAAGAUCUUAGAAGGUGAAUAUCAAUCAGAACAUGGCGAAAGAAGACAACCACGAAGCUCAACGAUGCGAGUGCGAGGAUCAUGAGGAAUCGAGUCCUCUCUUGCAAGUGAACGAAAGCAACAUCUGCUCAAAAGGGGACACCACCAAGACGGCGGAGGAAUACGGCUGGACGGCGGAUGGAUUGCCGGUGAGCCAAGGGAGCGUGAUCGGCGAGCCGAUCGGGAGAAACCAAUGGAGUUCCGGUCUUUUUUCCUGUCUCGGCCGAAACGACGAGUUCUGCAGCAGCGAUCUCGAAGUUUGUGAGUCUUUAUGUUCUGUCUCAAUGAUUAGUGUCUGAAAUUUGGGAUUUUUUUGUUAAUGGGUUACUUGAUUUGGUGGAGGAUGAAUUGUAAAGUUUUGAUUUUGAUGUGUUUCACUGUUGGUGAGUCUUGCUUGUGUUCUGUCUGACUGUCUCAAUGGUUAUUGUCGGAAAUUUUGGUUUUUUUUUUUAUUUGGUAGAGAUUGAAUUGGAAAGUUCUGAUUUUGAUGUGUUUCAUGGUUUGUGAGUCUUGUGUUCUGUCUCAAAUGAUUAUUGUCGGAAAUUUGAGGUUUUCCGUAAUGGGUUUCUUGAUUUGGUAGAGAUUGUAUUAGAAAGUUCUGAUUUUGAUGUGUUUCACGGUUGGUGAGUCUUGUGUUCUGUCUCAAAUGAUUAUUGUCGGAAAUUUGAGGUUUUCCGUAAUGGGUUUCUUGAUUUGGUAGAGAUUGUAUUAGAAAGUUCUGAUUUUGAUGUGUUUCACGGUUGGUGAGUCUUGUGUUCUGUCUCAAAUGAUUAUUGUCGGAAAUUUGAGAUUUUCCUUAAUGGGUUUCUUGAUUUUGUGGAGAUUGAAUUGGAAAGUUCUGAUUUUGAUGUGUUUCACGGUUGGUGAGUCUUGUGUUCUGUCUCAAAUGAUUAUUGUCGGAAAUUUGAGGUUUUCCCUAAUGGGUUUCUUGAUUUGGUAGAGAUUGAAUUGGAAAGUUCUGAUUUUGAUGUGGUUCAUGGUUGGUGAGGUUGGUGAAAGACUCAAAUCGUUUACAUCUUAAUGGCUUCUUCUUUGUUAGGUCUCCUUGGAAGUGUGGCUCCAUGUGUGUUGUAUGGAAGCAAUGCAGAGAGGCUUGGGUCUGCUCCUGGAACGUUUUCGAAUCACUGCUUGACGUAUUUAGGGUUGUACUUUGUUGGCAACUCUCUGUUUGGAUGGAACUGCCUUGCUCCAUGGUUCUCUUAUUCUAGCCGCUCUGCCAUUCGCCGAAGGUUUAACCUUGAGGUAAUGAUCGAAUUAUCUGAUAUUUAAUCCGGAAAAAAACUGUUUUUAUAUCUGAAUUAUCCAAAAUUAUCUGAGAAACAGGAACCGAAUAUUAGUUAGUUCUUAACAUUGUUGCCCGAACCAAAAACCGAAAUAACCAAAACCGAACCAAAUUUCAAAUAAUCAAACGGUUCCUAUAUCUUUAGAACCGAAAAUCGAAAAAAAAAAUGAACUGGAAGUGAACGCCAAGCCUAGUUGUACUCUAAGAUAAGAAAAGAGUCAAUCAACUCCUCUCUUUAUAUAUCUUCUUGGUUGUGUACCACUCUCUGAGUUUUAUAGGAGCCAUGGAGAGACAAGUCUUGUCUCAUAGGCACUCUAGUGUCUCUAGUUUUAGGCAUGUGUAUUACGAGAGUCUCCGUUGCAUUCCAUCUCGUGACCCUAUCUUUUGUUUUCUUUUGGUGUAAAAAACAGGGAAGCUUUGAGGCGAUGAACAGGUCGUGUGGUUGCUGCGGUAGCUGCAUAGAGGAUGAGAUGCAAAGGGAACAUAUGGAGACGACUUGUGACUUUGUGACGCAUGUCCUUUGCCAUACAUGUGCACUUUGCCAAGAAGGCCGUGAGAUCCGCAGGAAGGUUCUUCACCCGGGUUUCAAUGCUCAGUCCACUGUGGUUGUGCUUCCACCAAGUGAACAAACCAUGGGACGUAAGUAAGUGAAAAGCUUGCGUUGAGUCAUGUGUCCUAAAUAACAUUUGUACACACACAGGUGAACUAUGAUGUUGUCUCUUGCUUGCUUUUGUCGCGUGUUCUUUUCAUUUUUUUUUUGGUCGUUCUUCAAUGCAUGCAAUGAUGCAAACAUAUGUAUAUCUUUAUUGUUACGUGCUUGGUUUUGGAUAUGGUCUUGUAAUAUUCAAUAAAGUUUCGCAACUUGUAACUCUAUAAACGUGGAGGCAUACCCUUUCCGGCGGAACCUUCAUUGCUCAUAGCUCCAAACCAAAGUCUGUGAGAUCAGAUGUGGUAAAGAACGGUUCGGAGAUUCUAAUGAAAUGAAGAGAUCUGUUUUUGGACCGGAGAGAUUAAGACGAGUGAUUGAUUACAUCUUCUCUAUUAAAAUAGAAUUACCAUUUUUAUCUAUUAUUUAGAAGUUUACUAUGACCAUUUUAUUAAUCACAUAAUAUGAUUGUUGUCCAAAAAAAAAAAUCACAUAAUAUGACAUAAUAAUUAAUAAAAAUAUUAAUAAUAAAUUAAUUUUAACUAUAGAUUUGAAUUUUAUUUUCAGUUAUAAUAAAAUUUGUUGAGAACAUGUGAUAUGAUUUCUUUAGAUUUGGUUUUAAUAUACAUUUUGUGAUAAAAGGGUCAAGAUCUAUAGCUUAAUACUAUAAUUAAUGUUAAUUAGUACAUUUGACAUUUUCUUAUAGAAAUGAUUAAAUAGGUCUAUUGAUUAGACGCCAAACAAGACUGGCCAAAUUAAUCGCUGAUAAUUCAAAAGAAACCAGACGAAUUAUCAAAAGAUCUUCUAAUAAUGAAAGGAUUUGUACAAAGAGUCAAAAGGAGACACAUGGAUAAGUGCCCAACUCGUCUGGCAUGGCACCUCACUACUAAGCAAUCACGAUUCGGCUUGUGGAGUCAACGAGCUUAUGACAUUAGCUAGUUAAUUUCCCCCAAGUUGACAUCUACUUAUUAAACACAAUUUAUUUAUGUCUUUUUAUACAAUUCUAGAUCUCAUCAUAUAUUUUUGAUAUGCGAUUUCUAGUUGUUUAUUGUAGACGACUGAUCUUUGUUUUCUCUUACUCUCUAAUCUGAAUCUCAUUGCAUGGUCGGCAACAUUUUUUACUUGGAUCAUUUUACCAUCAAUAAUCGAAUUAUGAUAUCAUGUUAAUAAGUUUUAAAAAAUUUAAUGUAUAAUUUAACUUAUGUCCCUUAUACACUACCUGUUAUUCCAUCACAUUUUUGAUUUUGAAUUUGUAAGAAGUUUAUAUUUGUGUAUCAUAUAUAAGUUUAUGGUCUUGAAUCUAAUAGUUUUUGGUACUGUUAGUACUAAAAUCAUUGACGAAUGUACCAAAAAAUGUGACAAGAUAUAUAAAAGUCCCAUCAAAUAAAUUUGGAUUGGUAGUUGUUUCGAAGUCACUCCCUAAUGUACCAAGAACAUAUCUUAAUCCAUCCCAGUUUUUGUAUCUCUUCUUAUUGACUCCAAACCAUUAACACACACACGCACAUACAUACAUAUGAUAUAUGAUAUAUAUGGUUAUUAUCUUUCAUAGCAAACAUAAUCAGUUAGUUCACAUAACGACAAUCCUUCCUAAUCUCUCCUUGGUCACCGGUGAGAGGAUUGGUCUCGGACAAGAGCCUGAUAGCGCGUGAAAAUUGCUCAUGGAAGUAACCAUUGUCCGCAGCCAUCUUCGCCACAAAGGGUGCGGUCCUCGGAUCCGUGGCUAUCUCAUCAUCGAUGACAAGGAGUCCUUUAUGAGCCAUGAUGUUUUUGUAAUACAUAUUGUCCACAACCAUCGGUGUCUCAGGGUCGUUGCGGGAGUAUAAGACCUCUUUUGGGUUCGGAUUUGGAGUAGGGCAACGUUUUUUCAAGUAAAGGGCGUACGUAGGGUCGAGAGUCGGGUCAAUCGUUGGGUAUAGCCGGUGCACUAGGUUAACGCAGUGGACUCUACCCACUGAGUGUGCACCUACGGUAAUAAAAAUUGACCGAUCAAUAACAAUGACAGUUAUAUAUCUUUAUUAUCUUAACUAGUAAAUAAACUUUCCAAAAAAAAAAUAUUAUAUGUAUUAUUUAAGUAUAUGGUUGAUAAAACUAUUUUAUUUUGAUUUUAUCAGAAAAUGAACCAAAAAUACCCAAAUUAUCUUCUAUUGAACCACCGGACCGUAUAAAAUUUGGUUUAAUUAACGGUGUAAAACGCACAUCUAUCCUAAAAUCUUGAACAAAUUCAAAAACCAAAAUGUCCAUCCUGGUUAGUGUUACCGUGCUGGCUCAAAUCUAUUGACCUAUGCAUUUAAAAGAUAGUUUCUACUCAGAUUUAUAACUCAGGUACCUAAGAGAGCAACGGUGGCUUCAACAUCGAUGCGGAUGGAGUUAAAGUUUGAGAGAACAGACGAGAGAGAGUCAUUGUGGUUAGGAACUAGAGCCUCAACAUCUCUCAAGUAGCUCCCUCUACUGUCUCUCCUUCCUGUCUUUAUCAUAUCUAUCUUUGGCCCUUUCAACUAUUCAUUUCACCAACCAAAAAAAAAACAUCUUAAUAAAAAUAUAAUUCCAAACUAAUUAAAUUAACCUUACAAUGCAUAUACUUACCAUGACAAUACCAUCUCUAGCAGAGAGAGCAACAAUAUCAGCGCAAGAGACUGUUCCAGGACAUUCUUUCUCGAGUGCAUCUUUGAUAGUCUUGAUAUACUUAAAGUUUCUCAUACCAAAACUCCUUGUUGACUUUUGCUCUGAUUCCACACCUCUUGCUGUCUCUAGUAGCAGUGACGCAUCACACGACUACAAAAAAAAAUACCCAUGAACAUAAAUAUUCACGAUGACUUUUUGGUAAUCAUGUUUUUAAAAAAUAUUCACGAUGAUGAUGAUGCCAUGUGAUUAUAGAGUAAAUGUAAUUACCUUGACGACGCAGUCAUGGAAGAGAUUACGGAGCCAAGAUACGGCUGUGUUGCCGUGUUUGUAGUACAGCGUCUCCACUUGUUGUCUGAUUAUCUCUUCCGCUCUCGGACAACUCUCUCUGUAAUAAUUCAUCUUCAGUUCCGCAUUUCCUACAGUUUAGUUAAUCUUUAGAUUCGAUUUAAAAAAAAGUUAAUCUUUAGAUUAUUCGCUUUAUUUACGUAUGAGUGAUUACUAGCCAUUUUAUAAUAUAAUAUUUGUUGAAUUUUUACGGUGGAAAUUAGUUUACUAAAAAAAACCGUAGUUAUUUUGGUUUCAGCUAGCAAAAAUUAGAAAUAUAUUCUCGAGACAUGGAUACACGUGGCAUAAUGUGAUAAGAGAAAAGGGAAUAUAAAUUACCGAUAUGAAAGAUGGAAAAUAACUGUAAUAACAGGCAAAAGAAAGCCAAAAAGCAGAAGGGCAUCUUCACAAUGGCCAUCUUUUUCUCUCCUAUCUUUUUGUACUUUGUUGAUUGGUGUGUCUCUUUAUGUGUCCAAUGUAGGGUUAUAUAGAGAUUCAAGAGACUUGAGAAACUCUCUUUAAUCGUGUAAUACUAUAUAAUUAAGUAUUUUUAUUUCUUAUAGUCAUAGUGGUUGCCCAUGUUAAUUAUUCUUUUUUGAAAUUAUCAGGGGAUUUCUUAUUCUAGACGAAUAUUAAUAUUGAAGUUUGUAACCACUAGCUAUAUAUCUGAACUCAAUAGUUGUUGAACAUGUGAAUUCAGUGAGACGAGUUUUCCUAUUCUAUCCGAUGAUAAUACAAAAUUAAAUUAGUUCGGCUUUUCACUUCUUUUCACUUUUAAUUAGCCUUCCUCAUACAUGUUUCAUGUUCACAAGAUACAAAAGGAGGAGAUCUGUAAUAUAAAUUACGCUCUAACUUGUAACUAAUUGAUUGGAUUGGAUUCGAAUAAAUAAAAUCAAAAUGUAAAUGCUUGCGAUGAAUAUGUAUAUUACACAUCAACUUCAAGAUGACCGACUCAAUUAACUCCCAAUCAUGCUAAUCUAUAGGUAUUCAAUAUAUAGCAUACAAUAUUAAAUACGGUUUCACUUAUAUGAGUUCAUUCACUAAUAUAUGAGUAAAUUAUUAUUACCCGACUGCUGCAUAAAUUUUAUACCACCGAUUUAGUUUAUAGAUUCUAACAGACCUACUGACAUGUUAUAUUAUUCCAUUUGAAAUAUCGUUACCAGUCUGGAUUCUUUGGCUGACUUAAAAAAAAUAUUUUGCUUCAAUUGUGUAACAAAUGUAGAAGGAUAUUAUAGACUAGUCAUAAAUAUGUAUAUAUGCAUGGCCCAUUGUUAUACAUUUUGGGAAAAUUAUUGAAUAUAUAUUAUAUAAAAUCAUCUGAUGGUAGCCACAAUUUUUUUGUUUAAAUUAUCUGUAACAUGAUUACCGUGUAUAGCGGGUUUGCGUCAUUUCGGACAUGCGCUUGAUGCAAAAUCAAUACGACUGUGGAUGUUAAAAUGGAUAUAUUGACUUCACUAAAUGUUAAUAUCAUCAUCAGCCACUUAUCCUUCGGCCACUUAGUCACUUGUGAUAUUUUUAACACAACACAUUGGGUGAAUUCGUAUUAUACGCAUUUAAUGUGGCACCAAGAGUUAAUUCAGACCCAUUCAUAGCUAAGCAGUUUAUAAUAGGUUGCCGCUAUUUCAACGUAUCAUUCAUCAAAAUUUGAUGUAUCUAUUUUAGUAGAAAACGAAAGAUGUUUCAUUUUAUUUGGUGUAAUAAAUCUUUAAUGCUCUUGAAUACUGCUUAAUACCGUCAGAACUCAGAACAUUAACUUUAGUUUUAAAUUAUAAUGCAAUUACUAAAACACUGCAAAUUUAUUUCAUUAUACAAUAUACAAAAAAUGAUCAUGUAUACUCUCUCUCUUUUCACAAUGAUAAAUUCCCAUUUUUGUUUUUAAAGAAUUUUAAGGUUUUAAUACAUAUUCCCUCAGUUUCGUAAAGAAUGCCACUUUGACAUUUUCACACAAAUUAAAAAAAUGAUUAAAAUACAUUAAAGUUCUUAUUAGUUACACUUAAUAUGAAACAGAAAGAGUAUUUAUUAGUACUUGUUACAAAUUGCAUAUAUCAAAAUAUUUAUGGGACAUUUGCUAAAACCAACCCAAAUAUUCAAGUCAAAUGUAAAAGUGUACCCCACUUUCAGUCAAAUGCAAAACCAACCUAAAGGAGUAGUAAAAGUACUAUUUCACCCUUAUGACCAAACAAAAAACAUAAAUGUAUUUUACGUUUCUAUCCUUUGGAAGUCUACACGUAAUAAAAGAAGUCUACAUAUAUAUAGACUUCCUACGAAGUCUACUUUAUAGACUUGUUUUGUAGUCUACACUCUAAUUUGGUCUACUAAUUUAAUUUUGAAAAUGUAUAAAAAUAAUUAUUGUGAUAUUUUUAAUUAAUCAUCAAUAUAAUGGAAAAUAUGAAGUAAAUAAAUUAAAAUUUCAUAUAAUCGAACAAUUUUGAAGAAUAUAUACUAAUUUGGUUAUCAUGUGCUAGACUAUGUUCAUAGUUUAGAAACAAAAGGUUCUAACAUGUUAUGUCUUUUAGUAGUUGAUUUCAUAGGGUUAGAUUUUAGAUUUUGUUUUUUUUUUUGUUUUAUUAACUUAAAUCUGCAUAUUAAUGUUUAGUAGUUUAUAUUUUGUAUAAAUGAGACUUUCUGAUUAUCAAGCAAAACAUUUAGGGUUUGAUAUUUGUGGUUUAGGGUUUCGUAGACCUACAAUAAAGUCUAUUUAUCUGAAGACGUCUUUUUCAGUCUAUAUUUUUCAAUUUGUUUUACAAAAAAUCAUUAUAUUUAAACUAAGUUAAGUUCCUUAAGAAUAAAAAAGUGAAAUCAUAUACUAUAACUAUUAAAAAAUAAAGAAAUAAAUUUAAUAAAUCAUAUAUUAAAAUUAUUAAAAUAAUAAAGAAUAAACAACAAUAAUUAAAUUAUUAUAGUAGACUUCCAAAAAGGUCUACUAUGUUAUAGUAAGAUCUACUCCAAAAUUUUAAUUUUAGUAGACUUCAAACGAAGUCUACAGUAUCGUAAAUUUUAACCUAGUUACAUUUUUGUCUCCCUAUAUAAACAAAAUUUAUUCAAUUUCUCUCUAAAGUGGCUGCACAAGUUCUUAAAACUCUCUCCCUUCUCUCUAAAACUUUCUCUCUUCUCUCUAAAAUUCUCUCAAUUGUUUCUAAAUCUCUCUCAUUAUCUUCUUUCUAUCUAAAAUUUUCUCAAGUCUUUCUCACAAUAUUAUCUUGUCAUUUUAGAUAUUAUGAUUCAUGGUUUUCAUCUUCUCCUUUAAAAAAUGUAAGUUUUAGAUCUAUAGAUUUUAAAUGUGUAUUUUAUGUUUAUUUCUCACAAUAUUAUCUUUUUUUGGUAGGUAUUAUCACUCAUGGAUUUCAUCAUCUCCUCUAAAAAUGUAAGUUUUAGAUUAAUAGAUUUUAAAUAUGUAUUUACAUGUUUAUAUUCAAAUAAAUUUAUAGAUCAAGCUCUAUACAUUAAUUUGCUACUAGUUUACCUUAUAAAUUAUAUUAUGUAAAGUAUUUUCAGAUUUAAAAUUAUUUUCACAUUUCAAAAUAUAUAGAUUUUUUCAGAUCUGAAAAUUAUCAGACAGUGUAGACUUCUAAAGAAGUUUACUAAAGCUUGCAGACUUCAUAUGAAGUUUACUAAACCAUAAAGUUUAAGCAGACUUCAUUGGAAGUCUACAAAAAUAUGACUUUAAUUUUUUUCUAUGUUUUUUAAUAAUUUUAUCUUAUUUUGCAGGUAUUUUCUUCCAUAGUUAUUCUCUUCUCCUCCUAGAAAUGUAAGGUUUACAUCUAUAGAUUUAAAAUAUGUGUUCUAGUAUUUAUAUUCAAAUAAAGUUACAUAUUAAAAUUCAUAUUAAUAUGUCUUUAAUUUAUAACUAUUUUGUCAAUUAAAUCAUAUUUUUAAAAGUUUUUUAGAUUUAAACUUAUUUCAUAUUUUUAAUGUAUUAUUUUUCAGAUCUAUUUUUUUGAUAGAGUAGACUUCAUUUGAAAUCUACUUAAAACUUACGGCUGGUAGACUUCAAAUGAAGUCUACUAGCCUUGAAUUUUAAGCAAAUUUCAUUAGAAGUUUACUCAAAUAUGAUUUUAAUUUUUAUCUUAUUUUUUAAAAUUUUAUUUUAUUUUGCAGGUAUUCUCUUCCAAUAUUUUCAAAUCAUCUUCCCAAAAAUGUAAGCUUUCCAUAUAUUCAUUAUAAGAUAUUUUGUGUUUAUAAUGAACUAAAUUUAUAGAUUCAUACAUUAUCUUUUUGCUUUGUUACAAGGAUGACAAAAAACCAUUUUUGAAAUAUUUUCCAGAACAAAGUAUUUUCAAAUUUUCUAAAUGCACACUUUUAAAUAUGAAAAUUUUCCAUUAGUGUAGACUUCAACUAAAGUCUACUAAACAAUAACUUUACGUAGACUUAAUAAAAAGUCUACUAAAAUAUGAUUUUAUUUUUUAUCUUAUGUUUUUCUCAUAACUCUAUCUUAUUUGGCAGGUACUUUUUCCAAGACUUUAUUUGAAGCAUCAAGAUUAUGAAAAAUCAAACAUACUCAAGAAUACUUUUUAAUAUAUUGCUCUGUAAUAACUUUCAUAAUAAAAUAUUAAUUUUUAAAUAAUUUUUUAAUGCAUAAUCUAUAAACAUUGUAUUCAUUUUUAGUUGUUUUCACUUGUAUGAUAUUAUUAAUUUUUUGUUAGAUAUCAAUUUUUUCACAAGAUCUAACCAACCAAACAAGUAAAACCACCAUAAGCUAAAAUAAUAACUAACACACAUGUGAGAAGAAGAAAAUCUAUACAAAAUUUUCCCAAAAAUUUUCAAGAAUAAUACUAAUCAAAACAAUUUGCAAUAAGUAUCAAGUGUAUAAUUAUAACACAUUAAAUUGUGAAAUUCAUCCAAGACCAUUAAAAUUUUACUAACAUACACUGUAAAAUAAUUAAAUCAUGAAAAAAUAUGAUGAAUAAUACACAAAUACACUUUUAAUAGAAUUUACGACGUAGACUUCAACUGCAGUCUACAUUUGUAGAUUUACAAAAACGUCUACACUUAUUAUUUAACAUAUAGUCAAUCCAAUUUUUUUUAGUGUAUUGGCGCAGGCUUGAUACACAAAGGCGUACAAAGUGUGUCUUAGAUAACUCGAUCAAGUUUCGUACUUGUCGAUUAUUCGUGACAGGCAUAAGAGGAGUAUAUUCCUAUUCGGAGUCAUUUGUUUUAAAUGAUGUUUGGUAAGGAAUAUGUUAGCACCAUCUUCUCAAUUUUGUUGUCCAGAUCAUAAUCUUCUUGUGUCAUUUCAAGAAGUUUACCAUGUGUACAGCCAUCAUGCACAAGGAACAUUCUUCAACCUUUCCGAUUCUUCAUCUUUUUCGAAUAUUUUGUCACCCAAAAUAUCUUUGGCCCAUACUUCACACUCGCUCUAAGUUUUCAACCACAUCCUUGAACACGACACUUAGCCACAUACGGAGUUUUUGUUGUCUUAUAUGCUGAAAAUGUAAAAUUAUAUUCCACAGUCACCGACUUCAGCUUUGAAACAAGCUCAGCCUUACUAGCAAAACUAUAAACGAAGACUUAGAAAUACGUCUACAAUUAUUAGCUAACAACAUUGUCAAAUCAAAUGAAUUAUACCUUCAUAAUUAUAAAAAAAAAAUUAUUUUCAAAAUCACUCAAACCCAUUAGGAUUAACUAACACACACUGUCAAACAAAAAAACUAGAAAAAAUUUAAUGAAUAAUACACAAAUUCACAUUUUUAUAGAUUUUUCUAUGAAGACUUAAUAUUUAGUCUCUGAAGAUGUUGACGUUCUUUUCAGUUUACAGACGUAGACUGUCAAAUAGGUCUACUCUUUGGGUUGGUUUUUGCAAUUGACCAUUUUACGGGUUGCUUUCUAUAGUUGAAUAAAAGUUGUAAUUUUGUACAUGUAGACUUUCAUUUCAGUCUACAAUUUAAAAAGGUUACUUUUUGCAAUUGACCAGAAUUCAUCCAAGAUUUGACUUUCAGAACUAGACUUCAUAUGCAGUCUACAUGUUUGAAUUUUUUUGAAAGAGGUUAGUUUUGCAAUUGACCAAGUUUGACUUCAAAUCAGUAGAUUAAAAUGAACGUCUACGGGUGUGUAGACUUCUUGUGAAGUCUACUCUCAAAUCCGACGGGUUGGUUUUGCAUUUGACCAAAAUAAAAAAGUAGACUUUAUACGCAGUCUACAUUUUUUUUUUUAAGAUAAGAAGACUGCAUAUGAAGUCUACAAUUUAAUAAAUUUUUGAUUGCUUUUUAAACUUUUUGGUCAAACACAAAACUAACCUAUUCCACGAAGUCAAAGUUUUGGUCAAAUGCAAAACUGACCUUUUAUAGACUUUGUUGGCAGUCUACAUUUUGUAGACUUCCGUUGAAGUCUAUUUUGAAAAGUCAAAAGUUCGGUCAAAUGAAAAACUAACCUCUUUUAGGUAGACGUCUUAGUAAGUCUACCGAAAGUUUUAUUUUUGUUGUCAAAGGUAAAGACGGAGACUACUGGGGAAGUCUGCGUUAGAAAAAAAAUUUGUCUGCUCAAUUGCAAAACUAACCCGUGCGUUGACAAAUAGACUGCAUCGUAAGUCUCCACGGAGGCGUAGACAUACAAAACAAUCUACCGUCGCGACACAGAUCUGAAAAAGAACGAAAACCAUGUAAAUAGUUACAUUUUUCAUGUGUAAAGCUUGUUUCCAACCUUUUCAACCGUCCAAACUCCAAAUAUGAGCAAAAAGAAGCAUCUUUAACGAUUCACUAAUGAAGAAACUCGAAAAUAUGAAGUUUGUGAUUAUGAAAAUGAUAGUUAUGAGAGUUUUUUAGAUGGAAAUGUAGAGGAGAUGAGAGAAAAUGAAGUUUUUUGGGUUAUAAUGAGAAAAAAAGUGGUUGAAAAUUGAAUUCUAGAGCUUUAGAGCUCAAAAAUGGUGGUUCAUGGUGGUUGGAAAAAUUGAUGAUGAUGGCAUUUUUGUAAAUAAGAAGAAAUGGUUAGGGUGUAUUUGAUUUUUUGUUAAUUUCGAAAUUAAUAAAAAAAUAAAUAAAAAUGGCAAUUUUGUGAAUAAUUCAAAAACAUAAGGAUAGUAUGAAAAUUUUAUUGAUGAAUAGUAUGGACAAAAAAAAAAGGGUUGGUUUUGGAUUUGACUUGAAAAUAUGGGUUGGUUUUGAAAAACACCCAAUAUUUAUUAAUAAUAAAUACAUUUUUAUUUUUAUUAGUUUAAAUUUAUGUAAAAUUGUAAAAAAAUUAUAAUUGAUCACUAAACAUUAAUUAAUAUGUGUGAAAAAUGAAAAUUUAAAAAAAAUGUGAAACAGAAAGACUAUCACAUAAUUUAAUAAAUGUAAAAACUACAAGAAUUUAAGUUAAUAAUAUAUUUACGUCAAUAAUACUUAUGUUUCGGGUUGAUAUCUUAAUUCGUUUUGUAAUAAUAGCACUUUUAAAUCAAUUUGGUUAUAGAUUUUAAAAUAAAUUAUACUCAUACUUGGAAGCAAAUUAAAAAAAAGGUUAUAAGAUUGCUUGGUGUAUGAAUAAUUGAAAACCAUUUUUUGUUUUUGACAACAAUUGAAAGCCAUUAAGUUUGAACUUUUUAGGCACUUGCUUAAUCGCACGCGCAUUUGAAAACCACCAAAUAAAAUCAACCCCACUUUCUUAAUAUUAUUGUGACUGAUGACGGCUGUAACAUUCUGGUCUUGACCGUCCAGUCCAUUCACUUGAACACGCACAUAAUGCUUUGUUGCCGAUUCACUUAUUUUCAUUAAAACUCAUCAUGUAAAUGAUUUCCCCUCCUUUUUCCUUUACAUCUAAAAGUCUAUGUAGUUUUUCUAGAUGCUUAUGAGUUACGCAAAACGAUCCUCUCCCACACAAAAAAACAAUAAUAUUAAUAUAUGUUUUAAUGUCCAAGUGUUUGAUUAGUGCUGCAGUUUGUAAAUAUGAAAUAAAACUAAUCAGCUUAAUUUUCUGUUUAAACAAGAAGUUUUGUAUAGAAAGACGACUUGGAUUAUAUUUUUGUAAGAAUUCUGAAUUCCUGUCGUUUCAUUCCAUAACAAUAUGUGUUAAUAUGUUCGUGUAUUAUUGACUUGUUGCUUUAUAGUUAUUUAUUUAUUCCCAAGUCAGAUUAUAUUCGUUCGGAAAAUGAACGUGACUCGUAUAUGAGUUGACCUUAUGAAUAUUGUCUAAGGCCUUAUCCAUUAGAUUAAAAGUUCAUUAUACCCUUAUUAUUUGUAUUUAGUUUGAUUAUCUCCAAGGCUACAUUAUGAGCUGUUAGCUAGUAUCCUAAGUUAUGAAUAGCUCCAGAAAGGCCUUAUCCUAAGCUAUAUGAACAUUGUGAGCUAAGCUGAACACUUGCUUAGAUGUAACUUGAUCUUGUAUGUUUUCUCUAAAAGACCAAUAGCCAUCUUGUAUGCUUAGUUGAAUUUGUAUUAGGAUCUCUUAGUUGUAAGAGAUCAUAUGUUCAUCAAAUGGUUCUAUCACUACCAUAAGUUCUUUUUUUUUUUGAAUAUAUGUUAAAUUUAUUCAAAGAAAACUGCUUUGUUUACAACAAGUGCAUCUGUUUUUUGAGAAAGCUAAACCUUAGUUACAACCCAACUCUGCUACCUUGUGGCAAGCCACAAAGUUAACGCUCCCGUAUACUUCAAAUCUCCUAUUUGUCGCAAUGAGAGACAUCUGUUCCUGACUUGUCUAUCAAUUAACUUCACCAGGGAACCAACCAACAAAGGUGUGCCACCAUGCCGUCUUUCAUUCCUCUCCCGCCACAGAAAAGAAACAGUUACUUGCAAGGUGUAUCGAGUGAGGAACCUCUCCAGCAAACCUCCAUUUGUAUCCAUAACCAUCACCAUCAGCUCCGACCACAAAGUUGUGAACGAGGACUGCAGCAGGCCUUGCAUCAGUUUCGACCAGACUUCUGCCGAGUAGCUACACUCAAAAAAAGAUGAUCUCUUGAUUCCAUCACAUUUUGACAGAGAACACAUGACGGAUUAGCUCCCACAUUCCAAGCCAGCAUGCGAUCGCCAGUUGCCAAUCUGUUUUGAAUUGCUAACCAAUGAAGGAAAGCAUAUUUUGGAAUAUGAUGUUUAAACCAGAUGCUCUUCCACCAGUGAACCAGAGGAUCUUCUUUUCGAAUAAGUUCCCAUGUUUGCUUUGUAUUGAAAACAGCUUUAUAUUUUCCUUCGCUCUGUUUCCAAAGUGCUAUAUCUGCAUCUCCAGUGAGCCUCAACCUCUGAUCCUCACAGAUUUUUUCCACUUCAUUGAACACAUCAACCCUAUGUCUUCUCCGCCGCCGGUUACUCAGAGCCACAUCCACAGAUGUAGACAAUGGUAUUCCCAUAUCAGUACUACCGUGUGGACCAAACAAGUCAUAAAGCCUUCCCAUACUAGACCAGGAGUCAAACCAAAAAGAAGUAUUAUGUCCAUCACCCACGUGCAUCUUAUGAAAGCCCUUUGCCUUGUCCCGAAGCUUUACCAACUUGCGCCACAUCCAAGAACCUUUUGUAGUAGUUUCUUUAAUAGACCAAAACGAGCAGUUCUUGAACAGAUUCUGCUUAGUCCACUGCGCCCACAAGGAAGCUUGAGAGGAUAUUGUCCGCCAAAUGAGUUUCAGGCAGCAGACUUGAUUAAUUUCUUUCAGAGGCCGGAGACCUAGUCCACCAUCACACUUCCUCCUGCAUACUAUUUCCCAAGAAACUUUAGCUUUCUUAGUGUUCAAAGUAGGCCCCGACCAAAGAAAAGCAGCACACAUGCUGUUAAUCUCUUUGAUACACGCUCCCGGUAAGAUAAAACCUGCCAUCCAAAAGUUCACAAUACUGAAAAGGACAGACCGGAUCAACUCUAACCUUCCAGCCAUCGAUAAGAAGCGAUUCGUCCAGUGGGUAAUGCGGUUUCUUAUCUUGUCGAUGAGAAUACCAUAAUCAUCUUUUCCCAUCCUUUUUGUGAGCAGCGGUAGUCCGAGAUAACGGACUGGUAAUUUCUCAGAUGCAAAAUCAAACCUUUGCUCCAGUAGGCCUGUUUCUGCUUCAGACAACCCCGCGUAAUAAAUGGUAGUCUUCUCCAUGCUGAUUUUGAGACCCGAGAUCUUCCCAAAAAAAUUAAAUACGUCCACAAUGCUCUCAAUGGACCUGACUCUACCAUCAGUGAAAACCAUUAUAUCAUCAGCAAAGCUCAAGUGAGUUAGCCCCAGGUUCUUGCAUUUGGGAUGAUACCCCAUGUUACUGUCAUUUGCCGAUUUGUCUAGCAACUUCGAUAGAACAUUCAUACAGAUUACAAAGAGGUAAGGAGACAGUGCACAUCCUUGUCUCAGACCUCUUGCACUUUGGAAGUAACCAGCAAGUUCACCGUUGACUUGGACAGAGAAUGAUGCCGUUGAGAUACAAAGAGAAAUCCAAUGGAUGAACAUUGGAGGAAAGUCCAUAGCUUCUAAAGUUUUGACAAGAAAGCUCCAUUGCACUGUAUCGAAAGCUUUAGAGAUGUCAAUCUUUAAAGCACAUCUAGAGGAGAUCGUGUCUUUGUGAUAGUCUUUCACCAGCUCGGUAGCAAGGAGGAGAUUCUCAAUAAGAAGACGGCCUUUCACGAAUGCAGAUUGAUUCAGAGCAAUGAAGUCCGGCAGAGUGAUCUUCAGUCUGUUGGCUAGUAUUUUGGAAAUGACUUUGUAUAAAACAUUGCACAAUGAUAUUGGUCGAUAGUCCUUCAUCUCGAGAGCCAUUGUUUUCUUCGGUAUCAAGGCUAGAAUUGUUGUGUUCACUCCUUUUGGCAAGAAACCUUUCGCAAAGAAAGACUGGACUGAAAUAAUGAAUUCUUGCCCUAUAAUAGACCAUGCUGCUUUGAAGAACUCAACUGUAUAUCCAUCUGGCCCUGGAGAUUUAUCACUCGGCAUACUAAACAGUACUUUGGUGAUUUCUUCCGCUGUUACCUCUUUUGUAAGAUCAUGUUGAUCAGUCACUGAGCAUCUGUAGGGUAAAAUCUCACGCAACUUACACACAUCUAUACCCUCAAAAUCAGUUGGCUGGUGCUGGAGGAACUCUUUAAAAAAACCCACAGCUUCUUCUUUUAUUUCAUCAGGUUGCUUGACAGUACGGCCAUCUCUACACUUUACUUCCUUGAUUGAGUUAUUUAUUUCUCUUACAACGGCAGCCCGAUGAAAAACUUUAUUGUUUUUGUCCCCAACCUUCAGCCAAUGCAAUUUGGAUUUUUGUUUGAGAAAUCCCUCUUCCAAUCUAGCAACAAGCUCCCAGCGUGCAUAUGCACUGUUCUCCCUAUCCAAAUUUCCUUGUGUUGGAUUUCGAAUAGUCUCCUCUUGGUACGUACACAAAUUCUCAUAGGCCUCCUUGGCUUUCAUAAAGAGAUUCCCCAUUCUUUCCUUUGCAAGCACUCUGAUUUUUGGUUUUAGAGCUUUUAACUUCUUAGAGAAGCGAUAUAGCGAAGAAGUUGACAGGAAAAUAGGCUCGGUGGACUGCCAGUGAUCCUCCACCAGUGGCUUAAAACCUUCGAGCUCUGCAACUGCAUUGACAAACUUGAACGGCCUUUUUGGUCUAUUCAGUACUGAGCUAAGAAGAAACCUGCAGCGUAGGUGAUCCGAGCAGCCUCCAGCCUCAAAAACACUAUAAGACUGAGGAUAUAAACCAAGCCAAUGAUCGUUUAUCAGAACUCGGUCGAGUUUCUUUGAUAUAAGACCUUCCUCUCUUUUAUUUGUCCAUGUAUACUGAGGGCCAUGACCAGCUAGAUCCAGCAGGUUGCAGUGGUGCAUUGCAUCCUGAAAAUCUCUCAUUCCUUGCGAUACUGUGUUUCUCCUCCCAUACAUCGAGUGUUCUUCCGCGUCUAGAAUCUCAUUAAAAUCUCCAUUUAUUAUCCAAGCCUUCCGACGAAUAAUCGGUGAAUCCUGAUGAGCUUUCAGAUCAUUCCAUAGCUCUCUCCUCUCCAAUUCAGUGUUGUGAGCAUACACACAUGUGUAGAAAAAUUCUUCUGCAUCUUCACCAAUAGCAACUGAGACUGUGAUCAUUUGAUCAGUCUUGUAGAAAGGUGUAACUCUUACUUCCGGUCCCCACACUAGCCAUAUUCGGCCAAGUGGAUUAAAUUCAUAAUUGGACAUCAGAUUCCAAUCUUUAAAGACUGAACUGAAAAUCCUCUGACUUCUUCCUUCCUUUACCCGCGUUUCCAACAACGCUCCGAACAUAAAUCCUUGAUCCUGAACCCACUUCUUCACUACAGAAUGUUUGAUUGACUUAUUGAAACCUCGAACAUUCCAGAAGAACCCCGACAUAUUAUUUCUUCUUGUGGGUACGUUUUUUACCUGCAACACUAGGAAGACCUUCCUUCGUGCUUAAGGCAGCUAGCUUUUUUGAUGAUUUGAUGUAGGUUCUUGAUAAACGAGGGAUAUUUGCUCGAAAUGGGCGUUCACCUCUCUCUGCUUUCCCUGCGUUCUCUAUGUUAGUGUUUUGAAGUUCGUCAGUCCCAAUUUCCUCCUCUGAAACUUCACCUGAGACCUCCGCCGAAACUUCCUCAGAGGGCUCCACUGAUGCCUCUUUCGAGACCUCUUCUGGUACCUCCAAGAUUUCACCUUCUUCUCUUUCCCNNNNNNNNNNNNNNNNNNNNNNNNNNNNNNNNNNNNNNNNNNNNNNNNNNNNNNNNNNNNNNNNNNNNNNNNNNNNNNNNNNNNNCUUUCCCUAUAAUUUGAACCAUUCUGCUCCCCUGUUUCAUCAUUUAAAACAUGUCUCCUCUCUGUUUCGUCUUUUUCCCCAAGUUCAUCAUUGGGUCCUUCCUCCAACAGCACUGCGUAGCGGGAUGGCGAGACCACAGUGAUGUGUUCUACUACUUGUUUGGUUCCUUGCCGACUUUGCUUUGAUGGAGAAACAUCUUUCCAGGUCCCCUCAGUAUCAACUGGAGGGAAUUGAGCAUAUGUAGUCUCAGCUGCGGCACAUGUUUUAUUUGAGGUUAUGAUAACCGCAUCCCGAGCUUCUUGAGUGUUAUUCACAUUCAAAGAAACUACCUCUUCUGCUACUCUAGUCCCCGUCUUUCCUUUUACCACUUCUGACACCGUGGUGCCUUGUACAUUCUCCCUUGUAAUUUCCUCUGUCUCACUCCUAGCAGGUGCAACAUUCUUGUCAACUUUUUCAGGGACAUCUUGCCUUGAUAGUAGUUUGACCUUUGACUUACAAGCCUUAUGUGUAUGUCCCCAUUUAGUACAGAUACUACAUUUAUCAGGAAGCCAGGGGUAGAUGAAAUCCACCUCUGCGUCAACACCUAACUUUGAUUUGAAUCGAUGAGAUUUAGGCAACUCCUUAGUCAUGUCAGCUUCCACAAACACCUUUGCUUCUUCAAAACUUGUGCAGAGUAUAGUAUCUGGGUGCAAUCUCUUUGGUUUACCAACCGCACUAGCAAUGAAACCCAAUCCCUUCCAUGAGAACAUUCGAUGAGGAACAUUCUUCAUUGUAAUCCACAUUGGUACUACUUUGAUCUCCUCUUCCUCUUCUUCUUCAACUACCGGAGACCACUUUGAGAGGACCAUUGGAAUAUUAGCAAUGUUCCACAUUCCUCUACGUAGAAUUCUCUUCCUUGUAGCCAUAUCCUUGAUCCGGAAUUUGACUGUAACUUCAUUAACUGGAAAUACAUCAAUCUUGAUAGAUGCAUCCCCCAAAGGCCAAAUCUUAUUCACAAUGAUAUGAAUCUUUGCAACGUGUGGGGCAGGAGCAAGAAACCUCCCUUCCAAUAGGUCAUCCCAGAGCGGUACCAUAUCCUGUAUCACCUCAUCUGGCACGUUCACAACUUCUUUUCCCCCCACCAUCUCCAUGUCUAAAACAUGCUCAGAGAGAGAUGGUCCACUUUUCACCACUUUAGCAUACGACAGAUUUUUUCCUUGAACGUUGGACACGUCUGUCACCGGCGUCGCCGAUGUUUCCGACUCCUCCGAAGCCAUGACGGCCGUCGGAAACCCUACCUUGCAGCAAACUCUCCAAAAACCCUAAUCGCCAAAAAAAUCACCCUCUUGCUGACGUCCCACUACCAUAAGUUCUCUGUAAGGUCUCUGUAAGGCCUUGUUGUUCUUCUCGCUCUGCUUUCUGCAGCCUCGUUAGUUUCCACAGGAGGCUUAUGUUCUUUGAUAGCAAAGUGAAAACCGUCCAUCUCUUCAUAGUCAUUUGGUAUAUUUGAACUUGUGAGCCAGUAGGCACAUGAGCUUCUCAGCAAGAAGAAGCAUUCUCUUUUCUUUUUUUUUCUCUACUCACCAAUAACAGAUAUUAACUUCCUUCUAUUUACAACUUAAAAUGUUAUAGUCUAUCACAUAUUUUCCCUUUAAACAAAAGAGAAAGGAAUUAUAUAUGUAUAGUUUAUCUAUCAUAUGGGUUCUUAGAAGCAUCAGGUAAAAGCAGGUGAUUUGCAGAUAGGGCAAGAGUUCUUCAAAGACAGCCAUUUCUUUAUGCACCCUCCAUGGUAGUCAUGACCACACCCUUUAAGUUCCCCCAACUCUUCUCCUUCCUUGUAUUCCUCCUAAAUGUUACCGUUACCACACCACCAUUAGACUCUUGGCACAUUUAAAUCUUUGAGACAUGCGAAUCUUACCAGGCAGAUUGCACAUUUUCUUUCCUCAUCCGUUUGAUACAACGGGUAGAAUAUCGUCUCUAACAAGCAACUGGCGAUUGCGCCAUUGGAUAGACCAGUGUUCACACUCCCAAUCCUUUCAACAAGAUCAAGAAGGUCCUGGAUAGUGUCAACCAUUUCAAGAUACAUCAGUUGCGAGACAUUUGGGUGUCUGGGGCUUAGAAAAACCAAGAGUUCUGUAAUUAACCUCGUAGGUCAUGUCAUCGAUGUCGAGCCUCAAGUCUCUGUGGUGAUCAUGCAUAUUCCUGGAUCCAUAGUGCUGUUGGUGAUCUACAGCCAUAAAUCCCUGUUUUUGUACAUCCACAACAAAAUAAUAGAAGAAAGUUCAGUCUGCAGCAGAAUAAGAAACAUGAGAGUCUAUGUAGGCAAGUUUCUGAAGUGUUGGUCCCAUCAGUUUAUUGGAAAGUUUGGUAGGGAAAAAAAUUACUACACCUGAGAUGAAAAUGGUUCAUGGAGAGCAACUUCAUCGAAAGGAGGCUGAAACCUCUCAUAGGAACUCCUGCGUCUCCCUGGGCGAUCACUGCUACGCCAUGAGAUGUGUGGUGGUGGCCUCAGAUGCCUAGAAGGAUAUGUCUCAGUGACAAAAGGAGACCUAUCUCCAGAAGAAGAUGCUGAAUGUUCCAAUCGCAAACCGUUUGAAGAAGAUCUAUAGGUGGGUGUUGACCUAUGAGAGAAGCGGGAGCUAGUUGCAGAUUGUGUUGAAGUUCCAGGAAAACCGUGGGAAACUGUAGAGUUUCUGUUUCCGAUUAGCCCUUGGUGAUACCAAGAGGUAUCAACAGAUGUGCUGUUGGCGACACUUCUCGUGGGAAGAAAAUUAUUUGUCUUUGGACUAAAGCCAUUUAAAUCUGCAGGGUGAGAAUUCAUGUGGUUAAAGAACGUAGUCAGUAAAAAUUUGAAUCUCAAGAGAGACCAAAGUGAAAUUUGCAUACCUCUAGGUACUGGGGAGUGUCUAGGAAAGUUCCAGUUCCAGUCCUUAUUCCUGUGAGAUGUUUGACCAGGAAACUGACCUGAGCUAGAGUGCUCAACAUUGUGAUGUGUAGGAUGAGAAUCAAGGUCCAAGCUUCUUGAAAAAAUAUUUCUAUCUACACUAGUCUCUAAAUCAAGUGUAGGACGACUCCGGACAUUCCUUGAAGAACUCUCUCCCCUGAUCGAGAGAUUAUUACUUCUGUAACUUGGGUUCAUGAGCCACGGCAUGUAAUGAGGACCAUGAUCACGAGUUGUUGAUUUUCCCAUGUCCAACUCCGAGGAGAAAGGGAUAUCUGAGGAAGUUCUGCCACCGUGGUAAUGGCUUGAACUACCCAUUUCAUAGACGGAAGAAUCGCAUGGGGUUUUCCGCUUCUGUGCUCCUCUCACAUUUUCCAUAUGUAGAUCAACAUAGCUAUCUAAUGACCAUGUCUGACUGUUGCAGUACGAAGAAGAUGCAGAUGUCACAUAAUGUUCAUGUGGAGCAGAGAAAGUUGCAGCUGCUGUACUCAUGAAAGGAACAUGGGAGGGGCCGCUAGUCCCUGGAUUGUAGUGUGGCCUCUCCACACCAUGACCUGAGGCAGUAUAGGCAUUUGGUCCUGUAGAAGAGUUCCAGUGCGAAGAAAAUGGCAUUCCUUCAUUCAACAUGUUUCCAGCUGGAUUAACAUGCGAUCUGCUCACACUGGUCCCAGUUCUUGCUGAAAACAAUAAUACGAAUCAGAAAUUCUGGACACGAUUGCACAGGAAAAAGUAGAAUUAUAUAUGUGAUGAUUAUAAAAUGUGGCUUCCUAAUUUUCACUACCUGAGGGUAUCACCUAUCAAGAUUCAUUUUUGCCCCUACUGAAACCCAAUCUACCCAUGAGGGAGAACUUCUCAACCUAAAAAUACGCAUGCAACAUCAACGCAAUAGCUCUUACACAUGUUGAGCAUAACAUCUAUCAAUGAAGAACGUGGUAAAAAUAUUGAUUUCAACCACAGAAUAAGGAUCUCUGUAGGAAUGGAGGACUAAUUACCUAGACUCGUAUAUGGGUGCUCUGGGUGUAUAUGGUUCCAGCCUUGAUCUUGUUCAUCAUCGAAAAAUUGGAAAGAACCAGGAAAAUGUCUGUGCCCCAUGAUUAUACGAAUCUUCAACCUUGGAGUCCAGCUAACCCUGCACAGAAAGUUCUCUCAACAUUCAGAACUCAUCAAGAAAAACAUUUGCAAGUCCAUAAAAAUAUUUCUUAAUUACCAAGCAAUCUCAGUUUCAAUUCAAGAAUGCUAUAUAAAGUAACAUUUGCUUUAGCUCAGAAGUACCAAAUGGUUGCUGAAAACGAGUCACCCAUCUAUUUUCAGUUUUAUAGUCACAUUUCAAGACCAAAACUCCAAUUUUUGCAACUGAAGAACCUUAACCAUCGCCAAAUUAAAAAACAAAGUUUCUUCAACCCCACACAUGCAUAAUCAAGCUGUAAGAAACGAAUUAGAAUAUGCAUAGAGAAGACUACACAGUUUUAGGACGGACAUCAACUUCAGGUAUAAAGGAAAGUGACAAUGGUAUAUUGAUAGAGAUUCUUUAUCAGAAGAGAGUCCAUAGUUUCAAUAUCUAGUAUCAAUAUAGUUGAAAUAUCUAGUCUCAGUUACCUUUGUUACCCGUACCUAACAUACUAUACCUCAGAGCUCAGCUCAUGAUAUCAUAAAAACAAGUUUCCGAGGAGUUGGACCCUGUCCUACUGGAAAGUUCAUGAUGCCUUAAGAUGGGAAUAACCAGAACUAGUACAUAUCUAUCAGCUCAUAAGGGUAUCCUGCAUUUAAGAGUUAGUAAAUAAAACAGAAACCUACAUUUUCUCUUUGUUUAAGCCAAAAGAAAAUAAGACACAAAACAAGUAAGAGUGUUCUCUAGUACAUGAAGUUCAUUUAAACAAGACAUUUACUCAGGUUUAAGAACUUCAUAAAUGUUACAGAAACGGUUGACCGAGAAUAAGGCAAGAAAGAAAAUAAUCAUAUAGUGUACAUGCAUUGAAGACCAUCAAAGCAAGUUCAUCCAGAACAGAUAACAUUUGAUAUGACCAUUUCAGCUUCUAUCAACACAUACAGAACAGAUACAUACUGCUGGCAUGAUCAAGAAAAUUACAUGGAUGAUUCAACAGCAGGAAAUAAGUUUAAUUUUCUGAGCCAAAACCCUCCAACAAUACUCCUGCAGGCAAAUUAAACUCCCAACCAAGAAUACACUAAACUACACAAGUGAAAAAGCCAUCAUCCUUUCCUGAUCAACUGAUUCACCAUUUCCACACACCAAAUGUAAUUUCUUCUCUUCAAGUUCAGAAUCAUAACGGGCUUAGUCCACAGAGUGCUGGCCAGCAAAGGCUUACCACCACAUUCUACUAUUCUGAAGCUUUUACUAAGUCAAAACCUGCCAUCCGGCCAAGCACACCUAGAUCUACUCCAAGGGCUAGUAAGCAGAAAUGGGUUGUGUGAAAGGAUGCUUCUAAGCAAUUUGCUUUAUGCUUCAUAGGAUGGUUGUCUUUUCGCAAGAAAUAUUGAAGUUUUCUCCCCCCCCCCCCCCCCCCCCCNNNNNNNNNNNNNNNNNNNNNNNNNNNNNNNNNNNNNNNNNNNNNNNNNNNNNNNNNNNNNNNNNNNNNNNCCCCCCCCCCCUGGCUACCUUAAUUCACACUUCAAGCAUCACUGACUAAUUAACACAUUCAGUUAUGAACGUGGAAUCAAAAGAAGGGUGGUGGAAGAACUGGACCAGACAAACUUCACAAAGCCUUGACUACCAUAAACAUAGUUAUCAGCCAUAAAACGUAAAUGAGUAAAAAACUAACCACGCUAAUAGAGGUUGGUUGACUUAUCUUAGUUCAAGUUCACGUUGGUUUCUCAAUCAACCAACAAUCUGCCAAAAUAGAAGGAAAACGGCAGCCACCGAUUCUAUGUAUUACAAAGGCUUAGCAUAAGGCACUAACAUCUGCUGACAAAAGUGUUAGAAUAAUACAUUUUCUCUGCUACAAUUUCAAAUUUUCUAAUAUAUUUUUUCGAUUUUUUUUUUUUUGAUUAUACAAAGUUUCCCCAAAGGCUUCCUAAGGGACUAAUCUGUGUCGCUGCAGCCCGAAUGUGAAAUCCGCAGUGGCCGGAAAUCGAACCCAGGUGGCGGUACUCACAGCUGUGAGCCUCUAUGAGCUAGACGCCCCGGUUUAUUUUUUCGAUAUUACUAAAGAGGAAGACGUAUUUGCUGACCUUAAACUAUAUGGACGUUACUAGUUCAAGACUGAGAGAAACCAUCGUUGCCACUAAACCUGCAGGAUACAAAGCCUAGCUAGUUUGAUGCUAAAUAGGAAACUGCUCAAACUAGCUAUAUAUAGCUUAGCCCCGUCGCUGAAGUAGCCUGAACUAAUCACCGAUCUGGUCUCCUCUUCUUCUCAGCAUCCGAAUCUCUAACUACGAUUCAAACAAUCCAAUCACGAAAAGUCACUCAUGUAGCAGACGGAAGCAAACAAUCAUCACGCGAAAGGAAAACAGAUGAUCCGUCGUAACAGCGUUUAAACAAAUCAUUGGUGAAACUGCAAUCGAUUUGAGCAUAUAUAUAUUUACACGAAAACCUCAGAGCUCAAACGAUGAUCGGAGAAUAGAGAGAAACGUACCGCUAGCAGCGUGCGGAUGAUGGAGAAAGGAGAACGAUCGGAGGAUUCAAAGAGACGACGAACGGAUUCGUAGAGAUGACUCAGCUUGAGGAUUGUGAUCGGUUGAUAUAUUUAAGAGAGAAAGCAAAUGAAAAAUGAUAAAACAAAACUAUUUAAUUUAAAAGCGGUUGGGUGGGUACGUUGCUGGAAAAUUUAGACCACCACAGCAUUCACCGGCUAACUAAUGGGCCAAGAUUUUGACUUUAUAUGGGCCUACACUGGAUCAGCAACUAUCCCUCCCUUUUUUUUUGUCACCAGCAACUAAGCAUUGUUCACAUAGUGCAUUAUGUUGCAUCUGCCAGAUUAUGUGCAUAGAAUCCUUAAUCUGCUUUGUAGAAAUUUUAUUUUCCAUUGUCUUGGCACGUCCUAUUGGCGCAUAAAAUUUGAUUCGUUAGCUUUAGUCCAAAGUGAACAAUAUGGAGACAUAGUCCACAAUCCCCUAAAAUGGUUAUUUCUCAGAUUUUGAAGACACAACAAGUCUUGGCUUUUAUGAGAGGAGCACAUUUUGGAAGAUGAAGUUGCAGUGAAACACACAAGCAUUGCAUUGCUUUUUUUUCUCUUUCUAAAACCAAUGGAAGUACAAGGAAGUGGAGGUGAAUCAAUAACAAUAACCGUGUGCAUUGCCGAGAUUAUAUAGUUUGUGAUUAUACCAUUUUAAUACAGAGAAGCUGCAAAUACCAAAUUGAACCAACGCAGGUUUGAGGUUCCUACGUCAAGUUCAACCAUUUCAUUUCUAGUGUAAUUUCUCUAUUCAAAACAACUAUAGAAAGGUCCAUUAGACAUGGCAGACGAAUCAAUACCCCAAUAACAUUGUGGCAUUACGAAAGUAGCAAAGCAUAGCAUAAGAUAAAAUAAAAGCGGCAUAUAACAAACCAAACCAGACUUGUUCUUGUUCUUAACCGAAACAUAAAAAGCUAAAACCUCAAAAGUGAAAAUAACCAAACAAAACACUUAAUCUCAAAUUCCCUUUUUUUUUUAAAUUAAUUAAUUCUCAGGAAUCUCAACCUCACCCUCUUGAAUCUCCUGCUGNNNNNNNNNNNNNNNNNNNNNNNNNNNNNNNNNNNNNNNNNNNNNNNNNNNNNNNNNNNNNNNNNNNNNNNNNNNNNNNNNNNNNNNUGAAUAUCCUUGGGAUCUUUCCCAUCCACAGUACACCCAACGGACACACAAGUCCCAAGAAUCUCCCUCACGGUCCCACUCAGCUCCUUGGCAAUAGACCUCGGCCUCAUGAUCCUCGCGAUCUCAAUCACGUCAUCGAACGAAAUGUUCCCGUUGUGCUUAAUGUUCUUCACCUUCUUCCUGUCUCUCUCCGGCUCCUUCAACGCCUUGAUCACCAGCGCCGCCGCCGAAGGCACCACCGUCACUUUCGCCUGGCGAUUCUGCACCGUCAGCUUCACCGUGACGCGGAGCCCCUUCCACUCCUUGGCCGUCUCCUUGGCGAUGUCUUCUCCGAUCUUUUUGGGAGCCAGACCGAGGGGACCGAUCUUGGGAGCGAGGGAACUCGCUGCUCCGACUUCUCCGCCGGUCACGCGGACGUAGACGUCGACGAUCUGGCUCGGGUCAAGCUUCGGCGGCAUGGCUGUCUCGGAGGUUAAACGGAGUUUCUAGUUUUUUUUUAAAGUGGAGUCCGGAGACGAGGAGGCGGUUGAAGAAGAGCUGGAAAGGCUUUUAUUGAGGACGACACUAGGGUUUACGAAAUGAUGAAUUUACCCUCGUAAACUUAUAUGGGCCUUGAGUGAAUAAUCUUAUGGGCUUUAUUUUAGACUAUCGGUUCUAUUACGGUUUAGUAAAUAAUAAAUCCCCGGUUUGAUAGAACCGUUUUACUUCCGUAGUCUCUUUGCUUGGUGAGAAGAAUUGCAUAAAAUAUUUCUUCAGUUUCGGAAAGAAGUAUGUUUUAGGAUUUUGAAACAUAUCAUAUUUUGGUUACCAAUAUAAUUUUAAUAAAUAAAAUAAUGUUUUUUUAAUCUGUUACGAUUAAUUUAUGCAUUGAAACCGUAAAAAUGUAUUUUUCUUGAAACGGAAUUUUUUUUUUAAAUAUGGAUUUUUUUGAAACGCAUGGCUUUUAUUAUACUAAAAUAGUGAAAGUGACGUGACUUCGUUUAACCGAUAUGAUCAACAACAGAAGCAUAUAGUUUUUACAAUAUACUAGGAACCAUUAAUUUACUUUUUGGAACUUUCUGUUAUCUUAUGUGUGUUAUUUAAUUAGUGGGUGGCUAAGGACCAGAAGUUGAGAAAGAAGGAAGGAAACACAGCAAGCCAGCUGAUGAAAGCCAUUGCUGUAGCGGUCUGAAACCUUGUGCAGUGGCUGCCAUCACAUUUAUCAAGAUCGUUGAUGAGUACGGAUAUGCCAGCAGACGCAGAUGCAGCUGCAAACGUAAGUAGGCAUGUGAUCUGCCAACAAUGUUUGAGAUGAAAAUAGACAAAACAGUCACUUUGUUUCCUUCUUAGGCACUAGUAAACAAUAAAGAGUGAAGUUGAUUUCGUUCUUACUCCAUCUCCAACUGUGAAACAUCGAACAACCAAGUGAUUCCCAAGGCUUCUUCCAACCAAAAGAGCAUAAGCGUCCAUGAUAAAAAGAGACAAGCUCCACAGGCUUUGCAAGCUGACCGCAAAAACCAAACCACUGUUACAAUCGAGAGAUAUGUUUUGUCAGAUUCAUAUUUUGUCAAAAUCAUUAGGCCUAGAGUUGGAUUUUACCAGAAUGCGGUGAAGGAGUGGAAGUCGGGGGUGGUGAGCAUGACGGAGAGGGAGAUGAGAGAGGAGACGAACUGAGAGAGGCGGAGGAUGAGGCCGCCGGUGGUUCCUGGCAUUCCCUGAAUAUCUUUCAUCCUCACUGGCGGUCUAUCGUUGGCUCCGCCGGUAGGACCCACGGGGACAGCAAUUACCGGACGAACCGCCGGUCGGCUCACGUUCAUCAUGUGAAAGUGAGUCACUUUGAUAACACACACACAAAUGAGGAACUAACUCGACUGAGUUUGCUUGUCCUAAAGACAAAGAUUUAUUUAACUAACUGAAUCUCUAACACAUGUAAGACUUUCGAACGUUUACCGCAAAAGUUCAAACAGACCCACCUUGUAAGACACGAAAGUGCUACUUUGGCUGUCUGAAAAAUGGAAUUAGUGUUGAUUUUUUUUGGUUAACGAGUUGAUUAGUUAAUGUGAUGUGUUUUGAUAGAAUCGACCCAAAACAUAGUAUUCAAUGUUCCUAACUUUUGAUAUCUAUUGACUUAGAGUAACGGACUUUGAAAGUUAGUAUAAAGCAACUGAAGAAACUUUUUAUAUCCAAAAACAGAAUAUUAAUGUGGCUUACUAGAUUUUUGGUGCUAUUCUAAAGUAUUUAUGUUUUUAUAUUAUUUAUUUCAAAUAUGUUAGACAUAUUAUUAUAAUUUAUUAGUACUAUUUUCGACAGUUUAUGUUAUUACUUUUGAAACAGAUUAUAUUUAAAUUAGUAGUAUUAAGCUAGGAAAAAACACUUGAAAUUUAUUUGAACACUUGAAAUAAAACUAUAUUUUUGGUUUCUUGUUUUUUUCCUGUGUUUAUUUGUGUUGUAGUAUUGAUAAAUGGCUAUAUAAAAUAAAUACGAACAAGAAAAUGUGAAACUUUUGUUGGUUACAGAACAGAGUUGAUGAUCUUACAGAGAAUUAAAGACAUUUAGUUCGGAGUUAAAAUGACAGUUCUAAUAAUUUACAACAAAGAACUUCCAUCGAACUGGAAAUUGUUUUUACUUUACCCCAACUAAUCGGAAUCUAUUCCUUCCAUUUUUAGUAAGAUUAAUAAAAUCGUGAAAAUCUGACAUUUUUCAUAUCUAUAUAUAAAAUCUUAGUAAAAUCAAAAAUCUUUAAAUAGUUAUCUAGAUAUAUUUAAAGUUAUCUAGAUUUUUUUUUUUUUUGAAAAAGUUAUCUAGAUAUAUUAGAUCUUGAUAAUAAUCAUUAUCCAGUCCUUUCCAUCUCCCAGCAGAGCUUAGACACAACACUUUCAUGGCAAGGUGCAUAUUCCUGCAAAAUGACAACAACAACGUUUGAGAUUAUGUAGAGACCCAGAAACAAUUCAUUUUCUUCAAUUUACCUCAAGCUUCUUCACAAGCUCUUUAGCAGUAGGUUCAGAGACUAUGAUCUCACGAGCAGUAGGGCUGAUGAAUCCUUCUUCAACGGCUUUAUCGAUGAAUGAAAGCAGAGAGUUGUAGUAUCCAUCAACAUUGAGUAAACCCACCUGCAGAAAGUUUGUUUUAGUGAUUUUGGAUUCUUGAAUUUUUCCAUUUGAAGUAAGAAUAUUAGGGAGGGUUUUUUUUUACAGGCUUGUCAUGAAUUCCAAGUUGAGCCCAAGUUAUGACCUCAAGCAAUUCUUCAAGUGUUCCAUAGCCUCCUACAAUUAUCGCACAAAAUUUUAGAUUUGAUUUGUCAAAAGAGAGCAGGUUAAUCUGUUACUAUGAUAUGGUCAAAUCAGUAGGUAUGCAUGUACAAUACAAAACCAAAUAAUAGAGUCCUCUCCUCUCUGUUACUGUUUUGUACAUUGGUACUGACUAUGAUUACAAAAGCAGGAUCUUGACUUUCCAUUAAUGAUUUCAGAUUAAGUGUGGGCCAAAAAAUGCCAUUUGUGGGACUGUUUCAAGUUUUGUCUCUUAACUUGAAAAGGGCAAAGAAAAAAAGUUUGGUCAGAGUAAGACUACACAAGCUAUAGAGAGAGUACCCCCUAAGUUAAAAAAAAAAACAGAGCAAUAAAUAGAGUAAAAGAGAAGGAAAAAGGUAUAAUUCUAAGUGCCAGAUGUUGAUGGUGAAGGCCUUUUAUCUUAGAGCAUCCCCAUUAGUGAACCCCAUGAAAGGGGUUCACAAAAUAUUUUUUUAUUAUUUUUUUUUUUUGGGUUGAUUUUUGUUUUUAAAAAAAAAAAAAAAAAUUUAUUUUUUCGGACCAGUCACGGGUCGCCACGUGCCGUGGGACCCGCACUACAGUAAUGAACCAGGUUCACUGGGAAGGGGUGGAGAGAGACAAGUUCAUCACUAUUCCUUAUUUUAAUAUUUUUUUUUUUUGGAAUGUGUGUGAACCCCCCAUAAGUUCACUAAUGGGGGUGCUCUUACACUCUGGUGACUUUAAAUAUUUAGAUUUUUUUUCAUUUCAAAGAACAAUUAAAAAUAAAAAACUUUUCACAGCAGCUUUCACACUGCAGCUUGACCAAAACAUAAUGUCUUUUUUUUGUGUAACUAAGAAAUCAUGUUUUUACCAAACUCUUUUCUUCUCUUUUUUUACAAAAUCAGUCCAGAAAAACAAACUUUUUCCUUUACAUGAACAAACACUUCUACUUUGAAACUUUGGUUACCCAUUCAAAUUGUUUUAAGAGGCUAAACUGGGCUUCUUAAAAUUCUUUGCGUCACUAGGGUUUGACCAGUUUUCGUAUGUUAUCAUUACUUACAUUGAAAGAACAGCAAAAUUUUGAGGUUUAGAAAUGUUUUUUGAGAAAGAAAACAUUUGAUUGAUAAUUUGGAUGGAUUGGGUUUAAAACAAAACCUGGUAAGGCAAUAAAAGCAUCAGAGUGCUUGGCCAUUUCAGCUUUCCUUUGGUGCAUAUCUGCAACUGCUCUUACUUCUCCUACUGUUUCACCAGUCAACUGCAAAUAACAAUGAUCAUCCACCAUUUUAAAAUAAAUAAAAGGAUGUUAAUUAAAAGUAGUUAACGGGCAAAAGCAACUUUGGGCUCUUCUACAGGCAAACGCAAUGAUGUCACCGCAAGUAGUCGUAUUGUUUGGAUGUUUUUGAAAUCUCCUACAGAACCCUAACAUCUAGUUAACCUCUUUCUAAUCAUUUUCUUCAUAUAUCUUUUAUUCAGAUUACGGUAACCAAAUGAGGAUAUUUAUAUAUUAGGAUACCUAAACUACUCGCAAUCAUGAGAUUUAAGAAAAGGUAAUAAACAGGGAGAAGAGUAAAACCUAAGCAAAGACUGAAGAUUAAAAUGGUUUUGAAUGGGAAUUUGGAAAACUUAAAAGAGAAAUUAAUUAACAACGAACAAUGUUUUAUUUUGAAAUUUUCUUCUUUGAAAAGUUCAUACCUCUCUAGGCAUGAGGGUCUUUGGAAUUAUUCUGCAGAGUGACAACAAAAGGACAAAGUUGAGGUUUAUUAGAAAUAUUCAACAAUAUAAUCCAACGCUUGUGUUCCAUCAGAAUCUCAAAAGACAGUUUUCUUUUGUAUGAUCUGAAGCUCAAAAAGUUGUCAAAUAGUUUAAAGUGAUUUGACUAAGAAAAAGUUACCCAAUAACAUGACGACCACCAUCAUGAACAGCUUGUGAAACCAAACCCAUCAAGCCUAUGCUCCCACCUCCAUAGACUAGAUCAAUUUUCCUUGAGACCUGCAGAACAAAAAAAAAACAGAGUUACACAUUAGCCUAAACUUGAUGAUAAGUAGAACAAAAAUCGUGUAACAAACCAGAACCAGAAUAUUCUGAAGUUAUACCAUUUGGCACGUUUCAAAGAGGAAAUACAUGAAGCAAAGAUGCACAUCAUCUUAUCUCAAAACCAACCAGCAGAAUCAAAGACAUAAAUACGUUGAAAGUCAUGUAUGUGUUACCAGUUCGUUGCCGAGAUCUACAGCAGCAUCUUGGUAACUACUCUUCUUGCCUUGGCUGCUUCCACAAAAGACACAUAUUCUUUUGAACUUUGACUUUUGCAUCGUUUCAGCUUUGAUCUCCAUUGAAUAUGAUCCUAAACUUAUGAUAAAAUAUAAACCCUCUCCGGAAAGAGAAAAGGUAAACAAUUUUAUGGUUUCUUUCAGCACAAGAAUCUAAUUUCGCAAGACAGUUAUGAGUGACAAAGAAACCUAACUAAAUCUGAAAAAAAUAAUUUAUUUUGGGAGUUGUUUUUAUCCUCACCACUAAUGUUUCCUGGCUCAAGGGUUGUUGUUAUAUAUAUAGUGCGUCAUCGAUUUAAGCUUACUUAUUUUAAAUUACAUUCUUUUUGAUGUUUACUAAAGCUAGCAGCCUAGCACAACACUUAAUAAUACAAAUUUAAGUAAAAAUAUCUAAUUAAAUUUAGAAAAAAAAAUAGAAGGCUUUCGUUAAAAAGUUUUUUUUUCUUUGUUUGAAUACUUCAUUUCUGUUUUAUUCCCCAUAAAAAAAAUAUUUUUGACCAAAAUCUUAUAAAUCGUUGAUUUGAAUAUUUAAUAAAAAUCGAUAUUUUUUAGAUUUAUGUUGAGGUCUUUACACGGGAGAAAUUAAAGCACGCGUCUUUCACUACCCGCACGGCACGCGUGACCGAAUUCUUCUUUGUGUUAAUUUUCCCCUUACUAUAAAAUCACGUACAACAAUGAUAGACUAGUACCAUAAACCUUAUUUAUGGUCGUAAAUAACAAUUUUUUUUGUUACUUGAGAGGAAUUUGGAUCAAACCGUAAUCUCCGCUUAAACCUGAAACCAUGUGUCCAUGCAUUGAUAAUAGUUUAUGACAUGGCGUAGAACAUUUCUUUCCAUAUAAAUGACAAUUCUUCGUAAUGGACUUUAUGGUUAGACUCACAAUCACCCAACUAGAUAGAAAUGCCAUGUUAAUGCAGGCUAUAUCUCACAAGGAAUUAUUAUCAGUUGUGUUCUUUGUUGUUAAAGAUCAUAUAUAUCGUGUUUAGACUUCAUAACCCCCUCUUAUGAUUUCUUAAAUAAAGCUCUCAGUGAUUAAAAAAAACUGAUUCAGUAAAGCUUCGUCAUUUUUCGUUCAUAAUCAAGAAUAGGAAAAAUAAUUAAUUUUCUAUAUAAAAAUAAGAAAAAUGGAGAGCAUAUGUGGACAGUGUAAGAUGGGUACAAACGUUAUUAACUGAUACUCUUGAAAAACAAAUAGAGAAAGGGAAAAUAAAUAACCAAAAAUAACCAAGACAAAGGCCACACUAAUAUUCUAAUGGAACCAUGUAGAUGUCAUGGAUACACCAAUGAGAUAUAUACACUCACUUAUCUAAAGAGAUAUAUAGAAUGAAUAAGUUAAUGAGAUGAUGAUGUCUGGGAUAUGGAGCAAUGUGCCAUUGAUGAUUGACAUAAGAAAACAAAGUGAUGGCUUAUGUUACCAGUGUAGCCUAAUUCACCCUCCCUAUGUAGACAACCUUCUUGUUCUUCUUUGCAUAGAAAACGUUUCUUCUAUUUUUAUUCCCCUAUAUUCAUUUUCACCAUCCUAAGCUAUAGUAUGGAGUUGUGAUAUAAAAUUCUUUUAGUUUUUUAAGACUAUUAUUUUUGUCUUUCUCUAUCAGAGUAAAGUAAUCAUUAAAUCAUCGUUGAAUUAUUUAAAGUUAUGAAUUCAGAAACAUAUGCAAAUUAUCGCCUUGUGAAAGAAUGAAAAAUAAAAUUUCUUGUUACACUGCCCAUUUCAGGAGAACCUUUUAUAUAAUCUUGAUUUAUUGAAAAAUCAAAAAUUUAAAACCGAAAGCUGAGAGCUAAAACUAAUAAGAAAAAAAAAACACUAGUUUCGUUAAGACUCUAUCGUAACCCUAUUGACAUGUUGGCUUGGAAUACCGGGAACCUCCCCAACACUCUUAUACUUAACUGUAAGCAAACACUUACAAUAUACUACUUCAGAUCAUAUAUAUUUGUUUAUAACAUGUGUAUAUAGCGUAUGAGUAUUUAAAUAAGAAAAUAAAAUAAUUACAAUCCCAAGAUCUGAGUAGAUGCAACCCAUUCCUUCUAUAAACAAAUAAGUAAGUUUGUAAAAUAGUUUGUAUUAGUAUAUCUGCAUGCUUGCAUGCGCAUUUUUCUCUUGUUUUUCUUUUUCAUCUCUAGUUUCACUUCACAUUCUUUUUGGGUUUUUCACUUCCGACCCAAUUUUUAUUUUAUUAUAAUAACCAUGACGAUGGUAGUGAUACCACAAUUUAAUCAGAUAAUACUUUCAUGCAGUCCAAUUUGAAAGUGUUAAAUAUUUGAAAAUGAGCACAAGAGGUUUUAUACUCGAAUCUUUUUUUAUAGUCUGUACAGAAAAAAAAAACAAAAAGACAAUUUUAAAGGUGGACGUUCGAAGAACAAAUUAUCCUUUUUUACAAAAGGUUAAUAUUUGUCUCCAAUCGAUUUUGACAUGAUUUCAAAGACAUAUAGUGACAUAGCAUUAACGAACAUCUAAGACCAUCUCUAAUGGCUUAUUCUAUUUUUUACUCUAAAAUAGAGUAACUCUAUAAUAGAGUUUGAAUUUGCUCUAAUGGUACUCUAUUUUAGAGUAGAAAAUAGAGUGAUGAACAAAAAAAAAAAUUAAUUUAUAUUUGGAGUAAACUUAUUUUUUACUCUAUUAUAGAGUGAGAAAUAGUAUACCAUUGGAGCAUUUUUCACUCUAAACUCUAUUUUAGAGUAGAAAAUAGAGUGAUGAACAAAAAAAAAAAUUAAUUUAUAUUUGGAGUAAACUUAUUUUUUACUCUAUUAUAGAGUGAGAAAUAGUAUACCAUUGGAGCAUUUUUCACUCUAAACUCUAUUUUAGAGUGAAAAAUAGAGUGAGAUUGGAGAUGCUCUAAUGGAAUCCUAAAUCACUUUAACUAAAAGAAGUUCAUAAAGAAAGAAAAAGUAUUAAGUUAGUCAUACAACUAGUUCAUUCUGUUCAUAAAGGGGUUCUAAGUAUUUAUAAAUAUCAAUUUUUCUUGGAGUGGUUCUCAACCUUUUCAAACAGGUCAACAUUUUUUACUUCCUUUUAUAAAAGGUUUUUGUUAAAUUAAGAAAAGUUCUUUCGAAAGAUGAAACUUGAAUCCUUUAUAUAUUUACUUAUCAGUUAAAGAAGUUCAUUCAUAUUAGAAUUGCCCAAUACAAUUUUGUUCAUAAAGGGGUUCUAAGUAUUUAUAAUUAUCAAUUUCUAUGCAGACAUAGGAAACGCUCCGCGCUUUCUAAUAAAUAUAUAUAUGGGUUAUUAUAUAUCCAUGCCUGACAAAAAAAAAUGCUUAAUUUGAUUUAAUUUAAGAUUAAGGAGAUGAAGAUGAAAAAAUUAUUAACCCAUAUUAUUUUUUCAUUUAAGCUCUGGCUGUAAAAAAGCUGAACAACUUUUUACCAUAUUAUUUUUUUCCGAAGUAUAUUAAAAAGAAGACAAUAUAUUUAUUCACUGUUUUAGGUUUUGUUCCAAGCUAUCACCACUAUUUUGUCAGUAGUACCAUAGAUUCAUGAUUAAAAAUGACUCAAAACCUUUCUUAAUAAAUAAAUUUUAAACCUUAAAUGAAAAACUUAUGCCAAACAUCGUAUCUCAAUAUUGUCUAUAAUUUCUUAAAAUAAAGGAUAAUAUCCUCACACAAUUUUUUGUAGUAGUGUUGAAAAAGAACAGUAAUAGUAUAUUCGGAAUAAAAACCUUUUAAAUAUAGCAUCUACGGUAUUUUUUUAGCUUUUAUGAACUAUUUUAAUGAUUUAUUCUUGUUUUUGUUGUUGGUAAACAAAUAUUUUGAGAUGCUUUGUGUAUUGGAUGCAAACGGCAUAUUUAAAUUAAGGAAAUGCUAAUUGGGAGGCAGGAUAAAAUUCUUAUUGUCGAAUGUCCAUCGAAUUUUUUAUUAAAAAUGUUUGAAUAUGUAAUGUGCAUUGGAGUUAACUAUGACUUAUUCUUAUACGGGUUGGUUUUGUCGUUGAAACAAACAAGAUGUUAUAUUAAGUUCAAAAAACAAACAAGAUGUUAUGGAGUCACACAACACUAUUUCUUACAGAAAAGAUACCUCUAGUUUUUAAAUGAAACUUUUUUCCUAGAAUUUUGACAUCUUUUAAAAGGACAGUCCACGUAUGAGACUAUGUUAUGAUUGCAUGGGUAAAUACUUUAAGGUACAAGACGUGAAACUUAAUGCAAAACUAUCAAUAAAGGUCGAUAUGAUUCUUUAAAACCAAGAAAAGUUCGAUAUGAUUCCGACAAUAUUUUAGAUUUAUGACUUUGAAACCCAAAAGGAACAGACAUUUACCACUUUGAACCGAAAAUAGAACCCCCAAACUUGUUUUUUUCCUCAACGGACCGACGCUAAAUCCACAAAUUAAGGAAUUGAAGAAAAGAGGAGACAAAAAAACAAGAAAGGAAAAGGGAAGAACAUGGAUUUGUAAAUGGUGAAAAGAGGGACAGUCAAAGGUCAGACAGGGACAAAUCAUUUGUUUAGUAGUUAUCAUAAAGUGUCGGACAGUUAAUACCGUUACUUACGAGUCAAAUGUCUCUAUUACGUUUUCACCUAUCACUAGACCAUCUCCAAUGUAUUUUGCUAUUUUCACCUCUAAAAUAGUGGAACUCUAUAAUAGAGGUGAGAUAUGCUCCAAUGUAUUUCCCUAAAAUAGCAAUCUCUAAAAUAUAGAGUAAAAAAUAGAGGAAUGCUAUUUCUUAGAUGAAAAAAUAGAGAUCUCUAUUAUAGAAGAAAAAAUAGAGGUGGGUUAGAGCAAUUUCACUUCUAAAUGCUAUUAUAGAGGUGAAAAUAGCAAUGGGUUAUUAGUGGUAACUUACUUAAAUUACCCUCCCAUCAAUCGAUUUAUAUAUGCAAAAUUCCUGUAUUGUGAAAAAGCCAUGCAUUGUUGACGCAAUUUUUUGUUGUUGUCAACUAUUGAUACGUACUACUAACCAUGUUAUGUAUACAAUGCAUCUUUACAUAAACCUCUUUCAGUAGACUAAAUUCACAUUCAAAUCUUUUGAGUUAAACAUGUUUAAAUUGGAAAAUAUUGAGAAAUAAUAACAAUAAAGAUUUAUUGCCCCUUUCAAAAAUAAAAAUAAAGAUUUACGGUUUUUAGUAAUUACUUGAACUAAAUUUGUUAAAACUUACAUAUACUUACUACUUAGGCAGAUAAAUGACAACUUUUAAAACAGUUAAAGGACAACUUUACGUAUACAGCAUGCAUGUAAGGAGUUUAUGAAGACAAAAGGAGGAAAUAAUCUAACUUAAAGCAUCUCCAACUCCACUCUAUUUUUCACUUUAAAAUAGAGUUUAGAGUAGAAAAUGCUCCAAUGGUACUCUAUUUCUCACUCUAUAAUAGAGUAAAAAAUAGGUUUACUCCAAAUAUAGAGUAAUUUAUUUUUUUUUGUUCAUCACUCUAUUUUCUACUCUAUUUUAGAGUACCAUUGGAGCAAACUCAAACUCUAUUAUAGAGUUACUCUAUUUUAGAGUAAAAAAUAGAGGAAGUCAUUGGAAAUGGUCUUAUAGCAAGAAGAGUGGUGAACGUAAGAUGGAGAGAGUGAACAGUCAAAAUGCAUUCAUUCAUUCCUUUGUUUUUUUUUUCUCUUUUAGAAAUUAAAAUUUAUGUCGUUUGUUUUUGGGACAUUACCUACAUUCAUUUCAACUCUUUCAACCUUUCGGUCAUCUCUAUACGAAUAUACCCCCAUUUGUUUUACAUUUUUAUUUUCUUUUAAAAUUUAUGAAGUUACAUUGGCGCCUACAAUUCAAAAGAUUUAGUUUGACUGGUUUACACCAUGUGAAUCCCAUAGGAUAAAUUAUAAAUAAUUCAUAUGGUUUCUGACGUAUGCGUUAUACAUACCAAUCAAAGAUAGUGAUUAAUUAAAACCUAUCAUGUUAAAUAAUGCCCUUUUCUGAGAUGGUGAAUAGAUAGAUAUGUCGAAUUUUUAGUAUAUGAAAUUGAAAUUAUAAGAAAUAUCCUAAAAAUAUUUGCAUCGACAUUCAUUUGCUACGGAAAAAGGUUAAAAAUGUCUUCAAAAAAGGGUAAUGGACGUUUAAUAUAGGAUUAAGUAGCAAAGGAGCAAACAUGGAACAUGUUCAUCUCCUAUGAAUGAGGUGAAUAAGUAAAAAAAAAAGGAAUAAGUCAAAGUAGGUCUAGUUGCUGGACCGGUUCUAAGGACAACCGGAUGAAAAAUCCAUCUUAAUCCCAAUUUUUUUUAAAAACUAAGAACUAUGAUACGUAGACCACAUGGUCCAUAUACUAUCCAUAACUUUUUAGUAAGAUAAACCUGAUAAUGUUUGCCAAAGCUCCUUUAGUUCAAUGUUUGACAAAGUGGUCACUAAUGGUUAUACAUCAUGAAGUCUAAGUUCUGAAUCUUAUAGAAGGCAAAAUUGUGCUGGAGAAUUUUCUUAUAAAAGAUGGAGCAAAGAAUACCAUAAAACGUAGAUCUCAUAAGUCAGCUCAAAGUGAUGUAGUCAAAUGUGAAUCCUUAUAAAAAAUAUAAUCAUCAAUUAUAUAAUCGUUAUAAUAUUUUUCAUGGUUUGCAAUAGCAUAGUUAUCCAACAUUAAAAAAAACCAAAUAAUGUUUUUUUCCAUAAAUUUUUGAUCCGGCUUUGUUGCGCUGUCCACGUUCAAAACUAUGGCAUAUAUAAUUCACGAGGUUUGAAAUAGUGUUCCUUUUAUUUGUUUAGUUAGUUCUCAAUAUUUUUCUUUCAAAUGAAUGACAAGAGAGAUCGUAUGAGACGAAUAUGAGAGAUAGGUUAAGAAUCAGGAUGUUUUCGUCCACAGUAUAUAUAAGAAAUUAUUAUAAGAGAUUGUACCUCAUGGAACAACGCUAAGAGUAUGACUGGUUUUCCCGCUACCGCACGCAAACGCAACUUUUGCGGUUGAUAGCGGUUGUUAGCGUUUUGCAACAAUCACUCAAAUCGCUCUAAAUCGUUUCAAACCUCAUAAACUCAAAACUGGUUACAGCUAGCGUUUGCGGUUGCGGGAGGAUAAUUUUUUAAACAAUAUAAAUAUAAAAAUAAAAAAAUUCAAUAAAAUUUUUAAAUUGAAACUAUAAAUAUUCUUAAAUAUAUCUAUUAUAUUUUAAUUAAUAUUAUAAUCUUUUUUUAUAAAAUAUUUUCUAUAAUUUUAAAAUUUUAAAACUAUAACUUUCUAAAUAUAAUUUUUAUAUUUAUUUUAAUAUCAUGAUUUUGAUAUUUUUAUAAUUAUAUAAAAUGUAAAUAUUGUUAAUUUAUUAUUUAACUGCUGCUGCAUUUGGUAGUUAACCAGUCUUAAGUAUUCCGCAAACGCACUAAUUUCUAACCGCAUAAUCAGUCGUACAAAUCUAUUAAAACCGCUAGAAAUCGCAACCACCCGCAACCGCAACCGCUACGGUUGAACCAGUAAGACCCUUAAUUUAAUAAAAAAAUAACAAUUUUUAACAAUCCAAAAACCUAUAAUUAUAUAUAUAUAUAUAUAUAUUAACUCUAAAAAUAAUUGGAGACCCAAGACCAAUGUUUCACUUGGAUAUGCCUCACAUCGGCUCUGAGGUUGCUCNNNNNNNNNNNNNNNNNNNNNNNNNNNNNNNNNNNNNNNNNNNNNNNNNNNNNNNNNNNNNNNNNNNNNNNNNNNNNNNNNNNNNNNNNNNNNNNNNNNNNNNNNNNNNNNNNNNNNNNNNNNNNACUAGAUGCUUUGUCCGCGCUACGCGCGGAUUAUGUCUUUUUAAAUUUUGUCUCUAUAUAUCUAAAUUGCUUAGCAAAGUUUGUAAGACAUAAGUUGAGUUUUAGAUUUUAUAGAGAAGUAUAGAUUUGCUCAAAAAAAAAAAGAUAAAAUUGUUUAAAACGUAAACAAAUCUAGGUAUCAAGUUGUGUGGGAAAGAGAAUAAUAAUCCAAAUGAUGCAUGAACUAAAGUCAUUAUUUGUUGCAUGCUUUUGAAUGAUCUCUUAUUCGCCAUUUGAAAUGCUUUAUGUAAUCAAUUGAUUUGUUGAAGUAGAAAUUUGUUGUUGGUGAUGAACUGAGUAGUAAUUUGCCUGGAAAAUAUUAGAUAUUAUUAUUCUGUUGAUAAAAAAAUAUAUUUAGAUAUGUAUUAUUUCUUGAUGUGUUUAAAAAAAUUAUGUACCUUGGAAAAGUUUAGGAAUUAUGCUUGUGAUGAUGACAACUUUAAAUUUCAUAUUCUUCUUGCUUUGUAAGAUGCUAAAAUCUGUUGCUUGCUUGUCGUACAAUAUGAGUUUGACCAUUGUCGACCUGAGAUAGAAGUUUAUGUAUGAAGAGGAUUAUGAUUUCGUUUUUAGCUAUUGUGUUAGACUUACAUGUUUAGCCGUAAACCAAUCGUGGCAUCAGUAUUGAUUUCUGGGUAGUACGGAUUUGUUUUUUGUAUUAUGAGUAUCUACCCGACAACAUCUGCACAUUGAUUUUGAGUUAGAAUAAAAAUCCAUGUUUGUUUAAUUAAUAUUGGGAUGACUUACUUACCUUGUAAGUAGGUGGGUGUAGUGACUAAGUGCAAUAGAUUUUUGUAAUUCCGAGGAGAGAAAGUGUGAACUGGAAAUAUUGGACCGAUGUCUAGAACUUUCGAAGCUAUUGUCUUUUAGUCAAUCUGAAUGUAAUACGGCAGUUGGGUGAGUUUUCGAUGUCGUGAAUUAUGUAUGACAGAAAACCCUGAAAACUCAUAUAUGUCUCCCUCGGCCAUAUUUUCUGGGUCAUUUGGCUGAAUGUUUCCGGUGAGCCGACCUUCUAAUAGUUGUCCCUGAAAGUGAACAAAUUUUGUUGUGCCGAGCCAUUGAAGUAAAUAGUGAGUAGUUUAAAUCAAAUAUGUUGGAUUGGGAAAUACAUAUAUAUGUAUAUGCUAAAUUUAAUUAAAGGCUUACGUGGUGGUCGUAGCACAUGAAGCCGAUGCAAAUUUGAGUAUUAUUUGUUUGGUGUUUUCUGAUGUCCCAAACACUUCUUAUACAUACCGUGAUAGGACGCACUGAAAUCCCUUCUUGAAGUUGGUGAAUUUGUUGAGGAAUGUGUUGCAUGUGAGAUGUCACUAUAAAUUACAAAAGAAACUAUAAAUUAUAAUAAGAUACAUGUAUUCCAACUAUUACUAUUACACACAUGGAUAUAUUUUCAAAAUUAACUCAGAAAAAUAAGUGUACCAUGCAUAUAUGUACUUGUCUAUAAUAUUUUAUAGUUACAGCAAAAAAUAUAUAAAUAGUAUUUUACAGAUAUGAUCUUGAGAUUAGAAACAAAUUAAUUUUUCUUUUUAAUAAAAAAUUAAAAUUAUUAUAUUGAGUUUUUUUGUUUCUAAAAAAAUAGUUAGUUAACCCUAUAUAUAAGACAAAUAAUAAUAUAAGAAAAAAUAUAAUUAUAUCUUAAUUAUAUAAAUAUUUGUUUUAAAAUAAUCACAUUGUAACUGCAUAUCUUAAGAGAUAUAACAUGUUUAAAAUAAAAUUUAACAACAAAUACCUCUACAUAUCAACAAAGGAAAAAUAAAUUAUUAAUUCAAUACUAAAAUUUAAUUUAAAAAAAAAAAAUAUUCAUAUGCUUGAGACUUUACUAAAUUUUUUUAAAAAAAAUUAAUUUAAUAUAUUAUUAUAUUAAUUUGGGUAAUUUGGAGUCAGACACUGUAAUUUGGUAUUAGGAUCUUUUUACUUAUUAAAUGAAACAUUUUGGUCAUUUACAUUCAUGUGGUUUAUUUUUGUGACUAAAACUUGAGAAUGAUCUAUUAGGAGAAUUACCCCUACUCUAAUUAGAAAUGUGAUUUUAGAUAUGCUAUAAUAUUGGUAUUGAAGUUUAAAAUGUUACUAAUAAAAAUAAUAUUAAUAAAUUGAAAAUAAAUUUUUUUAAAAAAGUUUCAAAAAGUAUUUUCGAAUUUCGAACAGAAAAUUUGGAAAAAAAAUUAGUAAAAACAAAUUUGGAAAUUUUUUUUUAGAAAGUUCGAAUUAGCAAACACAUAAUCUAAAAAUAUAAAAAAAUACUUAUUUUUAUUUUAUUUUUAUCAUAUAUUUCUCUGAAUUCAACAAUAAUAUUUUUUAUUUUAAAUAUAUUAAAAUUAUGAUUAAUUUUCUUAUUUACAUUUUCGUUGGUUGUUGUCAUAGAUAUGUAUAUAUGUUUCAGGAAGAUCAAAGAGGUAAAAUAAUGACCAAAAUGUUUCAUUAAAGAGGUAAAUAUACAUUUAUACCUUUAUUGCUAACUAAUACAAACCUUAGGGUAUAGAGAUAAGGGCGGGGAAUUGGGACUGAAGUUUAAAAUUUUAUUAAAUAAAAAUAACACUAAUAAAUUAAAAAUUAAAAAUUUAGAAAUAGUUACAAAAGUAUUUUCGAAAAUAUACUCUUUUGCACCGUAAAUAUAAAUUAUAGUUCAUAUAGUAGACUAACGAUUUGCUAUAUUUUGCCAUAUCAUUCUAUAUACAGUUUAAAUGUGUAUAUUGUUACCUUGAGCCUUGAACAAAAAAAAAACUGAAACCGCAUAAAAAGAAAAACAAACCAAUUGCUGGACCCUUGAAAUUUUUAUUAUUUUUCUCAGUGAAACAGGCAGAAGAUUAUAUAUUUACCUGCAUAUUCUAUGGGCCGGUCAGAGAGUGGGCUAUCCAUUCUGUUGAGUCGGCGAUCCUCGCAACCAACCUAUUACAAAUUAGGUAUAUGUAUUAGGUUUACUUUGAAAACGUGUACGUUUUUCGACGUAUCCAAAGAAUGAUGGGUUUUUUUUUUGAGAGAUGGAUUGUUUAAGUUUAUUUCAUACGCAAAACAAUGAUGAGUUUUUGGGAGAGCUUGAUUAAACAUAAGCUAACUAUGUUUUUUUUUAAAUUUCCACCACUAAAAACACAGCAGAGCUUUAUAAGAUUUCGUCAAAAUCACUACACUCUGGUUAAACUAAACAUCUCAGAAUGUUAAUGAAUGACCAAAACAGAGCAAGACCAAGCUUUUCAUAUUUUAAAAAGAGAGCAAAAUCGAAUGAAACUCAAAGCUUCACCACAUAGAUUAAGAGCAGAACAUGGUAAAUUAAUCAAAAGCCAUAUAUUACUGUGAAACCAAUCAACACAAGGCUGAGUAAUCUGAGACUGACCAAAUAUUAUUGUAUGAGUACCUGUUGUGAGCAGUCGCGAAUUGGUGAGAAGCGUUUGUGCAGAGGGAGGCGUUGAAAAUAAUAAGGUUAAUAGAAUUACUUAGGUUGAUUGAUUUUGUGUUGAUAAAUAAUAUAUCAGACACGUAAUUGUAGCUAAUUUCCUAAAGUGUAAGAGGCAAUAUUCGUGUAUAAAUGUGUAAAUAUUAGCAAUCUUAACCUCACAUUUUCAAAUAAAAUGCUUUGUAUCAGGAUCAGGCAAACCAGGUUCCAUUUGGGUAGUAUUGCAAAGAACAAAUAGAGCAGGAAAUAAAGUCCACAUGACCCAAUUUAAAUAUCGAACCUAAAAAUAUAAAGCAUCAGAUACAUCAAUACUAAAAUGUUUAACAAAAAGGAGUAGCAAACAUAAGGAUAACCAAAAAAGUUUUAACAAAGAUAGUUCAGAUGCUGCAAAGACAAAGUUUGAAUAUGAAAGAAACAAAGCACAAUAACUUAAUAAACAAAACCAGUACUUAAAACUUAUUAGCCACAUAAGACCAUUACUUAAACUGCAGCAACACACAAUCACUGCAUAAGAGGAUAGGCUGAGGCUUUAUUAGCCACUCUUGGAACGCUUUGCUUCAAGUGAUUCAAGACUCUCAGAGGAUUUUCUAACCCUAUCACCAGCGGAAUGCUCAAAGCUUGUAGAAGGACCAGAUUCAUCACCUACACCCUUCAAAACAUCAUCGGACACUGCUGGAGUAGUGCCUUCUUCCAAGUGUGCUAUAGCAAGUGGAGCUUCUGGUGGAAGUAUCUUUGUGACAGUUAUGGUUUGAGUCUUGCCUGUUAGAUUAUGAUCUGAGACUUUGACAAUGAACUUGUGCGUGUGCCCUAUCGUAUCAAGUAAAGCUUGCGGUACCGGCACGGGAUGGUCAGCUCCUAAUCCCUCAUUUGACUAACAUUCAAUAAAUUAAUUUUUAGUUAGACCAAUAUGGGGCUCAACAUAGACAGACUUGAAAUUACCUCAAAACAUUUGGCAACCAAUUCGGAUGCAUGCUUCCCAGUCAACUCUUUACCAACAUCACCAAGAAUGGCAAAAACUGCUUGUUCACUCUUGUCAUAAACAUCAAUCUUCGUGAGAUAUCUGCAAUGAAAGAUGAUUAGUUAUUAUUUCUUACAAAAAGUAGAUAAAACAUUGUCUAAAAUACUUACUGAGGAACGCCUGUGACCUCCCUUUUCACACACUUCUUAUUGUUGCAAAUCAGUGAAGUAGGCCCUUUGAUUGCCUUACUAUUACACCCACCACAAGAAAUAUAAUACCAAGAAGAACUCUGGACAAUAUCAUCUAUAGUUGUUGUGCACUCAAACCAAGCAACCUGCAAAAUUGAGAAAAAUAAACUUCAUAAAUACCCAAGCAUGUCAUAAUGAAUGAUAAAACAGAUCAACUUUGAACCUUAGUAGUCUCCUGCUUGAUGUAAGAGUAUAGUUCCUCUAGUGUUACUGGCUCAGGCUUAGUGACAACCUCUGCCGUAAUCUUAUUAGCAAUGUCCAAGUUAUAGCUCAGCCUGAGGAAAUUGAGGAACACAAAAAUAUGUUAGAAAGUCACAUGAAAUGACAAAGCAGAAGCUGUAUGAAAAAUGAUCUGACUACAGAAAUGCCUAUCAUGCAAGAUAAUCCUUGGUAGGCUGGACAUCAGUAUCCAUAAACACUCUAGAUGAUGCCAUAGAAGCAAGAGCAAGGGUUCCUGAUCAUAACAAAUAAAUUGAUUACCAACAAAAAAAAAUUAAAGGAAGAAAGCUAUAGACUUGCAACGAUUAUUUCAUUGAUAUUAUCACAUAUUGUAUUGAAAUAUUUUAAGUAAAAUGAUAACCUCCAAGAUGUUUAGGGUUUACUGUGGUGACCAAAAGAACGGUUGGAGUCCGUCCAUAUGAUAUGAACUUCUGGCAGAACUCGGAUGCAGCAUUGUCCCAUAGAUAGAGCUUCAUCACUGGUCCGCUGUGUAAGGAUAAAAACCAUUUGUUAAAAAUAGCACACAGAGAUUGCGUCUAAAAAAAAAUAAACAAACUUACUCAUGUGUUUGUACAUGAACACACAGAUGCCGCUUCUCUGCUAUGUCAACUUCAUCAAGAGCAGUGUGGUCAGUGAUAGUCUGCCCAUUCACCAGUUUCAUGUGGCCAACAUAAUCUGAAAUAGAAUAUAUAAAGGUCCCAGAUAUCAGACUUAUACAACUAAUAUCAUUUCAAACGGGUAUAAAAGGAACUCAUCAUUUGUUCACAAAUCACAUAUCUACUAUAAAUAUGUAAGAAAAACUCAUUGAAAUAGUAGUUACUGGAGGUGAUUAAUUAUUCUAACCAAAACAUAAAUAUGUAACAAAACGCAUUGAAAUAGUAGUUACUGGAGGUGAUUAAUUAUAACCUAAAGAUCUAAGUAUAAACACCAAAAAGAAGUCAGCAAAGCUUACCAUAAAGAUCAACUCUGCGGUCGCAGUUGGCAUGAAACUCCUCGUACCUAUGGAACCUGAACCUGUCUUCGAGAAUUGGGACCGGAUGGUUCUCGAGAACUUUCAAAUCAGAGUUCCAAGAGAACGAAAUGGUGGCCCUAUGAUCAGCAACCCGAAACUGGACUUUGCUUCUGGAUCCGAAGAAGUUACUCAGUUUAUAAACAGAACCUGAUGUCAGCUUAUACAUCCCAACCCGUCCUGCUGUAAUAAAACCUUGGAUGACAGUUCCCUAUAAAUCAUUUGGAAUUGACAUUAUCAGAAAUACCAUCUCAAUCAACCAAUUUUAAAACAGUAGAAAUUAACAAAGAACAAUUUUUAGAAGAACCUCUUCGUCAAUAAGAAGCAUCUCCUGUCCGAUGAGUUCUUUCGUGUUUAGAUUUCGAGCCUCCCAAAAGUGAAUCAGACGAAACCUCAGCUCCGCUUCGUGUGGGCUGAAUGAAACAUCUCUGAAGAACAUCUAUCGGUCGCCAUGCGCGGAGGAGAGAGCAACAUCAGAUUUUUGCUUCUUCGGAAUGUCAGAUGGAACAUCACUCUUGCCGUUAGGUUUCGCCGCAAUCGCCGAGGCAGCAGUAAACUUCCCGUGUGGCUUCAUAGACGCGAAGGAAGCAAACGUCUUCUCGUUGGUCUUCUUAUCACUCUUGCCGUUAGGUUUCGCCGCAAUCGCCGAGGCAGCAGUAGACUUCCCGUGUGGCUUCAUAGUCGCGGAGGAAGCGAACGUCUUCUCGUUGGUCUUCUGAUCGCUGGAGACUGUAGAGUUGCCUUUGGAUUCCAUCGAGAUAGUUACUUGAGAGAAUCUUAUGGAUUUUAAUGGAAAUAUAAACUAUGAAAAGAGAUUUAUAAAUAGAGAAACGAAGAGGAAGGUGAAAGGAAUCCAUUGAUUAAGUUCAGUAAGAGGAUUGAUUAGAUCAGAUAGUGGUGAAACGGAUCUGAAGGAUCUGGAGAAGAGUAACGAAAGAGGUGGAAGGGGAAAGGCAAGAGAAGAAGAAGAUACGACAGUCGGCGGAGAGGAAAGAAACGAUACGACUUUGGAGAGUUGUUGGUGAUGGACUGGGCUUAAAAUAUUUUAAAAAGCCCACUAACUCGGAUUGGUUUGUAUGACCCAAACACAUCGUAUUUCUCUAAUGAAAAUACACAAAUACGAUGGUGACGUGGAGUAACCAAGCUGUGGGAUUGGCUCUAAUUAACUGUCCUACGUGGACACCUUAGAAUGCCAUGAUAUCGGGCUUUUAGUAGUGUUAGAUGCCCCAAGUAUUAUUUUAGCAACUUUACAAACUUUAAUUAUCUAUAAAAAAAACUAAAAUAUGCCCCUUAAAAUUUGCUGUCCUAAGCGACCGCUUCACUCGCUUAUCCUAAAACCCGGCCCUGUUAGCCAUCGCAAUAUCUAGGUGUAGUAUAUAUUAGGGUAUAACAACGAACUUAGUAGAGUAGUAUGAAAUUCCCUUAAACUUGGUUUAGUUUGGUUGAAACGCGUAAUUAAAUAUCUUAGUAUGAAACUCCGCAAGGACUGAUGAUGUAGAGUCUAGAGACAUACUUGAGACCAUCGCAAACACUAUACACUUUCAAUGGAAUCAGAUCUCUCUAUGGACGAGUUUCGACACUAGAUCCAUAACAUUGGGCCAUUGUAAGAACCAUGUCUUUAAGCAAAUAUUUGAUUUCUCUUGAAUUUGCUCAUUCAACUGCAUAUUGUAUUUGAUUCAAAUAGAUUGCUCUGAUUUUGGUGUUUUAUGUGGUUAUCAAAUGCGUUUAUACUCAUAAGCGCAGAAGAUCAGAAAGCACUGAACAAGACAGAGAAGAUUGAAUCAAAAUAAAGCGAAGCAGUUAAUGACAGCAUUCAGACAGACAAGAACAUGGUCUUCACUUAUAAAUCUUAAACUCUAUUAUGUUUUUCAAACAAAAGACCAUCCGUGCAUCCAAGGCACAACAACACAUAGCUUAGUACGGUCCACCGAAACUGCCAUCCUCUCACAAAAACUGCUUCAAAGCGCCUGUUACAAUUUCAUUUACUCAGAUAAAUCAGUCAUAAAGUGGUUAAUAACAUCAAAAUGCCCUUCUAUAAGUACAAUGGUUAAGUCAAUCAUACCUCUCCAGAGAAUAGGAAGCCAUAGAUUGGUGCUCAAAACUGGCGCCUUGGAGGCCUAGCCUCAGCUUCAGACACUCUAAUCUGCCUCCCGUCCAAAUCCUACACAAGUCACAUCAAAAGCAUAUCAAGAGAAGUUUCACUGAUCACACUGUAAGUGUCAAUAAUAAAAAAAGAUACUUACAGCACCAUCCAAGGUUCUGAUGGCAUUCUGAACCUCUUGAGCAGAGUUGUACGUCACAAACCCAAAACCUUUCGACCUACCACUGUCCCUGUCGUAGAUGACUCUAGCCUCAACAACCUUCCCUUGCUCCCCGAACAAACUCUCGAGCGCCAUGUCAUCGACUCCCCACGAGAGAUUGCCGACAUAAACACGGUUCCCUGAACCAGCACCACCACCUCCACCAUAUCCUCCACCGGAGCUUCCAAAGCUGCUUCUAGGUCCUCUUGAGAAGGAGUCUUCCCUCUUCGGUGGAGGAGGACCCGCGUUAACUCUCAACGGUCUACCAUCCAACUCCUGCAAACAAAACCCAAUAAGAACAACAAAACAACACAAAGGUUCCAACUUUUUGUCUUUAGCAACCACAAGUUUUUGUCUUUAGCAACACAAAGGUUCCGACAUAAGUAUGUUCUUACAUAGCCAUUGAACUGCUGUUCAGCUGUCUGAACCUCAGAGGCUGAAGACAUAGUCACAAACCCAAAACCUCUGCUUCUCCCUGUCACCUUGUCAUAGAUUACCUAAACAAAGACAACAAAACGAACAAUCACUAAAACCAAUCUCAAACAACAACAACAACAAAAAAGAUUCAAUCUUUAUCUCAUUUCUCGAAAACCCACAACUCAAUUUUGAGUUUUUGACCCGUUACCUCAACCAUCUCGACGUUUCCGGCGCUCUCGAAGAGCUGAGCGAGCUGAGCGCUGUCGACGUUAAAGGGGAGGUUACCGACGAAGAGCUUGAGGUCAGAAGAGAAGGAUUGCUCCCGCCGCGGGGGAGGAGGAGCGUCGUCGUCAGCGAAGAUGCCGUCUUCUUCGACUGAGAAGUCGUCAGUAACCGCGACGUUACGGACGAAGCGAGAGGAAGCGGCGGAGAUGGAGAGGGAGAGGGAGGCGGAGAGGGAGUGGAGAUUGAAGGAGAGGGAAGGAGGUGAGAGGGAAGCGGAGGCGGGUCUGGAGAUGGAGAAAGGAAGGGACUUGGGGGUGAAGGUGGAGAGAGCGAGAGAGGAAGCUGAAGCAGCCAUGGUGAAGAGAUGAGAAGAGAUAAGGUUUGUUUUUAGCUUUAGGGGUUUUUUGAGAGUGGAGAUAAGAUGGUGUGUUUCUGAUAUUUAUGGGCCAAAUGGGAAUAAAUAUCUUUGCACAAAAUAUCUCAUUCUGAUUUUUAUUUACAAAAUUUGCCUCAAAACUUUAUUUUAUUGCUAAAUAUUCUGCUGCUAAUAAAAUUUGUCAAAUUUUGAUGAAUUUAUCUUAACGUCAUCUCUAAAAAAAGUAUGUAUUUAAAAAAAAUAUAGGUUUUCAUAAAUUUGUACACAAUUUUUUUAGAAAAUCUUAAUUUUCAAAAUAUUUUGUAUUUUCUCACUUUAGUGGUGUUAUCUUUAGUGAGAUGACAGAUGAGAUGAGAUCUAAGCCGUAGAGUUUUGGAUGGACAGUGGAGAUGGCACGUCUCAUGCCAAGGCCCCAAAAAUAUAAAAAAUCUAUAAGAUAGGAUAUUUUAACUAAAAGCCAAUGGAAUUAACAACUCUCGUUCCAGCACAGAUCUUUAACUCCAAUAAAUUCAGAAAACAAUACAGUUCCUUUAAAGAAAACCACUGAAUCAUACAAAGGUUGCUCCAUUCAAAACAAGUUAAUAAGAAACUAUUUAUUUGGAUAACAAUAGAAGACUGAAGUUCUUGAACUGCAAAACGCUUUUAGGAUCUCUUCAAUUGGAGGGUCAUCUCCAGCUUCUUUGUCCUGAAACGUUCCAACAAACAAGUUGUUGAGUACGAGAUUGUGAUUAAUUUACCCCUUUGAUUACAUUGACAUGGUGUAAACACAAGUAUUUGAUCAAAACGUGUUACCUGGUCCAUACUCCCCGGUCCGAUCAAAACAUGAGAAACACCAGAUGCAUCCAUCACAUGCUAAGAAAACCUCAAAUGUAUCACUUAAUGAAAUGAUCAAAACCACAUCAAGAUUUUGACAUUGUUGUUUUUACUCCGGGAAAGCCGAAAGAAAUAAGAAAAAUCCUAACUUUAAGUUUUAGUUAGAAAAAAAAAUCAAAUUAAAAAAAUCUCGUGGAGUGGAGUUAUUACACGUUGCAUAGAUGACGUAAGCAUUGUCCGAAACAGAAAAAGUCAAACGCCACGUAAGCUCAGUAAGGGUAAAAAGUUUUGGAAAGGUAGAUCCUUUUCUAAAAGCGAAUGUUCCUUCUUUGCACGUUCAAGCGAUCUCAAGCCGCUCCUCUCUCUCUCUCUCUAUCAUCUCUGAAAUGGCGAGAGUACUGCGUGUGGCGAGAUCCUCCUCCUCCCUCUUCAGCUUCGGAAGCAGAUCUUAUUCAGCCGAAGCUAGCCACGUGUCCUCUCCCCCUCCUCCGUUUCUUGGAGCUCGCAGAGACGUUACCAAGGAGAGAAACGUGCAGUGGGUGUUCCUCGGUUGUCCCGGUGUCGGGAAGGGGACUUACGCCAGCAGACUCUCGAGUCUCCUCGGUGUUCCUCACAUCGCCACCGGAGAUCUCGUCCGUGAUGCGCUAGCUUCUUCCGGACCUCUCUCCCGACAGGUUCUUGUUUCACUUUAUGUCCAAAUGAAUCCCAAAACGACGUCGUUUUCUGUUUAAAUCUGCUAAAAGUUCAUGUGUCUACCAACAGAUCUAAUGAACUAGUGUUUGUUUUGUCCUAACGGAUCUGAUCCUUUUUCUAAUAAUAGUCAACGGCUCUCUCCUCUUGCUUGUAUUGAGAUUCUUAUUACUUGAUUGCAGCUAUCAGAGAUUGUAAACCAGGGGAAGCUUGUUUCUGAUGAGAUCAUAGUGAACUUAUUAUCAAAGAGACUUGAAGCUGGUGAAGCCAAGGGCGAAUCAGGUUUCAUUCUUGAUGGCUUUCCUCGUACCAUGAGACAAGCUGUAAGUUAAUUCAUUGACUUCACAUCAUAUUGAGCAAAGUUUUGAAUGAUUAAUCUUUGUGUUUUCAGGAAAUAUUAGGAGAUGUCACUGACAUCGAUCUAGUGGUGAACUUAAAGCUACCUGAGGAGGUUUUGGUUGACAAAUGCUUAGGGAGGAGAACGUGUAAUCAAUGCGGUAAAGGUUUCAAUAUAGCUCACAUCAACUUAAAGGGUGAGAAUGGGAAACCAGGAAUCAGCAUGGAUCCACUUCUCCCUCCACCUCAGUGUAUGUCAAAGCUCAUCACUCGUGCUGAUGAUACUGAGGAGGUUGUGAAAGCUAGGCUCCGUAUUUACAAUGAAACCGUAAGUCCUCUUUCUCUCUCUCUAUUGUUCUUCCCAUUUUAGCGAUGCUUGAUGCUUUGAAUGAUGUGUGCAGAGCCAGCCUCUUGAAGAGUACUACCGUAUCAAGGGAAAGCUGAUGGAGUUUGACUUACCUGGAGGCAUCCCUGAGUCUUGGCCAAGGCUGUUAGAAGCUUUAAGGCUUGAUGAUUACGAGGAGAAGCAAUCUGCCGCGGCGUAGUUCAACUACAACUCCGGUUUAUAAUUCUUUGCAUGUGGAAGACAUGUGCCUAUAUCAGUUUUGUGUUGGAAAAUAAAGAAAACCUUAGAUUGUUUUUUUUUAUUGCCUCAGAUCAGAAUAAUCAUCAUCAUACACACUUUGCAAACUAUAUGAUGUAUCAUGAUUGUUUAUGAGUUUGCUAGUUACAGGAAUGUAUAAACACUUUGGUACACUUUUGAUUAUUUAUUGUUGAAUGUGAUCAAUGAUUGUUUAUGAGUUUGCUAGUUACAUUACAUGAAUGUAUCAAUACUUACACUGCUUGUUACACAUCAGGUUUGAUGUUUGGGCUCUUGUGAUUAGUUUGUUUAUUGUUGAAUGUGUGUGAUAAUAUUGCGGCUGGCCGAGCUGGCUGGUUAAAGAACACAACCAGACAGUAAAGUAAAACAGUCGCAUACAUUAAAGAUUUUGUGGAACGUAUAACCAGCUCCUGUCUGUCCUAGAAUUGGCGGUUCGGGAUAGAACUGUUCCUUACAUACUGGAACUUCCAGUAGAAUUUGAUGCUAAUUGUUGGUCCUAAACUAGUGUGUAUCAGUUGCUAUGUGAUCUCAUAACUGGACCUUAUCUUAUGGUUUGUGCUUGAGGUUUCUGAGAAAUCGCUGGGUUCAUUUGAUUCUUCUGGUUUGACAAUUAGUUUCUUGUUAUGGACACGGUGAAAUCAGACUCAAAUCGGUGGAAUAAGACAGCCUCAAAGAAGGCAGACAUAAUCAUGUUUGCUCUUGAUUCAUCUUCAAUCUCAACAGGACAUUAAAAUCAAUUUGUAGCUUUAUUUUGUUAGUAUAUAGAUUUGAUGAAAUAAACAACCUUUAAAUUAUAAAUAUAAAGAUGAAAAUAUUCUUAAACAUGAAACCGUUUUGAUCAAGAUUCAAAAAAAACUUCAUUAAAAGAUAGGGACAUCUUCUGAAACAUAUCCAAAAAGCUCUAAUGAAAAACAGCAAGAUAAGGUCUUUGAGAUGUAAUGCAAACUCAAGGCCUAGGAAGAUCCUCCUUAACGGUUGGCCUUCGCAACUCUCUCAAUCUCAUCCUUCUUCUUGAUGGCAUAGCUGCAAAAAAACAAGACAAGAUGCUAUUAGUAUUUAGCAACAAACAAACACAAUUUGUGAACCCGCUUUAAGAGACAAGACAAUGUAAAGAUGUUUACCUGUUGGAAGAUCCCUUGGCAGCAUUGAUGAGCUCAUCAGCAAGGCACUCAGCGAUUGUCUUGAUGUUUCUAAACGCAGCUUCACGUGCACCAGUGGUGAGCAAGAAGAUGGCUUGGUUCACACGUCUUAGAGGAGAGAUAUCAACAGCCUGCCUCCUAACCACACCAGCAGAUCCAAUCCUCGUCGCAUCCUCACGUGGACCACUAGCUCACCAAUAAAACACACACAACAUUAGAAAAAAAGGUUUCUAGUAACACGCAAUAAAGAAUGCAACAUUGUUGUCUUACCUGUUGACAAUGGCAUCAAUGAUAACCUGAAUAGGGUUCAAGUCAGUCAAGAGAUGGAUGAUCUCCAUGGCGUGCUUGAUGAUCCUCACAGCCAUCAGCUUCUUUCCGUUGUUCCUUCCGUGCAUCAUGAGAGAGUUCGUGAGCCUCUCAACGAUUGGGCACUGAGCCUUCCUGAACCUCUUCACAGAGUAUCUUCCAGCAGUGUGGGGGACAAAGGUCGCGUGCUUAGCAGGCUGAACACCAAUGUAGUCAACAAGACUAAUGUCUGUGACCUACCCAUUCACAAAAAAAAAAAACACAAGAUCAACAAAACAAAUACUAAGAACAUAGCCAUUGUUGCCAAUUUAAAUUUUAGAGAUCUAAUAUUCAAAAACAAACCAAACAACACAGAAAGUGUUGGACUUUAAGACAAAGAAACAUCAGGAUCAACCAAGUGUACUGAGACAAUAAAACAUGAAUUGAAAAUUAACAAAAAUAAAAACAAAAAGAGGACAUUUUUUCCGACAUAACUCCAUGAGUUAUAUCUAAUUCAGACAAUGUAACUAUUUUUUUGUAAUAGACCAAUCAUUUCAUUGUAGAAUUAGAUCCUAUAAAGAUUGCAAAUGAGCUAUCGUAAACUUACCGAAACGUCAUCAAAGCUCCAGCGAUUGAAGAGCUUGACCUCGUUGGUAAGCUGCUGCUGAAUCUCAGCGUCAAUCUCAACGGCGGCGGCCAUGGCUGGAAACACCAAACAAAAGCUUAGCCACAAGCACACACGCAAACCAGAGAAUCGAAGAUGAAGAAGAAAUCAAUACCUCAAACUCGUAAGCGUCGUGNNNNNNNNNNNNNNNNNNNNNNNNNNNNNNNNNNNNNNNNNNNNNNNNNNNNNNGCGUCGUGUGGAGAUGAGACGGGACUAGGUUUAGCUGCAGCUACUGCUUGAAGAAGGUGGUGAGAAGAAACAAAAACCCUAAUUUUACUAGAGUAUAGGGUUUUUAAAAUGGAUUUUAUUGGGCCCAAUGGGCUUUUCGUAAGGCCCAGUCCAAGUCGUUAUACCAUAAGUCUUUAGAGCAUACUAGAAAGAGAGCAUUCAAUGCGGGAUGUCGACUUGCUAGCUCUCGUCCAUGCACCGUCCGUCGCCAUCAAUCCGUGAGUUUUUAUCGGUUUUUGUUCAAUGACUCCAACGAACUUUGAAAGAUUUGCCCACUCUUCCUUGCAAAUUAAUCACGAGAUCAUCGCCUUGUACUUGUUACUCCAUUUUGUCGUAUUAUCAUAUUUACUUGUUACUCCAUAUUGUCGUAUUAUCAUAUUUUUAUAAGAUAUUCACUAACAGUAACAGAUAAGUCAUUCUUAUCCUAAAGUCAUUUUAAUUCAGAGACGACAAAAUUUAGGAAAAAUAAAUUCUAGAUGAUUUAUCGAAAAAUAUUUGUGUGUAAUGUUAUAGUCAGUUAACUUAAUUCGUUUGCAAUUUCUAGGAAUAAAAAUAUGACAGUCUAAUUCGUUAAAUUAGUAUACUUUCCCAAAAAGACAAAUAAUACAAGCUGAUCUUGAAGAAUCAAUAAAUUAAUGUGAAAAUGAUAGACAAUGAACGUGAAGAUUGCUUGAGAUAUGAUAAGAUACUUUCAAUGCUCCCGACAAGAAAAGCAUUAAUUUGGACUCGUUGAUGCAUGGGGUAGAUAAGAGUGGACAGGGGAGCUUGCAGAGAUUGGAAACAAGUAUGGGGGAUCGAGUUUCAAGAGCAUCUCCUCAAGAAAUGAACAUGAGGAUGAGAACAUUUCUCGUCGACACACAAACUGCUAAGAUAAACUAUUGUGGUAAGAUAGAAUAUAUGUACCACAUCAAUGUCCUAGCUAAGAAUAGAUACCACAGCAAUGUUCUAGCAAAGCAAUAUUGUCGAAAGUUUGUUCAUCUAUAAUUUUCUUUUCCUUUUAAUUAAUUAAGAUGGGUGCAAUUUUUGCCUAGCAACACUAGAAUAUAGAAUAUGGACCACUUAUGUAAUUUAAGCAUGCAUAAUGGCACACUAUAAGUACUAGCUUUUAAAUAAAUAAAGUGAUCCUUCAAUUAAUUAGGUAUUUCAUAUUCUCAAAGUAAGUUAGGUAAUAAUACUUUAAUUUCCACACUUUCUUGACCCAAUAAAACUCCCCAAUAUAUUAUUUGUAGUCUACUUUUUUUUAUUAAAUUUGUAGAUAUUGUUAGAGGAAUAUAGUAUGUUUUCUUUUGAAUUAUUAUCUCUUUUUAUUUAUUUUUAUUUCAAAUAAUAAGUUUGUUUAUUUUUAAGAAGAAUAUCCUACCUCUAGUCAAUUCAAAUUGUUUGUUUCCGACCAUAUUCCAAUCAUGGUAAAUUACCCAAAAAGAACACAAAAUAAUGACGUUGAGACACUCUCAAAAGUUAGCACGUAACAAUUGUAGUAGUGAAAAGACGUCUAAGCAUAUUAAAUAUAUUUACACUUUGAAGACAAAUGCAUAUCUCAUUAUUGACUAUUCAUCAGAUAAGAAGCCAAGAGAGUACUCACUGAGACAUGAGUGGUGAUGAUUUGAGAAUGGAGCUUGCAGAGAUUGGAAAAAGCAUGGGGUCGAGUUUCAGGAGCAGCUCCUCAAGAAACGAGGAUGAGGCAGAGCAUGCUCUGCAGUGGGCUGAGAUCCAAAGAUUACCUAGUUUCAAACAACUGAGAUCAUCUCUGGUCGAUGAAGAAGGGGAUGAUGUGGAGAAAGGGAAAAGGGUCGUUGAUGUCACCAAGCUUGGAGCCAUGGAACGUCGUCUGAUGAUUGAGAAGCUGAUCAAACACAUUGAGAAUGACAAUCUCAAGCUGCUCAAGAAAAUUAGAAGAAGAAUAGACAGGUAUAUGUGAAAACAAAGAAACAAACCUUGUGAAUCUUGAACUGAGUUGUUACUUUGCAGGGUUGGUGUGGAGCUUCCAAGCAUAGAGGUGAGGUAUAAGCAUCUAAGUGUUGAAGCAGAAUGUGAGGUCGUUGAAGGGAAGGCGCUUCCAACUUUAUGGAAUUCUUUGAAGCACAUUUUCUUAGUGAGUAUACUUGAGAAUAUAAUGCAUUUUGCCAGUAGGUAGUAAAUUGUUGUGAACAAACGCGAAUUAACUUCAAAGAAAACAAAAAAAACUUGAAAAGAACAAAGCACGAUUGAGGCAAAUAUCAUUUUAAAAUUUGUAUAUUGAUUAUGUGAAUAAUUAAAUCUACAACAACUUAGACAGUUGUUAACAUAACUAGUAUUGAACUAUACUUUUUUCUUCUUUAGGAGUUGGUAAAGCUGAGUGGUGUAAGAACACAUGAAGCCAAGAUAAGCAUACUUAACGAUGUUAGCGGCAACAUUAACCCUGGAAGGUAGCUUUUGAUCCAAGCUUUGAGUUAGUGUGUAAUGCACGCAACUAAUGCUCUCUUCUUGUUGCUCCAAGGUUAACACUGCUGCUUGGUCCUCCUGGAUGUGGAAAAACUACUCUGCUCAAGGCUUUGUCCGGAAACUUGGACAAGAAUCUAAAGGUUUUCAGACUUUGUUUCAAUCUGAUUCUCAUGAUGCAGAUGUGUAAACCACAGAACUCUUUUGUUUUCCACAGAUUUCUGGUGAAAUCUCUUACAAUGGACACGGUCUAAACGAGUUUGUUCCUCAGAAGACAUCCGCUUACAUAAGCCAACACGAUCUGCACAUUGCGGAGAUGACUGUUAGGGAGACAAUAGACUUCUCAGCUCGUUGUCAAGGUGUUGGUAGUCGAACAGGUAAGAUGUCUUCUGAAGCAUCCGCUAAACUAUUUGCUGAAACAGAUAUAUCAAUUUUCUCUGUACCAAUGUUCAAAAAGUUGUUUGGCUAUAACUAUGCAUUUUAUAGAGGACUACCGAUUAGAUUGAUUAUUCGGGGCAGUGCUAACGAAAUAUUGAUUUGUUUUAUAUAUUUUUUACAUUUUUAUAUGAUAUUUUUUGGCUUUAAUUAUAAAACUAUUUUGAUGAAUUGUAAAAAUUAAAUAUACAAAAUAAAACAAAUUAGAAAAAUCUGUGGAUUUGCACUAACAUAAUUGGUUAAUUUAGAUUGAUUUAAACCAAUUUUAACUGAUUUAGAACAAUUCAAACCGAUUUGAAUCAUGCUCUAUACUAUUGGCUGAAACAGAUAUUAUGAUGGAGGUCAGUAAAAGAGAAAAGGAUGGUGGAAUCAUUCCUGACCCUGACGUAGAUGCUUACAUGAAGGUCCCAUUCCAUAAGCUAAUCUUUUAAGAGGGAUGAUUAUAAAACCUUUUGUUAAUCCCAUUGUGCAGGCUAUAUCGGUUAAUGGACUUAAAAGAAGUCUACAAACAGAUUACAUCUUGAAGGUAAUUUCUCUGACAACAACUCAGACUUGUAAUCCUUGUUGAUUAGCUUCUUGAUUAUGUCAUGUAUUUGCAAUUUGCAUUUCUUUUUCUUCAGAUCCUAGGGCUUGACAUAUGUGCAGAAACAUUGGUUGGUAAUGCCAUGAAAAGAGGCAUAUCUGGUGGUCAAAAGAAGCGUCUUACUACAGGAGAGAUGAUCGUUGGUCCAACAAAAGCUCUGUUUAUGGAUGAAAUCACAAACGGCUUAGACAGCUCCACAGCGUUUCAGAUAGUUAAGUCACUUCAGCAGCUGGCUCACAUCACCGACGCAACUGUGUUUGUUUCCCUUCUUCAGCCUGCUCCAGAGUCAUAUGAUCUCUUUGACGAUAUUGUCUUGAUGGCUGAAGGAAAAAUAGUUUAUCAUGGUCCAAGAGGCGAGGUCUUGAGGUUCUUUGAAGAGUGUGGGUUUAGAUGCCCAGAGAGGAAAGGUGUUGCAGACUUUCUACAAGAGGUAAGAAGCCAAGUUUAUGUUCCUUGACACUUACGUUUUGUUCUGAGUUGUUUUUGUUUUGCAGGUUAUAUCUAGGAAGGACCAAGGACAGUACUGGCUGCACCAGGACAUACCCUAUACCUUUCUCUCAGUAGACGCGUUGUCCAGGAGAUUCAAGGAGUUAGAGAUUGGGAGAAAGAUUGAGGAUGCUCUCUCUAAGCCCUAUGAUAAUUCAAAAACCCACAAGGAUGCUCUCUCUUUCAGUGACUAUUCUCUUCCAAAGUGGGAGCUGUUCAGAGCAUGCAUCUCAAGAGAGUUUCUAUUAAUGAAGAGAAACUCUUUCGUCUACCUCUUCAAGACGUUUCAGGUUACAUUCUUCGUUCCUUGUGUCUUCUUUCAAUGUUCUAGGGUUAGGUCUAAAGAAACCCUUCUUGCCCUUUAUGUUUUGCAGCUUGUUCUGUCAGCAAUCCUCACUAUGACAGUUUUUAUUAGAACACGUAUGGGUGUAGAUAUCAUUCAUGGAAACUCUUACAUGAGUUGUCUCUUUUUCGCAACCGUUGUGCUUUUGGUGGAUGGUUUGCCAGAGCUGUCUAUGACUGUUCAACGUCUUGCCGUGUUCUACAAGCAAAAGCAACUUUGUUUCUAUCCAGCUUGGGCUUAUGCAAUCCCUGCAACCGUGUUAAAGAUCCCUCUCUCUUUCUUCGAAUCUCUCGUUUGGACUUGCCUUACUUACUACGUCAUUGGAUACACUCCUGAAGUCUCUAGGUAAGAAGAACUCUAUAACCAUCUCUUGCUUGCUCCCUACUCAAACGAUUAUGGAAAGUAAUGGUUACUUGGUGUUUUUAGGUUCUUACGUCAGUUCAUGAUGCUCUUUGCUGUUCACUUCACAUCCAUAUCCAUAUUCCGAUGUAUAGCUGCAAUCUUUCAGACAGGAGUUGCUUCAAUGGCAGCUGGUAGUUUCGCCGUAUUAAUCACCUUUGUGUUCGCCGGUUUCGCCAUCCCAUACAGUAAGACUUUUGCACUCUUUCUUCAUUUCAGUCUUGUUCCAAACUUCCAUCAAAACAUGACCAGGGCCGGAUCUAGGCACAGCCCAAUAAAACAUCGGUCUCGGUCCCUAAAUUUUUUGAAAUUUUUAGUACGAAUAAACCCCUAAACUAUAGAAAAAAAAAAUUGUUUUACUAAGAUUUUUAAAUGUUUCAAGCUCCCAAAAUCUCAUAUCCGGCCCUGAACGUGACAUUGGUUUUGUUGCUGCAGCUGAUAUGCCAGGGUGGCUGAAAUGGGGAUUCUGGGUGAAUCCUAUAGGUUACGCAGAGAUUGGGCUCUCUGUAAACGAGUUUCUUGCUCCGAGAUGGCAGCAAGUAAGUAUCUCAUCUUUUUACAUACUUCUCUUCAUCAUUCUUACAAGACUAAUCAAGUUUUUCUUGUUAUGUUUUGUAGAUGCAACCAACGAAUGUUACAUUGGGGAGAACCAUACUUGAAAGCAGAGGACUGAACUAUGAUGAUUACAUGUACUGGGUCUCAUUAUGUGCCUUGCUGGGACAGACUCUCCUCUUCAAUACUAUUUUCACUCUAGCUUUGAGUUUCUUGAAAUGUAAGUUACAAAAUAUCGAAAAAUAUGCCAUGGACUAAAGCAUAAACUGAAGAGCUUCUUUUUUAACAGCUCCCACUACAUCUCGCGCUAUGAUCUCCAAAGACAAGCUCUCUGAGCUGCAAGGAACAAAAGAUUCAUCACUCAAUAAGAACAAGAAGGCAAUAGAUUACACAGAAGAUUCAGGUGAAACAUAUAUGUCUUUCUUGUCAUACAAGCAAACUCUUUAUUCUCAGUUUAGCUUUAUUGACCUAAUUCAUUCAGCAGGGAAGAUGGCCUUACCUUUUAAGCCUCUCACCAUAACAUUUCAAGAUUUGAACUACUACGUUGACGUUCCUGCGGUAAAAUCUUCUCCUCCCCAUCCUUGGAUCUUAACCAUCUUCAUAUGCAAACAUGAUCAUCAAAGGACGUUUUGACUAAUCUUAGGAGAUGAGAGUUCAAGGAUACAAUGAGAAGAAACUGCAGCUUCUCUCAGAUAUCACCGGAGCUUUCAGACCAGGCGUUCUAACAGCGUUGAUGGGGAUCAGUGGAGCCGGAAAAACAACUCUACUCGACGUUCUCGCCGGAAGAAAAACAAGCGGAUACAUCGAAGGAGAGAUCAGAAUCAACGGAUACUUUAAAGUCCAAAAAACCUUCGCAAGAGUCUCAGGCUACUGCGAGCAAACAGAUAUACACUCACCAAACAUCACCGUCGAGGAGUCUCUAAUCUACUCAGCUUGGCUCCGUCUAGUUCCAGAAAUAGAUCACAAAACCAAAAUAGUAAGCCGGCCCUAGUGAUUCUAAAAAAGGCAAGAAUGACCUAGAAAGUAACUUGACUGAAAAGAAACUCGUUGCAGAGAUUCGUGAAGGAAGUUCUUGAGACGAUAGAGCUGGAGGAGAUCAAGGACGCGAUGGUGGGAGUCCCCGGCCAGAGCGGGCUGUCGACGGAGCAGAGGAAGAGGUUGACGGUGGCGGUGGAGUUGGUGGCGAAUCCUUCGAUCAUAUUCAUGGACGAGCCGACGACGGGGCUGGACGCAAGAGCAGCAGCCAUUGUGAUGAGAGCUGUGAAGAACGUUGCGGAGACUGGACGUACCAUUGUGUGCACUAUUCAUCAGCCUAGUAUCGAUAUUUUUGAAGCCUUCGACGAGGUACAUAUGUUUUUCAAAUAUGAAAAGUAUUUAUAGUGGUUUUGUUUUAAAAGAAUACUCUCACAUGUAUUAUAUUAACAUUUUAUCCAAAAGUAGAUAUAAGAGAUUUUUUUUCUUCAAAAUAGCCUUUAUCAAAAAUUUGAAAAUUAUAGAAUAAUUGAGUUUAGGGUUUAAAAGGGAUGGGUGAGAUUAGGUUUUAUAAAUUAAAGUAACUUAAUUUUUUUUAUUUAAAUGAGUGUGUUUUGAAGAUCUGUUAGUGUUAUAUUUGUGAUAAACUUUAAAAGUGCUAUUUUGGAGUUUUGACUAUUUUGUGGAUAAUUAAGAAGAAAUUUCUUAUAACAUAUUGUUUUUAUUACAUGUUCAGUUGGUACUUCUGAAGAGAGGAGGUCGCAUGAUUUACACUGGACCACUUGGACAACAUUCUUCUCAUGUCAUACAGUAUUUUGAGGUUAGCGUGUUAUACAAGAAAAUGAGCCAGUUUAGUUUCUAUGACUUUUUCAAUGUUUUAACGAAAUAAUUAACUAUGUAUAUUUUUGUUAUUUGGGGUUAAUGAACAGAGUAUCUCUGGAGUUGCUAAGAUUAAAGACAACUACAAUCCAGCAACAUGGAUGCUAGAGGUCACUUCACAGUCUGUAGAGAUUGAACUCAACAUGGAUUUUGCAAAAAUCUACAAAGAAUCUGCUCUCUACAAGUGAGCUGAAUAUCUCAAAAACAACUGAAACCUUGUCAUUUAUUACGAGCUCAUGUGUUUUCUCUGUAGCAGGAGCAACUAUGAGCUUGCUCAGGAGCUGAGCAAACCGGAUCCCGGGUCAAGCGAUUUACAUUUCGAGAGAACUUUUGCGCAGAGCUGGUGGGAACAGUUCAAAUCUUGUCUAUGGAAGAUGAGCUUGUCUUACUGGAGAAGCCCUGCUUACAACUUGAUGCGAAUCUUUCACACUUUAGUCUCUUCUUUGAUCUUUGGUUUACUCUUCUGGAAGCAAGGUCAAAAGAUGUAAGUUAGUUGCAUAAAAUACAUUCAAAUCAUCAUUAGAGCAUGUUCAUUAGUGAGACCCUUAAGUGUCUCUUAAGUGGGGUUUAAUAAUUUUUUAACUAUUAAAUUUAAUAUAAGAGAUUUUGUUAAGAAACACUUAAUUAUAGUGGUUUAUUGGUGGUUUCUUAAUUAAGGUGCUUAACAAAUAAAAAAAUAUUAAACUUUUUUUAAACAUAAAAUUUUAAACAAAGAUUAAUUUUAUUUAUUAAAUAAAACAAAGUCAAACAUAACAUUUUAAACAUAGAUUUUAAAAUAAAAAAAAUUAAAACAUUAAAACAAAGAUUACUAAAAUAAACAAUACUAAUUUUAAAGCGGCAUCCAAGUUCAGUUGUUGUGUUGAUCACGUCCAAAUUUAUGCCAUAUAUGUUCAACCAAAUCACCUUUCAGUUGUUGAUGCGCUUGUCUAUCACGAAUUCUUGUUCGAACACCCAUCUGAUUGGCGAUAUUUGUAGGGAUAUCUGUAGAAUAUGUUAAAUCUACAUAUGAACUUCUGCUGCCUUCGCCUUGUUGGAAUCCCGAGACAUCAAACUAACUGCAUUCAUCCCGUUCGUUUUCUACUAUCAUAUUAUGGAGUAUGAUACAUGCUCUCAUAAUCUUCCCAAUCUUGACUUUAUCCCAACAAAGUGCUGGAUUUUUAACAAUGGCAAAUCGAGCUUGCAAGACUCCGAAAGCACGCUCGACAUCUUUUCGGGCAGCUUCUUGAUGUUGAGCAAAUAAAACUGCUUUCGGCCCUUGUGGAAGUGAAAUAGAUUGGAUGAAAGUUGCCUAUUUCGGAUAAAUUCUAUCGAUCAGAUAGUAAGCCAAAUCAUACUCUUUUCCGUUGACUGAGAAAUUCACUUGCGGGGCUUGACCAUUUAUGAUGUCAUCAAAAACAGGUGAGCGAUCUAGAACAUUAAUAUCAUUUAAGGUACCUGGAGGUCCAAAAAACGUAUGCCAUAUCCAGAGAUCAUAUGAAGCAACCGCCUCUAAAACUAUUGUGGGUUUCCCCGAACCACGAGAAUAUUGCCCUUUCCAAGUGGUGGGACAAUUCUUCCACUCCCAAUGCAUACAAUCGAUGCUUCCUAUCAUCCCGGGAAAUCCACGAACCUCUCCAAUAUAAAGUAGACGUUGAAGGUCAUCCGGUGUUGGUCUUCUUAGGUACUCAUCGCCGAACAAAUUUAUGAUUGCUUCCACAAAAUUUUCCACACAUAACCGAACAGUGGUUGCACCGAGCCUGAGGUAUUCGUCGACCGCAUCAAGCGCAGAACCAUAUGCCAACACACGAAUAGCUGCUGUACACUUUUGAAGCGGGGAGAGACCUUGCCUUCCGGUAACAUCCUUCUUCUGACGAAAGAAUUGGACUUCGUUGGAGAGGCGAUCAACAAUAUACAUGAACAAAGGCUUGUUCAUUCUAAAUCGACGUCGGAAUAGAUUUGCUGGAUAUGUCGGCGCGUCACUGAAAUAAUCAUUCCAUAACCGGAGAUGGCCUUCUUCACGAUUUCUUUCAAUAAAAACUCUCUUUUUCUUUUUCUUCCUUUGAUCUUGUUGAUCACCAUAAACAUUGCACAAAUUCUCAAAUGUUUGUUCGAAAGUCUGAUCAAAAUAUUUAUCGAACAUUUCAUCAAAUGACUCAUCCAAAUCAAAUGACUCAUCCGAGAUGUGAUUUGAAGACGAAGCCAUGAAAGACUUGAUUUCGAAAAUUUAAGAAUGGUGAGUGUGUGAACGUGAGAUGAAAAAGAGAAGGAAGAGAGAACAAAGAGAACCGAGAGAAUGAGAACGUAGAGAAUUGUGAGUAUGAUCAGUUUUUAUUUUACAAAGAGAAUGAAGAACCGAGAGAAGAACAUGAGACUAUAGAGAUAGAGAAUGGUAAGAGAGAAUGGUGAUUUCUUUACGCUCUCAGCACAAACAUUUUAUAACCGUCACCGUUAGAGAGAGAGAGCUCGCCGUUGUCCAUCGUCGACGAGAGAAACCCAUAGAAACGUCGACAAGCUCAACGGAGAGGGAGAGAGAGGAAACGCCGUUUCGUCGACGAGAUCACCGAGACAGAGAGAGAGAGAGAGAGAGGAAUCACCUUUUCGUCGAGGAGAGCACCGACAGAGAGAGAAAGAGCUCGCCGUUGUCCAUCGUCGACGAGAGAAACCAAUAGAGACGUCGACGAGCUCAACGGAGAGGGAGAGAGAGGAAACGCUGUUUCGUCGACGAGAUCACCGAGACAGAGAGGGAGAGAGAGAGGAAUCGCCUUUUCGUCGAGGAGAGCACCGACAGAGAGAGAAAGAGCUCGCCGUUAUCCAUCGUCGACGAGGAAUAUCCAUAGAGACGUCGACGAGCUCAACGGAGAGGGAGAGAGGAAUCGCCGUUGUCGUCACUCUUGCGGAGCAACCGAGAAGAGAAAGGAAAGAGAGAAAGAAACAAGAACGACUUCACCGUUCGGAGAGCCAAUAACGACGUGACACGUCGCCCAAAUUACCGUGUCUUCGAGCACUUAAUUAGGGGACGUCCCUUGGCUUUAUUUCGUGUUUUCCAUUUUUUUUUAUGAUUAAUUAAGUUAAGGGACAUGCUUAAGAGCUGCCUUUGAACAUGCUCUUACAUUCCUAGUAAAGAACUGUCUCACACAUUAGGAAAGUACUAUUUUAUUUCAAAAAUAGCACACAAGAAUAUUUUUUUCCAAAAGAGUAUUAACUAAAAGUAUAUGGGUGUGGAUUUAGUGAUUAUGAUUUAGGGUUUAAUAUUUAGAGAGUGGAGUUAGGGUAAGAGUUUAGGAUACAGAGUAAUUUAGUCAAUUUAAUCUUUAACUAAUUAUAGUUUGAGAAUUUUUCUCUUAUGUUCUAUUUUUGUCAUAAUUGUUUGUAUUUUUUUUUUUUUGGCAGAGAUACUCAACAGAACUUGUUCACAGUUCUUGGAGCCAUCUAUGGCCUUGUGAUAUUCUUGGGGGUAAACAACUGCACUUCAGCUUUACAGUAUUUUGAGACAGAGCGUAACGUUAUGUACCGCGAAAGAUUCGCUGGAAUGUACUCUGCCUUUGCCUUUGCACUGGCUCAGGUUGUGACCGAGAUUCCUUACAUUUUCAUCCAAAGCGCAGAGUUUGUGAUCAUAAUAUAUCCUAUGAUGGGUUUAUACGGAUCUGCCUAUAAAGUCUUUUGGAGUCUCUACUCAAUGUUCUGCAACUUACUCUCCUUCAACUACUUAGCAUUGUUCCUCAUCUCCAUCACUCCAAACUUCAUGCUCGCAGCUAUUCUCCAGUCUCUUUUCUUCGUUGCUUUCAACCUUUUUGCUGGAUUCUUGAUUCCACUACCGGUAAGUUCUUUUUGUAACAAGUCAUUAUAUACCAUUAUCAUCAUCGUUGAUCUUUACCUAUAGUUAAUAGUGUUUUUCCUUGAUGUUGAAACAAUGCAGCAAAUACCAAAGUGGUGGGUGUGGCUUUACUAUCUAACACCUCCCUCUUGGAGUCUCAAUGUGUUUUUCUCGUCUCAGUACGGUGAUAUUCAUCAAGAGAUCAAUGCAUUUGGAGAAACCACGACCGUGGCGAGAUUCUUAGAGGACUAUUUUGGAUUCCAUUAUGAUCGUUUGAUGACUUCAGCCAUUAUUCUCAUAGCGUUUCCAGUUGCAUUGGCUUCUAUGUUUGCUUUCUUUGUUGCCAAACUCAACUUUCAGAAACGAUGAUCCAUCACACACCAACCAAAGGUUUGAAACACCAAAGGGUAGUUUACAAAUUACUGUAUGGACAUGCACGUAUUCGUUGUCACACUAUUUGUAAACACUAAACAAAUGCAAAAUUUAUUUAUAAAAUCAUAAGAAAGUUGGAUAUACUCUAAUGCAUCAAAAUAAAUAGGUCUACAACAUAAUAGUAACUCUCUUAUUUUUUUACCAUAGAGAAAUGAUCUACGGCUGAAUACUUCAAAUAUUAAUUAGUAUACUGCUUCAUGCAAUUGAAAUGAAUAGUAAAGUAUACUGCUUCCUUUAUUCAGGCACAUCAUAAUUUUCAAGAAGAAACGUCAUUUUCUUUCUUUGAUCACAAAAGACACAAGAAGAAAGAGACAUGUGUGUGUCUUGUCGUCCUCCCCAUCUCUACUAACACUUUGAAUUUAAUACUGUCAAACUCAAAGGUCUCCUAAAGCCUAAUUAAUCCCUUUAUGAUCACAUGCCCUUCUCCUUCCUCUCUCUCUCUCCAUUCUCCUAGUACCCAUCAAGAACUUCCACAAAAGUAUUAAACUGUAGCUUCAGGAUCCAACCUCAGAGAAACGGUUCUCAAUCAAGGUUAUUUGAGUAUUGGAUAUUCUUGAUUCUUGAACUCAGGAAAAGUCAUUACUAGCCUGUGAUUCUGCUUCAUGACUUGAGGUUGAAGCAACAACACUUUCUUCACCAGAAGAAACAUCUUUGAUCUUUGAACUUAACUCUUCUUUUUCUUCUUCCACGGAGGCAACAUUUUCAGUUUCUUGAUCAAUGUUUUCUUCCUCAACAAAUCCAUUUCCAUGAGUUUCUUUUUCCUCUCCUUCUUCCUUGGAAGCUGAGGUGGAAACCGAUGAUAAACAAGAAACUUCAGAUGAACUCAACUGCUCUGAUCCUUCAGAACUGCGAGACCCUUUUAUGGAUUCAAGCUUUUUCAUCAGAAACUUUAGUCUCUUCUCUGCUUUCUCCCUUAAUCUGAUCUCUUCUUUCAGAUUUUUCUCCAGCUCUUCCAUCUGUUUCCAAGAGAUUAAAGGUUUUCUUUGAAACAAAAAUCAGCUUAUUACCAAACAAAGAUUAAAAAAAAUAAAAAUAACAGAGCAAAUGAAUUUACAAGUAACAAGAAUGACUCUUUUCUUGGUUGUUGAUUAAACCCAAAUCUUCAAAAAAGUAGUGAGAAAAAGGCAUUUCUUAAACAAGAAUGAUGAUACUAAGGAUUUUAUGAAACUUACCUUUCUGGUAAUGAGGUCUGCUUCAUCUUUUACAGACCUUGAAACUUGCCUCUCUGCAAGCAGUCUCCCUCUUAGACACUCCACAGUUCUCAGAUUUCCCUUCUCUUCUCCUUCCUCCAUCUUCUUACUUGCAAAAUUUGUUCUUAAACAAAAAAAAAGAAGAUAAAAAUCAAUUCCUCAUAUACACUCUCUACAUAGAACUUUCUUAAAAUCACACAAUACGACAUAUACAUGUAUAUAAAGAGAAAGAGAAACCUGCAUUUCGUGUUGUAAUUGAAGGGAUCAAUUGUCAUACUGUUCUUUAUAUAUUCAAAAACCAGAACCAGAUUGGUAAAAGCUUGUAAAGCUCAACUUCUCACCUAACUGCAAAAAGGGUAAACUAAAAAUAAUAAGACAGUUAAGACCAAUGUGUUGUUAGAUUGAUGUCACUAUGAUUUACAUUUAUUGUUCAUUCAGUAAGAGGAACAUAUCAACAUCAUAUCUUAAAAACCAACUUACCACGACACAGUCGACACUCUUCUUUAACAAAAAAAAAAAAAAAAUCUCAAGUUCAAAUAGUAAAACAGAUCCAGUUUCAAAUUCAAACCCCCUCACUUGGUAGAGAAGAGUGAAAUGAACUUAAAACCACAAAAGUUUUGAAGUUCUCCUGAAAAGAAGAACAGAAUCUGUGGUGUAGGGACAUGUUGUAAGCAAAACGACAGUGUGGGAUUGGACUUUUGUUACCUUCUCGUGAGUUGGUUGGUAACUCUCCCACUUCAAGACCUUUUUUAUGGUUAAUAAAUUUAACUUCUUACUACAAGGUUAGUUUUAUAUUAUAUGAUACCGCAAAUAUGCAUGUGAACAAGAGGAGUCAUCCUAUUUGUUAAUAUUAAACCAUAUUGCUAUACAAUUUUAGUUUUACCAAGUGUCACAGAUCCCUUCGUCAACAAUAUCACAACAAUACAAAAACAACAUUUCUUGGCCACACAGAAAGUUAAUGCUCCCAAGUCCCAACCUCUCGCUAUAAUUUUACUAAAUAGUUUGUGUUAAUUUUCUUUUUCAAAUUAGAUAAUUAGUUACCAACACGCAAAGAAAACAUUCGAGUGAUUAAGAGCUCACUUGUACUUCACUCAAAGAUCAAAGUAAUUACCAUAACCCUUUUAAUCAAACUAUACUUAUUUUGUGAAGCAACCUAAUGAAUAUAUUCUUGUUCUUAUUAGGAACCCCGCCACUUCAAUCCAAGCCACUUAGUAACUCUCAAGUUAUAGCGAGCUUGGGUAUGAUCUUACCGAUCAUUCAAAGUUAUGUUCACUGACAACAAUAAAAACUACAUAUCAUGAAAAGCAAAAUCAUUACACAUAAACUCUUUUAGAAGCCCCACAAGAAACCCUUUUGAACUCAUUCGACUUCACGGCAAGAAAAUCAAAAAGCUUCAUCAAGCUCUUGUUUCAUGAUACACUCCUUGUCACUCAUCGACUCAACCACACCCUCUAUCAUCUCAUACAUCUCGUUGCUUCUCUCACACGAACCAUCUUUCGCAAUGAAACUUCGUAAUCCUUUACCAGUAUCGAUCCAGCUAGUUCCAGGGAUUUUCUUCAAUCCGAUUUUUUUCAUCUUAUCCCUUACCAUCUCAGCUUCUUCCCAUCUCCCUGCUUGAGUGCAUAGAUUCGCCAUGAUAGUGUAACUCCCUGUAUUUUCUGGUUACAAAAAUAGUAAUACUUAUAUAUAAAAAUUAAUUUUAUUUAAUAUAUUUUCAUUUUUAUAAUAGUAUAUAUAAAUUUNNNNNNNNNNNNNNNNNNNNNNNNNNNNNNNNNNNNNNNNNNNNNNNNNNNNNNNNNNNNNNNNNNNNNNNNNNNNNNNNNNNNNNNNNNNNNNNNNNNNUAUCAUUUUCGUUAAUGUAAUAGGAGGGCCAACCCAAACAGAGAUUGUCAUGAGCGAGAUAGACACACCAGAGAGCUUUCAGCUUAUGGAGUUUGGAGUUAUUUUCGAGGCGACGAAUCACUUUUCCGAAAGCAACAAAGUCGGACAAGGUGGUUUUGGUCCAGUUUACAAGGUAUUUUAAUUUCUCUAGCUAUUUGGACCGAAUCAAAUUAAACUUGAAUCGGCCGGUGACUUGUCUUUCAUUCAACUAAAAAACUAAUAAUAAUAAGGGAAAAUGUGAUGGUAUUGCAGGGAACCUUGCCUGAUGGAAACGAGAUCGCAGUAAAAAGAUUGAAAGCGAGAUCAUCUCAGGGGAUGGCAGAGUUCCGAAAUGAAGUGACUCUGAUUUUACGUGUACUACACGUGAACCUCGUCCGACUUCUAGGCUGUUGCAUCCAUGGAUACGAUAGACUAUUGGUCUACGAGUUCCUGGAGAAUUCUAGCCUCAGCAGCUAUAUCUUCAGUUACUCUCACUCUCUCUCUCUCUAUUCUAGAAUUUACUUGUUAUUUUGUAAACUUUAAACUUGAUUCGUUUUGUUUUUGAUUGAUUACCUCAGAUCAAACUAGAAGCCCGCUCCUAAACUGGGAGCAUAGGUUCGAUAUAAUGAAAGGUAUUGCUGAAGGAUUGUGCUACCUCCACAACUUCACAAGCCCACCGAUACUUCACCGCGACCUGAAACCAAGUAAUGUGCUUCUAGGCAGAGACAUGAUCCCAAAAAUCUCAGAUUUUGGGCUGGCUCAGAUGAUGGAAACUGGCACCACAGAAGCUGCAAUGGAAACAGCAGUAGGAACUUAGUAAGCAUCAACAAAUUGUUAAAACUUUCUUCUUCUUCUUUUUUUUUUUUUCACUAAAACAAAAUCACAAUCAAUUAAUUAAAUCCUCUUUUGUUUGUUUUUUGUGCAGCGGCUACAUGUCUGAAGAAUAUGCGAAAGAUAAUAUCAUGUCCCAGAAAUCAGAUGUCUUCAGUUAUGGAGUAGUGUUGUUAGAGAUUCUUACUGGAAGGAGAAAUCAUGAGUAUUGUAUUGCAAAUCCAGGAGAUAGUCUUCUCGACUUCGUAAGUUUAAUUUUUCUUUGUAUUCUUAAAAUUUUAAAGAAAAUUUAUAUUUUAGAGUUUUUUAAAAAGGUUUGGAGGCGAUGGAAGGAUGGUACUGGAUUGGAGGUCGUGGAUUCGAGCUUCCAUGAUGAUUCAUUUAUAGAAGACCAGGUUUUACGAUCAAUGAAGAUUGGUCUAUCCUGUGUUCAACAAAAUAUGCACGAUAGGCCUAGUACAAGGACCAUUGUGGUUAUGUUUGAAAAUGGCCCACGAUCAGAAAUUCUAGAUCCGACGAGACCAAACUAUAAUCUCACAAGAGCUGAUUCAUCUUCUUCUCCAGUUACCGUUACCGACCAAUCAGUCACUAUUAACGAGGCCACUUUGUCAUGCACUGACGCCAGGUGAUGUUUUUAUGUAGUGCGUUUUUCUACUAGUUUACUUAAAAAAAAAAAAAUUUGAACUAUCAUUCCUAUGUUAUGUUUAAUUUCAUGUGUUUUUUCUUCUAGUUUACUCUUUGAAAAAAUAACUACUAUUAUUCAUAUGUAAUGUUUUUAGUUGUUUGGGUCUCAGUGCGGGAGACUGAUACUUUAAUGGUUUAUCUCUUUUGCUAUGCACUUAAUGACAACGAACAUAAUAUCUCGAUAUAAUAAUUAACAACUAGGAUGAGACAAAACCAAAACCAAAACCAAAGGCAACAAGUUACAAGACAAACUGUUCAAAGUCAAUCUAAUCACAAAGAUAAACCCAGUUACAUAAUAUCCCACCUAUUUUUGUUUUUUAGCUGGUGUUUGAUCGAUGUUCUUCACCUGCAAGCAAAAAUGUGGCUUUAGCUGCUUCCUCUUUUGGUGUCUGAAAUGCUUUAAGAACAGAGAGAGAGAGAGGGAGAGCAAAAUUGUUUUACUGGGCCGCAUUCUAAAUAGUACGGCUUUGGUAAUUAUGUAAACAUAUCUUAUACCGAGACAAAUAAGAAUUAAAUUAAGUUAUCCUAUCAAUUAAUUUCAAAACCUCCACUUAGUCUAAUGAUUAACGGAAUCAUUUGGUUAGAAUAAUUAUUUAGCCAUAAACACCAAAAUCACAUGGAACAUAAGCUCAAUUACCUGUUUGGUGCCUUCAACAGAAGAAGUACGACCCCAUCUCUCAGGGGUCCCAAAGUAUGCUACUGUUGAAAGCAAAGCUUGAUAUAUGAACCGGAGGCUUUAUCUCUGUCUUGUUAUUAAUUUUUCUCAAAUGCCACCCCAAAACUUGUGAAGAUUCACAAACCGGCCUCUCUACUAUCACUCGCUUCCUAUUAGCUGAUACCAAUAUGUAUACAUUGUUUAGCCCCGCAAAAUGGACUAUCCCGCUUUGUUUGUGAUGCUCAAUGUGUCUCAACGCUAGGUUCCUUUGAUGAUCAAGCUCAAAUUCAAAGCUCGUGAAGUUUUCUUUGAAGACUAUACGUCUAUACAUUAAACCAGUUUUUCUUAACAUUGUUGGUGAAGAGUUUUCUUCAGCAUCGGAGUGUUUCUCCACGACUAUCCACAAUAAAGGAGGUGGAACUAGCCUCAAAGUAUUGGCCAUUCUCCUAAGGAGCACAAUUUUGUAACGAUCUUUCGUCAUUACCCAGAGUUACAACAAUCACUAGACCUCUUGGUGCAACUUCUUCUUCUUCUGUCUUGGAGAGUGAUCUGGUUUCUUGUUCAGGUUCUUGUGACUUCAAAGGUGCUGGGGCCUGACCUUGGGAACUGUUCAAUGCUUUAUCAACGAGAGGAUUGUGUGUAUAGGUAGAGUUCUCAAAAGGUUGGGAAGGAAUCUGAGAUUUAGUGGUAGUAGAGGGGGUGGUUUCGAAAUUAUAGAAAAGUGAAGCCUUACCAGCAGGAGCAAAGCCAGUGAUGAAACACAUUACAAAACAUAGAGAGAAAUGGAUCACAGCUUUCUUCCAUACCUGAGUUUUCUUCUUUGAUCUCUCCAGAGAUCCCAUCAGGAUCCAACCCUAAGAAGAAGUUUUUCUUAAUUAAGUGAUUUUCCUUUUAUUUUUUGGGAAGAACAAUCUAGUUUGAAGAGUAUGAAAUAUAAGGGCUUUUAUGACAUUUGUAUAGUUUUUGUCUUUAUAUUGUUGGUAAAUGAUUAAAACCGGCGAGCUACGUAGGAGUACGUUCUCUUUGAUUGAUUGCGUGUGUUGGUUGUGUUCUGCAACAACUUGUUGGGAUCAUUGGAACUCACUAGCUAGCUGAAACAUGUUUGGGAAAUAUAAGAAAAUUACUGUUAAUAUAGCAAAUAUAUUAAAAUUAAACUUUGCUUAUUAAUGACUCUUAAUGCAAGUAAUUAAGUAUUAUUUUAGUUGUUGUUGAUGACUGAUGAGUAAGGUUAUGAUCAAGAUAGGAACUUUUGAGAGUACCUAAUAUAGAGGAUAGUAGUCUUCAAAAAGUGUGAAGUGAUGAAACUUGAAGUUGAAAGAGACAAUCCAAAAAAUAAAUAUUAACAUGUCAUCGUGGUUUAUAUUAUGCACUUUAACAAAUGGAUAUCAUUUUUACCGUUAUAUCAAGCCAUGUAAAUACAUACCACCACAAACAAGUCGUUUUCUCAAGAAAGUUAGAAAAGAGAUCAAGCUGGACGAGGAGUGAGCCUAUCUUUGGCCGCCGUGUCUCCACGGUGGAGGCCAGAGGAGAUACGCAAGCAAGAAGAAGCCCCCCGAGAAACGCUCUGUUACUAACUCGGUGUUCUUGGAGCAAGAACAAGAAGAGACAAAGGAACCUCAUGAUGAUGACGUCAUUGUCGGAGAACCCAAGGUUGUGCAUUUAAUAUUCAGUUCAUUUAAUACAUCAGUCAAGUCACAUUUCCAAGAAAAUACUCCACUAACGAAGGCGUCUUUGUCUAUUUUUAAUUCGUUCCUUAACGCGUACGGAACGCGGCCCAAUAAAAUAAUUACUUUAAUUCUAUUUUAAGUCUCUGCUUCUCUACCUUCUUUCCUCUUUGUAAGAUCAGAGAGAGAGCGUUUGUUGAGAAGAUCUUAUUAGAAGGUGAAUAUCAAUCAGAACAUGGCGAAAGAAGACAACCACGAAGCUCAACGAUGCGAGUGCGAGGAUCAUGAGGAAUCGAGUCCUCUCUUGCAAGUUAACGAAAGCAAGAUCUGCUCAAAAGGGGACACCACCAAGACGGCGGAGGAAUAUGGCUGGACGGCGGAUGGAUUGCCGGUGAGCCAAGGGAGCGUGAUCGGCGAGCCGAUCGGGAGAAACCAAUGGAGUUCCGGUCUUUUUUCCUGUCUCGGCCGAAACGACGAGUUCUGCAGCAGCGAUCUCGAAGUUUGUGAGUCUUUAUGUUCUGUCUCAAUGAUUAGUGUCUGAAAUUUGGGAUUUUUUUGUUAAUGGGUUUCUUGAUUUGGUGGAGGAUGAAUUGUAAAGUUUUGAUUUUGAUGUGUUUUUCACUGUUGGUGAGUCUUGCUUGUGUUCUGUCUGACUGUCUCAAUGGUUAUUGUCGGAAAUUUUGGUUUUUUUUUUAUUUGGUAGAGAUUGAAUUGGAAAGUUUUGAUUUUGAUGUGUUUCACGGUUGGUGAGUCUUGUGUUCUGUCUCAAAUGAUUAUUGUCGGAAAUUUGAGGUAUUCCCUAAUGGGUUUCUUGAUUUGGUGGAGAUUGUAUUAGAAAGUUUUGAUUUUGAUGUGGUUCAUGGUUGGUGAAAAGACUCAAAUCUUUUACAUCUUAAUGGCUUCUUCUUUGUUAGGUCUCCUUGGAAGUGUGGCUCCAUGUGUGCUGUAUGGAAGCAAUGCAGAGAGGCUUGGGUCUGCUCCUGGAACGUUUUCGAAUCACUGCUUGACGUAUUUGGGGUUGUACUUUGUCGGCAACUCUCUAUUUGGAUGGAACUGCCUUGCUCCAUGGUUCUCUUAUUCUAGCCGCUCUGCCAUUCGCCGAAGGUUUAACCUUGAGGUAAUGAUCAAAUUAUCUGGUAUUUAAUCCGGAAAAAAACUGAAAAAUCUGUUUUUAUAUCUGAAUUAUCUGAAAUUAUCUGAGAAAAAGGAACCGAACCGAAAUUUUGUAUUAGUCAGUUUUUAACAUUGUUGCCCGAACCAAAAACGGAAAUAACCAAAACCGAACCAAAUUUCAAAUAAUCAAACGGUUCCUAUAUCUCUAGAACCGAAAAUCGAAAAAAAAAAAGAACUGGAAGUGAACGCCAAGCCUAGUUGUACUCUAAGAAAAGAGUCAAUCAACUCCUCUCUUUAUAUAUCUUCUUGGUUGUGUACCACUCUCUGAGUUUUAUAGGAGCCAUGGAGAGACAAGUCUUGUCUCAUAGGCACUCUAGUGUCUCUAGUUUUGGGCAUGUGUAUUACGAGAGUCUCCGUUGCAUUCCAUCUCGUGACCCUAUCUUUUGUUUUCUUUUGGUGUAAAAAACAGGGAAGCUUUGAGGCGAUGAACAGGUCGUGUGGUUGCUGCGGUAGCUGCAUAGAGGAUGAGAUGCAAAGGGAACAUAUGGAGACGACUUGUGACUUUGUGACGCAUGUCCUUUGCCAUACAUGUGCACUUUGCCAAGAAGGCCGUGAGAUCCGCAGGAAGGUUCUUCACCCGGGUUUCAAUGCUCAGUCCACUGUGGUUGUGCUUCCACCAAGUGAACAAACCAUGGGACGUAAGUAAGUGAAAAGCUUGCGUUGAGUCAUGUGUCCUAAAUAACAUUUGUAAUACACAAGGUGAACUAUGACGUUGUCUCUUGCUUGCUUUUGUCGCGUGUUCUUUUCUUUUUUUUGGUCUUUCUUCAGUGCAUGCAAAUGUAUGUAUAUCUUUAUUGUUACGUACUUGGUUUUGGAUAUGGUCUUGUAAUAUUCAAUAAAGUUUCGCAACUUGUAACUCUAUAAACGUGGAGGCAUUCCUUUCCGGCGGAACCUUCAUUGCUCAUAGCUCCAAACCAAAGUCUGUGAGAUCAGAUGUGGUAAAGAACGGUUCGGAGAUUCUAAUGAAAUGAAAGAUCUGUUUUUGGACCGGAGAGAUCAAGACAAAAGUGAUUGAUUGCAUUUAAUUUAUAAGACUUUUUAUAUCGCAACUUUGCGAGUCUUUAAUUGUUGCACUAGAGAUCCAUUGUAAUCAUUGUGGUUAAUUUGACUCCUUGAGUUUAUUAGUGUGCAUGUGAUAUGAUUUCUUUAGAUUUGGUUUUAAUAUACAUUUUGUGAUAAAAGGGUCAAGAUCUAUAGCUUAAUACUAUAAUUAAUGUUAAUUAGUACAUUUGACAUUUUCUUAUAGAAAUGAUUAAAUAGGUCUAUUGAUUAGACGCCAAACAAGACUGGCCAAAUUAAUCGCUGAUAAUUCAAAAGAAACCAGACGAAUUAUCAAAAGAUCUUCUAAUAAUGAAAUGAUUUGUACAAAGAGUCAAAAGGAGACACAUGGAGAAGUGCCCAACUCGUCUGGCAUGGCACCUCACUACUAAGCAAUCACGAUUUGGCUUGUGGAGUCAACGAGCUUAUGACAUUAGCUAGUUAAUUUCCCCCAAGUUGACAUCUACUUUUUAAACACAAUUUAUUUAUUACUUAUUAUACAAUUGUAGAUCUCAUCAUAUAUUUUUGAUAUGCGAUUUCUAGUAGUUUAUUGUAGACGACUGUUCUUUGUUUUCUCUUACUCUCUAAUCUGAAUCUCAUUGCAUGGUCGGCAACAUUUUUUACUUGGAACAUUUUACCAUCAAUAAUCGAAUUUUGAUAUCAUGUUAAUAAGUUCUAAAAACUUUAAUGUAUAACUUAACUUAUGUCCCUUAUACAUUACCUGUUAUUCCAUCACAUUUUGAUUUUGAAUUUGUAAGAAGUUUAUAUUUGUGUAUCAUAUAAGUUUAUGGUCUUGAAUCUAAUAGUUUUUGGUACUGUUAGUUCUAAAAUCAUUGACGAAUAUACCAAAAAAUGUGACAAGAGAUAUAUAAAAGUCCCAUCAAAUAAAUUUGGAUUGGUAGUUGUUUCGAAGUCACUCCCUAAUGUACCAAGAACAUAUCUUAAUCCAUCCCAGUUUUUGUAUCUCUUCUUAUUGACUCCAAACCAUUAACACACACACACACAUACAUACAUAUGAUAUAUGAUAUAUAUGGUUAUUAUCUUUCAUAGCAAACAUAAUCAGUUAGUUCACAUAACGACAAUCCUUCCUAAUCUCUCCUUGGUCACCGGUGAGAGGAUUGGUCUCGGACAAGAGCCUGAUAGCGCGUGAAAAUUGCUCAUGGAAGUAACCAUUGUCCGCAGCCAUCUUCGCCACAAAGGGUGCGGUCCUCGGAUCCGUGGCUAUCUCAUCAUCGAUGACAAGGAGUCCUUUAUGAGCCAUGAUGUUUUUGUAAUACAUAUUGUCCACAACCAUCGGUGUCUCAGGGUCGUUGCGGGAGUAUAAGACCUCUUUUGGGUUCGGAUUUGGAGUAGGGCAACGUUUUUUCAAGUAAAGGGCGUACGUAGGGUCGAGAGUCGGGUCAAUCGUUGGGUAUAGCCGGUGCACUAGGUUAACGCAGUGGACUCUACCCACUGAGUGUGCACCUACGGUAAUAAAAAUUGACCGAUCAAUAACAAUGACAGUUAUAUAUCUUUAUUAUCUUAACUAGUAAAUAAACUUUCCAAAAAAAAAUAUCAUAUGUAUUAUUUAAGUAUAUGGUUGAUAAAACUAUUUUAUUUUGAUUUUAUCAGAAAAUGAACCAAAAAUACCCAAAUUAUCUUCUAUUGAACCACCGGACCGUAUAAAAUUUGGUUUAAUUAACGGUGUAAAACGCACAUCUAUCCUAAAAUCUUGAACAAAUUCAAAAACCAAAAUGUCCAUCCUGGUUAGUGUUACCGUGCUGGCUCAAAUCUAUUGACCUAUGCAUUUAAAAGAUAGUUUCUACUCAGAUUUAUAACUCAGGUACCUAAGAGAGCAACGGUGGCUUCAACAUCGAUGCCGAUGGAGUUAAAGUUUGAGAGAACAGACGAGAGAGAGUCAUUGUGGUUAGGAACUAGAGCCUCAACAUCUCUCAAGUAGCUCCCUCUACUGUCUCUCCUUCCUGUCUUUAUCAUAUCUAUCUUUGGCCCUUUCAACUAUUCAUUUCACCAACCAAAAAAAAAACAUCUUAAUAAAAAUAUAAUUCCAAACUAAUUAAAUUAACCUUACAAUGCAUAUACUUACCAUGACAAUACCAUCUCUAGCAGAGAGAGCAACAAUAUCAGCGCAAGAGACUGUUCCAGGACAUUCUUUCUCGAGUGCAUCUUUGAUAGUCUUGAUAUACUUAAAGUUUCUCAUACCAAAACUCCUUGUUGACUUUUGCUCUGAUUCCACACCUCUUGCUGUCUCUAGUAGCAGUGACGCAUCACACGACUACAAAAAAAAAUACCCAUGAACAUAAAUAUUCACGAUGACUUUUUGGUAAUCAUGUUUUUAAAAAUAUUCACGAUGAUGAUGAUGCCAUGUGAUUAUAGAGUAAAUGUAAUUACCUUGACGACGCAGUCAUGGAAGAGAUUACGGAGCCAAGAUACGGCUGUGUUGCCGUGUUUGUAGUACAGCGUCUCCACUUGUUGUCUGAUUAUCUCUUCCGCUCUCGGACAACUCUCUCUGUAAUAAUUCAUCUUCAGUUCCGCAUUUCCUACAGUUUAGUUAAUCUUUAGAUUCGAUUUAAAAAAAAGUUAAUCUUUAGAUUAUUCGCUUUAUUUACGUAUGAGUGAUUACUAGCCAUUUUAUAAUAUAAUAUUUGUUGAAUUUUUACGGUGGAAAUUAGUUUACUAAAAAAAACCGUAGUUAUUUUGGUUUCAGCUAGCAAAAAUUAGAAAUAUAUUCUCGAGACAUGGAUACACGUGGCAUAAUGUGAUAAGAGAAAAGGGAAUAUAAAUUACCGAUAUGAAAGAUGGAAAAUAACUGUAAUAACAGGCAAAAGAAAGCCAAAAAGCAGAAGGGCAUCUUCACAAUGGCCAUCUUUUUCUCUCCUAUCUUUUUGUACUUUGUUGAUUGGUGUGUCUCUUUAUGUGUCCAAUGUAGGGUUAUAUAGAGAUUCAAGAGACUUGAGAAACUCUCUUUAAUCGUGUAAUAUAUAAUUAAGUAUUUUUAUUUCUUAUAGUCAUAGUGGUUGCCCAUGUUAAUUAUUCUUUUUUGAAAUUAUCAGGGGAUUUCUUAUUCUAGACGAAUAUUAAUAUUGAAGCUUGUAACCACUAGCUAUAUAUCUGAACUCAAUAGUUGUUGAACAUGUGAAUUCAGUGAGACGAGUUUUCCUAUUCUAUCCGAUGAUAAUACAAAAUUAAAUUAGUUCGGCUUUUCACUUCUUUUCACUUUUAAUUAGCCUUCCUCAUACAUGUUUCAUGUUCACAAGAUACAAAAGGAGGAGAUCUGUAAUAUAAAUUACGCUCUAACUUGUAACUAAUUGAUUGGAUUGGAUUCGAAUAAAUAAAAUCAAAAUGUAAAUGCUUGCGAUGAAUAUGUAUAUUACACAUCAACUUCAAGAUGACCGACUCAAUUAACUCCCAAUCAUGCUAAUCUAUAGGUAUUCAAUAUAUAGCAUACAAUAUUAAAUACGGUUUCACUUAUAUGAGUUCAUUCACUAAUAUAUGAGUAAAUUAUUAUUACCCGACUGCUGCAUAAAUUUUAUACCACCGAUUUAGUUUAUAGAUUCUAACAGACUUACUGACAUGUUAUAUUAUUCCAUUUGAAAUAUCGUUACCAGUCUGGAUUCUUUGGCUGACUUAAAAAAAAUAUUUUGCUUCAAUUGUGUAACAAAUGUAGAAGGAUAUUAUAGACUAGUCAUAAAUAUGUAUAUAUGCAUGGCCCAUUGUUAUACAUUUUGGGAAAAUUAUUGAAUAUAUAUUAUAUAAAAUCAUCUGAUGGUAGCCACAAUUUUUUUGUUUAAAUUAUCUGUAACAUGAUUACCGUCUAUAGCGGGUUUGCGUCAUUUCGGACAUGCGCUUGAUGCAAAAUCAAUACGACUGUGGAUGUUAAAAUGGAUAUAUUGACUUCACUAAAUGUUAAUAUCAUCAUCAGCCACUUUAUCCUUCGGCCACUUAGUCACUUGUGAUAUUUUUAACACAACACAUUGGGUGAAUUCGUAUUAUACGCAUUUAAUGUGGCACCAAGAGUUAAUUCAGACCCAUUCAUAGCUAAGCAGUUUAUAAUAGGUUGCCGCUAUUUCAACGUAUCAUUCAUCAAAAUUUGAUGUAUCUAUUUUAGUAGAAAACGAAAGAUGUUUCAUUUUAUUUGGUGUAAUAAAUCUUUAAUGCUCUUGAAUACUGCUUAAUACCGUCAGAACUCAGAACAUUAACUUUAGUUUUAAAUUAUAAUGCAAUUACUAAAACACUGCAAAUUUAUUUCAUUAUACAAUAUACAAAAAAUGAUCAUGUAUACUCUCUCUCUUUUCACAAUGAUAAAUUCCCAUUUUUGUUUUUAAAGAAUUUUAAGGUUUUAAUACAUAUUCCCUCAGUUUCGUAAAGAAUACCACUUUGACAUUUUCACACAAAUUAAAAAAAUGAUUAAAAUACAUUAAAGUUCUUAUUAGUUACACUUAAUAUGAAACAGAAAGAGUAUUUAUUAGUACUUGUUACAAAUUGCAUAUAUCAAAAUAUUUAUUAAUAAUAAAUACAUUUUUAUUUUUAUUAGUUUAAAUUUAUGUAAAAUUGUAAAAAAUUUAUAAUUGAUCACUAAACAUUAAUUAAUAUGUGUAAGAAAUGAAAAUUUAAAAAAAAUGUGAAACAGAAAGACUAUCACAUAAUUUAAUAAAUGUAAAAACUACAAGAAUUUAAGUUAAUAAUAUAUUUACGUCAAUAAUACUUAUGUUUCGGGUUGAUAUCUUAAUUCGUUUUGUAAUAAUAGCACUUUUAAAUCAAUUUGGUUAUAGAUUUUAAAAUAAAUUAUACUCAUACUUGGAAGCAAAUUAAAAAAAGGUUAUAAGAUUGCUUGGUGUAUGAAUAAUUGAAAACCAUUUUUUGUUUUUGACAACAAUUGAAAGCCAUUAAGUUUGACCUUUUUAGGCACUUGCUUAAUCGCACGCGCAUUUGAAAACCACCAAAUAAAAUCAACCCCACUUUCUUAAUAUUAUUGUGACUGAUGACGGCUGUAACAUUCUGGUCUUGACCGUCCAGUCCAUUCACUUGAACACGCACAUAAUGCUUUGUUGCCGAUUCACUUAUUUUCAUUAAAACUCAUCAUAUAAAUGAUUUCCCCUCCUUUUUCCUUUACAUCUAAAAGUCUAUGUAGUUUUUCUAGAUGCUUAUGAGUUACGCAAAACGAUCCUCUCCCACACAAAAAAACAAUAAUAUUAAUAUAUGUUUUAAUGUCCAAGUGUUUGAUUAGUGCUGCAGUUUGUAAAUAUGUAAUAAAACUAAUCAGCUUAAUUUUCUGUUUAAACAAGAAGUUUUGUAUAGAAAGACGACUUGGAUUAUAUUUUUGUAAGAAUUCUGAAUUCCUGUCGUUUCAUUCCAUAACAAUAUGUGUUAAUAUGUUCGUGUAUUAUUGACUUGUUGCUUUAUAGUUAUUUAUUUAUUCCCAAGUCAGAUUAUAUUCGUUCGGAAAAUGAACGUGACUCGUAUAUGAGUUGACCUUAUGAAUAUUGUCUAAGGCCUUAUCCAUUAGAUUAAAAGUUCAUUAUACACUUAUUAUUUGUAUUUAGUUUGAUUAUCUCCAAGGCUACAUUAUGAGCUGUUAGCUAGUAUCCUAAGUUAUGAAUAGCUCCAGAAAGGCCUUAUCCUAAGCUAUAUGAACAUUGUGAGCUAAGCUGAACACUUGCUUAGAUGUAACUUGAUCUUGUAUGUUUUCUCUAAAAGACCAAUAGCCAUCUUGUAUGCUUAGUUGAAUUUGUAUUAGGAUCUCUUAGUUGUAAGAGAUCAUAUGUUCAUCAAAUGGUUCUAUCACUACCAUAAGUUCUCUGUAAGGCCUUGUUGUUCUUCUCGCUCUGCUUUCUGCAGCCUGGUUAGUUUCCACAGGAGGCUUAUGUUCUUUGAUAGCAAAGUGAAAACCGUCCAUCUCUUCAUAGUCAUUUGGUAUAUUUGAACUUGUGAGCCAGUAGGCACAUGAGCUUCUCAGCAAGAAGAAGCAUUCUCUUUUCUUUUUUUUUCUCUACUCACCAAUAACAGAUAUUAACUUCCUUCUAUUUACAACUUAAAAUGUUAUAGUCUAUCACAUAUUUUCCCUUUAAACAAAAGAGAGAGGAAUUAUAUAUGUAUAGUUUAUCUAUCAUAUGGGUUCUUAAAAGCAUCAGGUAAAAGCAGGUGAUUUGCAGAUAGGGCAAGAGUUCUUCAAAGACAGCCAUUUCUUUAUGCACCCUCCAUGGUAGUCAUGACCACACCCUUUAAGUUCCCCCAACUCUUCUCCUUCCUUGUAUUCCUCCUAAAUGUUACCGUUACCACACCACCAUUAGACUCUUGGCACAUUUAAAUCUUUGAGACAUGCGAAUCUUACCAGGCAGAUUGCACAUUUUCUUUCCUCAUCCGUUUGAUACAAUGGGUAGAAUAUCGUCUCCAACAAGCAAGUGGAGAUUGCGCCCUUGGAUAGACCAGUGUUAACACUCCCAAUCCUUUCAACAAGAUCAAGAAGGUCCUGGAUAGUGUCAACCAUUUCAAGAUACAUCAGUUGCGAGACAUUUUGUCUGGGGCUUAGAAAAACCAAGAGUUCUGUAAUUAACCUCGUAGGUCAUGUCAUCGAUGUCGAGCCUCAAUUCUCUGUGGUGAUCAUGCAUAUUCCUGGAUCCAUAGUGCUGUUGGUGAUCUACAGCCAUAAAUCCCUGUUUUUGUACAUCCACAACAAAAUAAUAGAAGAAAGUUCAGUCUGCAGCAGAAUAAGAAACAUGAGAGUCUAUGUAGGCAAGUUUCUGAAGUGUUGGUCCCAUCAGUUUAUUGGCAAGUUUGGUAGGGAAAAAAAUUACUACACCUGAGAUGAAAAUGGUUCAUGGAGAGCAACUUCAUCGAAAGGAGGCUGAAACCUCUCAUAGGAACUCCUGCGUCUCCCUGGGCGAUCACUGCUACGCCAUGAGAUGUGUGGUGGUGGCCUCAGAUGCCUAGAAGGAUAUGUCUCAGUGACAAAAGGAGACCUAUCUCCAGAAGAAGAUGCUGAAUGUUCCAAUCGCAAACCGUUUGAAGAAGAUCUAUAGGUGGGUGUUGACCUAUGAGAGAAGCGGGAGCUAGUUGCAGAUUGUGUUGAAGUUCCAGGAAAACCGUGGGAAACUGUAGAGUUUCUGUUUCCGAUUAGCCCUUGGUGAUACCAAGAGGUAUCAACAGAUGUGCUGUUGGCGACACUUCUCGUGGGAAGAAAAUUAUUUGUCUUUGGACUAAAGCCAUUUAAAUCUGCAGGGUGAGAAUUCAUGUGGUUAAAGAACGUAGUCAGUAAAAAUUUGAAUCUCAAGAGAGACCAAAGUGAAAUUUGCAUACCUCUAGGUACUGGGGAGUGUCUAGGAAAGUUCCAGUUCCAGUCCUUAUUCCUGUGAGAUGUUUGACCAGGAAACUGACCUGAGCUAGAGUGAUCAACAUUGUGAUGUGUAGGAUGAGAAUCAAGGUCCAAGCUUCUUGAAAAAAUAUUUCUAUCUACACUAGUCUCUAAAUCAAGUGUAGGACGACUCCGGACAUUCCUUGAAGAACUCUCUCCCCUGAUCGAGAGAUUAUUACUUCUGUAACUUGGGUUCAUGAGCCACGGCAUGUAAUGAGGACCAUGAUCACGAGUUGUUGAUUUUCCCAUGUCCAACUCCGAGGAGAAAGGGAUAUCUGAGGAAGUUCUGCCACCGUGGUAAUGGCUUGAACUACCCAUUUCAUAGACGGAAGAAUCGCAUGGGGUUUUCCGCUUCUGUGCUCCUCUCACAUUUUCCAUAUGUAGAUCAACAUAGCCAUCCAAUGACCAUGUCUGACUGUUGCAGUACGAAGAAGAUGCAGAUGUCACAUAAUGUUCAAGUGGAGCAGAGAAAGUUGCAGCUGCUGAACUCAUGACAGGAACAUGGGUGGGGCCGCUAGUCCCUGGAUUGUAGUGUAGCCUCUCUACACCAUGACCUGAAGCAGUAUACGCAUUUGGUCCUGUAGAAGAGUUCCAGUGCGAAGAAAAUGGCAUUCCUUCAUUCAACACGUUUCCUGCUGGAUUAACAUGCGAUCUGCUCUCACUGGUCCCAGUUCUUGCUGAGAUAACAUAGAGCGAACAAUAAUACGAAUCAGAAAUUCCGGACACGAUUGCACAGGAAAAAGUAGAAUUAUGUAUGUGAUGAUUAUAAAAUGUGGCUUCCUAAUUUUCACUACCUGAGGGUAUCACCUAUCAAGAUUCAUUUUUGCCCCUACUGAAACCCAAUCUACCCAUGAGGGAGAAACUUCUCAACCUAAAAAUACGCAUGCAACAUCAACGCAAUAGCUCUUACACAGGUUGAGUAUAACAUCUAUCCAUGAAGAACGUGUUAAAAAUAUUGAUUUCAACCACAGAAUAAGGAUCUCUAUAGGAAUGGAGAACUAAUUACCUAAACUCGUAUAUGGGUGCUCUGGGUGUAUAUGGUUCCAGCCUUGAUCCUGUUCAUCAUCGAAAAAUUGGAAAGAGCCAGGAAAAUGUCUGUGCCCCAUGAUUACACAAAUCUUCAACCUUGGAGUCCAGCUAACCCUGCACAGAAAGUUCUCUCAACAUUCAGAACUCAUCCAGAAAAAAAUUUGCAAGUCCAUAAAAAUAGUUCUUAAUUACUAAGCAAUCUCAGUUUCAAUUCAAGAAUGGUAUAUAAAGUAACAUCUGCUUUAGCUCAGAAGUACCAAAUGGUUGCUGAAAACGAGUCACCCAUCUAUUUUCAGUUUUAUAGUCACAUUUCAAGACCAAAACUCCAAUUUUUGCAACUGAAGAACCUUAACCAUCGCCAAGUUAAGAAACAAAGUUUCUUCAACCCCACACAUGAGCAUACUCAAGCUGUAAGAAACGAUUUAGAAUAUGCAUAGAGAACACUACACAGUAUUAGGACGGACAUCAACUUCAGGUAUAAAGGAAACUGACAAUGGUAUAUUGAUAGAGAUUCUUUAUCAGAAGAGAGUCCAUAGUUUCAAUACCUAGUAUCAAUAUAGUUGAAAUAUCUAGUCUCAGUUACCUUUGUCACCCGUAUCUAACAUACUAUACCCUCAGAGCUCAGCUCAUGAUAUCAUAAAAACAAGUUUUCGAAGAGUUGGACUGGAAAGUUCCUGAUGCCUUAAGAUGGGAAUAACCUUAACUAGUACAUAUCUAUCAGCUCAUAAGGGUAUCUUGCAAUCAAGAGUUAAUAAAUAAAACAGAAACCUACAUUUUCUCUUUGUGUAAGCCAAAAGAAAAUAAGAGACACAAAACAAGCAAGAGUGUUCUCUAGUACAUUGGCAUAAGAAGUUCAUUUAAACAAGACAUUUACUCAGGUUUAAGAACUUCAUAAAUUUUACAGAAACAGUCCACCGAGAAUAAGGCAAGAAAGAACAGAUACAGAACAGAUAACAUUUGAUAUGACCAUUUCAGCUUCUAUCAACACAUACAGAACAGAUGCAUACUGCUGGCAUGAUCAAGAAAAUUACAUGGAUGAUUCAACAGCAGGAAAUAAGUUUAAUUUUCUGAGCCAAAACCCUCCAACAAUACUACUGCAGGCAAAUUAAACUCCCAACCAAGAAUACACUAAACUACACAAGUGAAAAAGCCAUCAUCCUUUCCUGAUCAACUGAUUCACCAUUUCCACACACCAAAUGUAAUUUCUUCUCUUCAAGUUCAGAAUCAUAACGGGCUUAGUCCACAGAGUGCUGGCCAGCAAAGGCUUACCACCACAUUCUACUAUUCUGAAGCUUUUACUUAGUCAAAACCUGCCAUCCGGCCCAGCACACCUAGAUCUACUCCAAGAGCUAGUAAGCAGAAAUGGGUUGUGUGAAAGGAUGCUUCUAAGCAAUUUGCUUUAUGCUUCAUAGGAUGGUUGUCAUUUCGCAAGAAAUAUUGAAGUUUUUACCUUAAUUCACACUUCAAGCAUCACUGACUAAUUAACACAUUCAGUUAUGAACGUGGAAUCAAAAGAAGGGUGGUGGAAGAACUGGACCAGACAAACUUCACAAAGCCUUGACUACCAUAAACAUAGUUAUCAGCCAUAAAACGUAAAUGAGUAAAAAACUAACCACGCUAAUAGAGUUUGGUUGACUUAUCUUACUUCAAGUUCACGUUGGUUUCUCAAUCAACCAACAAUCUGCCAAAAUAGAAGGAAAACGGCAGCCACCGAUUCUAUGUAUUACAAAGGCUUAGCAUAAGGCACUAACAUCUGCUGACAAAAGUGUUAGAAUAAUACAUUUUCUCUGCUACAAUUUCAAAUUUUCUAUUAUAUUUUUGAGAAAAAAACCAAAAUAGCACUAAAUCAAGUUUUUGUUCCCAAACUAGCACUCAAGGCCAAAAGUCACAAAAAUAGCACUCAAGAGAUGGGGUUUAGGGUUUAGGGUUUAAAGUUUAAGUUUUAGGGUUUAGAGUUGAGAAGUGAGAUUUUGGAGAUAAGAUUUCAAAUUUUGAAAAAUAAAAAAGUUUAAAUUUUUCAAAAGAUAAAAUGCUAUUUUGGUCAUUUAGUUUUUGAGUGCUAUUUUUGUGAUAUAAACUUAGAAAAGUACUAUUUUGGAGAUUUGCCUUAUAUUUUUUCGAUUUUUUUUUUUUUGAUUAUACAAAGUUUCCCUAAAGGCUUCCUAAGGGACUAAUCUGUGUAGCUGCAACCCGAAUGUGAAAUCCGCAGUGGCCGGGAAUCGAACCCAGGUGGCGGUACUCACAGCUGUGAGCCUCUGUGAGCUAAACGCCCCGGUUUAUUUUUUCGAUAUUACUAAAGAGGAAGACGUAUUUGCUGACCUUAAACUAUAUGGACGUUACUAGUUCAAGACUGAGAGAAACCAUCGUUGCCACUAAACCUGCUGGAUACAAAGCCUAGCUAGUUUGAUGCUAAAUAGGAAACUGCUCAAACUAGCUCUAUAUAGCUUAGCCCCGUCGCUGAAGUAGCCUGAACUAAUCACCGAUCUGGUCUCCUCUUCUUCUCAGCAUCCGAAUCUCUAACUACGAUUCAAACAAUCCAAUCACGAAAAGUCACUCAUGUAGCAGACGGAAGCAAACAAUCAUCACGCAAAAGGAAAACAGAUGAUCCGUCGUAACAGCGUUUAAACAAAUCAUUGGUGAAACUGCAAUCGAUUUGAGCAUAUAUAUACAUAUUUACACGAAAACCUCAGAGCUCAAACGAUGAUCGGAGAAGAGAGAAACGUACCGCUAGCAGCGUGCGGAUGAUGGAGAAAGGAGAACGAUCGGAGGAUUCAAAGAGACGACGAACGGAUUCGUAGAGAUGACUCAGCUUGAGGAUUGUGAUCGGUUGAUAUAUUUAAGAGAGAAAGCAAAUGAAAAAAUGAUAAAACAAAACAAUUUAAUUUAAAAGCGAUUGGGUGGGUACGUUGCUGGAAAAUUUAGACCACCACAGCAUCACCGGCUGAUUAAUGGGCGUAGAUUAAUGGGCCUAUAUUUUGACUUUAUAUGGGCCUCCACUGGAUCAGCAACUAUCCCUUCUUCUUUUUUUGUCACCAGCAACUAUAGCAUUGUUCACAUAGUGCAUUAUGUUGCAUCUGACAGAUUAUGAGCAUAUAAUCCUUGAAUCUGCUUUGUAGAAAGCUCUUAGAAAUUUAAUUUUUCCAUUGUCUUUGCACGUGCUGUGAAAUUUUGUGUUAAUUACGCAUAAAGUUUGAUUCGUUAGAUUUAGUCCAAAGUAAACAAUAUGGAUACAUAGUCCACAAUCCCCCUAAAAUGGUUAUUUCUCAGAUUUUGACAGUCUUAAUUUGAAGACAAUUUGGAAGAUGAAGUUGCAGUGAAACACGCAAGCAUUGCAUUGCUUUUUUCUCUUUCUAAAACCAAUGGAAGUACAAGGAAGUGGAGGUGAAUCAAUAACAAUAAACCGUGUGCAUUGCCGAGAUUAUAUAGUUUGUGAUUAUACCAUUUUAAUACAGAGAAGCUGCAAAUACCAAAUUAAACCAACGCAGGUUUGAGGUUCCUACGUCAAGUUCAACCAUUUCAUUUCUAGUGUAAUUUCUCUAUUCAAAACAACUAUAGAAAGGUCCACUAGACAUGGCAGACGAAACAAUACCCCAAUAACAUUGUGGCAUUACGAAAGUAGCAAAGCAAAGCAUAAGAUAAAAUAAAAGCGGCAUUAUAACAAACCAAAACAGACUUGUUCUUGUUCUUAACCGAAACAUAAAAGCUAAAACCUCAAAAGUGAAAAUAACCGAACAAAACACUUAAUCUCAAAUUCCCUUUUUUUUUUAAAUUAAUUAAUUCUCAGGAAUCUCAACCUCACCCUCUUGAAUCUCCUGCUGGAUAUCCUUGGAAUCUCCUGCUGAAUAUCCUUGGGAUCUUUCCCAUCCACAGUACACCCAACAGACACACACGUCCCAAGAAUCUCCCUCACGGUCCCGCUCAGCUCCUUCGCAAUAGACCUCGGCCUCAUGAUCCUCGCGAUCUCAAUCACGUCAUCGAACGAAAUGUUCCCGUUGUGCUUAAUGUUCUUCACCUUCUUCCUGUCCCUCUCCGGCUCCUUCAAGGCCUUGAUCACCAGCGCCGCCGCCGAAGGCACCACCGUCACUUUCGCCUGGCGAUUCUGCACCGUCAGCUUCACCGUGACGCGGAGCCCCUUCCACUCCUUGGCCGUCUCCUUGGCGAUGUCUUCUCCGAUCUUUUUGGGAGCCAGACCGAGGGGACCGAUCUUGGGAGCGAGGGAACUCGCGGCUCCGACUUCUCCGCCGGUCACGCGGACGUAGACGUCCACGAUCUGGCUCGGGUCAAGCUUCGGCGGCAUGGCUGUCUCGGUGGUUAAACGGAGUUUGAUUAGUUUUUUUUUUAAGUGGAGUCCGGAGACGAGGAGGCGGUUGAAGACGAGCUCCAAAGGCUUUUAUUGAGGUCGACACUAGGGUUUACGAAAUGAUGAAUUUACUACCCUUGUAAACAUAUAUGGGCCUUAAGAGAAUGAUCUUAUGGGCUUUAUUUUAGACUAUCGGUUCUUUUACGGUUUAGUAAAUAAUAAAUCCCCGGUUUGAUAGAACCGGUUUACUUCCGUCGCCUCUUUGCUCGGUGAGAAUUGCCUAAAAUAUUUCCUCAGUUUCGGAAAGAAGUAUAUUUUAGUUACCAAUAUAAUUUUAAUAAAUAAAAUUAUGUUUUUUUACUGUUUACGAUUAAUUUAUGCAUUGAAACCGUAAAAAUGUAUUUUUCUUGAAACGGAAUUUUUUUCUAAAAUAUGGAAUUUUUUGAAACGCAUGGCUUUUAUUAUACUAAAAUAGUGAAAGUGACGUCACUUCGUUUAACCGAUAUGAUCAACAACAGAAGCAUAUAGUUUUGACAAUAUACUGGGAAACAUUUACUUUUUGGAACUUUCUGUUAUCUUAUGUGUGUUAUUUAAUUAGUGGGUGGCUAAGGACCAGAAGUUGAGAAAGAAGGAAGGGAACACAGCAAGCCAGCUGAUGAAUGCCAUUGCUGUGGCGGUCUGGAACCUUGUGCAGUGGCUGCCAUCACAUUUAUCAAGAUCGUUGAUGAGUACGGUUAUGCCAGCAGACGCAGAUGCAGCUGCAAACGUAAGUAGGCAUGUGAUCUGCAAGGGAUGAAAAUAGACAAAACAGUCACUUUGUUGCCUUCUUAGAAACUAACUUUAAACAAUAAAGAGAGAUGUUGAUUUCGUUCUUACUCCAUCUCCAACUGUGAAACAUCGAACAACCAAGUGAUUCCGAAGGCUUCUUCCCACCAGAAGAGCAUAAGCAUCGAUGAUAAAAAGAGACAAGCUCCACAGGCUUUGCAAGCUAACCGCAAAAACCAAACCACUGUCACAGUUUAUAGAUAUGUUUUGUCAGAUUCAUAUUUUUCCGUAAACCUUAGGUCUAAGAGUUGGAUUUUACUAGAAUGCGGUGAAGGAGUGGAAGUCGGGGGUGGUGAGCAUGACGGAGAGGGAGAUGAGAGAGGAGACGAACUGAGAGAGGCGGAGGAUGAGGCCGCCGGUGGUUCCUGGCAUGCCCUGAAUAUCUUUCAUCCUCACUGGCGGUCUAUCGUUGGCUCCGCCAGUAGGACCCACGGGGACAGCAAUUACCGGACGAACCGCCGGUCGGCUCACGUUCAUCAUGUGAAAGUGAGUCACUCUGAUAACACACACACAAAUGAGGAACUAACUCGACUGAGUUUGCUAAACUAAUUUCCUAAAGACAAAGACUUAUUCAACUAACUGAAUCUCUAACACAUGUAGGACUUUCGAACGUUUACCGCAAAAGUUCAAACAGACCCACCUUGUAAGACACGAAACUGCUACUUUGGCUGUCUGAAAAAUGGAAUUAGUGUGGAUUUUUUUUUUGGUCCACGAGUUAAUUAGUUAAUGUGAUGUGUUUUGACAGAAUCGACCCAAAACAUAGUAUUUAAUGUUCCUAACUUUUGAUAUCUAUUGACUUAGAGUAACCGACUUUGAAAGUUAGUAUAAAACAACUGUAGAAACUUUUAAUGUGGCUUACUAGAUUUUUGGUGCUAUUCUAAAGUAUUUAUGUUUUUAUAUUAUUUAUUUCAAAUAUGUUAGACAUAAUAUUAUAACUUAUUAGUACUAUUUUCGACAGUUUAUGUUAUUACUUUUGAAACAGAUUAUAUUUAAAUUAGUAGUAUAUAUUAAGCUAGAAAAACACUCGAAAUUUAUUUGAACACUUAAAAUAAAACUAUAUUUUUUGUUUCUUAUUCUUUUCCUGUGUUUAUUUGUGUUGUAGUAUUGAUAAUUGACUAAAUAAAUACAAACAAGAAAAUGUGAAACUUUUGUUGGUUACAGAACAGAGUUGAUGAUCUUACAGAGAAUUAAAGACAUUUAGUUUGGGGUUAAAAAGACAGUUCUAAUCAUUUACAACAAAGAACUUCCACCGAACUGGAAAUUGUUUUUACUUUACCCCAACUAAUCGGGAUCUAUUCCUUCCAUUUUUAGUAAGAUUAAUAAAAUCGUGAAAAUCUGACAUUUUCAUAUCUAUAUAUAAAAUCUUUAAAUAGUUAUCUAGAUAUAUUUAAAGUUAUCUAGAUUUUUUUUUUUUGAAAAAGUUAUCUAGAUAUAUUAGAUCUUGAUAAUAAUCAUUCUCCAGCCCUUUCCAUCUCCCAGCAGAGCUUAGACGCAACACUUUCAUGGGAAGGUGCAUAUUCCUGCAAAAUGACAACAACAACGUUUGAGAUUAUGUAGAGACCCAGAAACAAUUCAUUUUCUUCAAUUUACCUCAAGCUUCUUCACAAGCUCUUUAGCAGUAGGUUCAGAGACUAUGAUCUCACGAGCAGUCGGGCUGAUGAAUCCUUCUUCAACGGCUUUAUCGAUGAAUGAAAGCAGCGAGUUGUAGUAUCCAUCAACGUUGAGUAAACCCACCUGCAGAAAGUUUGUUUUAGUGAUUUUGGAUUCUUGAAUUUUUCCAUUUGAAGUAAGAAUAUUAGGGAGGUUUUUUUUUACAGGCUUGUCAUGAAUUCCAAGCUGAGCCCAAGUUAUGACCUCAAGCAAUUCUUCAAGUGUUCCAUAGCCUCCUACAAUUAUCGCACAAAAUUUUAGAUUUGAUUUGUCAAAAGAGAGCAGGUUAAUCUGUUACUAUGAUAUGGUCAAAUCAGUAGGUGUGUCAUGUACAAUACAAAACCAAAUAAUAGAGUCCUCUCCUCUCUGUUACUGUUUUGUACAUUGGUACUGACUAUGAUUACAAAAGCAGGAUCUUGACUUUCCAUUAAUGAUUUCAGAUUAAGUGUGGGCCAAAAAAUGCCAUUUGUGGGACUGUUUCAAGUUUUGUCUCUUAACUUGAAAAGGGCAAAGAAAAAAAGUUUGGUCAGAGUAAGACUACACAAGCUAUAGAGAGAGUACCCCCUAAGUUAAAAACAAAGCAGAGCAAUAACCAGAGUAAAAGAAAAGGAAAAAGGUAUAAUUCUAAGUGCCAGAUGUUGAUGGUUAAGGCCUUUUAUCUUACACUCUGGUGACUUUAAAUAUUUAGAUUUUUUUCAUUUCAAAGAAUAAUUAAAAAUAAAAAACUUUUCACAGCAGCUUUCACACUGCAGCUUGACCAAAACAUAAUGUUUUUUUUUGUGUAACUAAGAAAUCAUGUUUUUACCAAACUCUUUUCUUCUCUUUUUUUACAAAAUCAGUCCAGAAAAACAAACUUUUUCCUUUACAUGAACAAACCCUACUUUGAAACUUUGAUUACCCAUUCAAAUUGUUUUAAGAGGCUAUUCUUAAAAUUCUUUGCGUCACUAGGGUUUUGACAAGUUUUCGUAUGUUAUCAUUACUUACAUUGAAAGAACAGCAAAAUUUUGAGGUUUAGAAAUGUUUUUUGAGAAAGAAAACAUUUGAUUGAAAAUUUGGGUGGAUUGGGUUUAAAACAAAACCUGGUAAGGCAAUAAAAGCAUCAGAGUGCUUGGCCAUUUCAGCUUUCCUUUGGUGCAUAUCUGCAACUGCUCUUACUUCUCCUACUGUUUCACCAGUCAACUGCAAAAAACAAUGAUCAUCCACCAUUUUAAAAUAAAUAAAAGGAUGUUAAUUAAAAGUAGUUAAAGGGCAAAAGCAACUUUGGGCUCUUCUACAGGCAAACGCAAUGAUGUCACCGCAAGUAGUCGUAAUGUUUGGAUGUUUUUGAAAUCUCCUACAGAACCCUAACAUCUAGUUAACCUCUUUCUAAUCAUUUUCUUCAUAUAUCUUUUAUUCAGAUUACGGUAACCAAAUGAGGAUAUUUAUAUUUUAGGACACCUAAACUACUCGCAAUCAUGAGAUUUAAGAAAAGGUAACAAACAGGGAGAAGAGUAAAACCUAAGCAAACACCGAAGAUUAAAAUGGUUUUGAAUGGGAAUUUGGAGAACUUAAAAGAGAAAUUAAAUUAACAAAGAACAAUGUUUUAUUUUGAAAUUUUCUUCUUUGAAAAGUUCAUACCUCUCUAGGCAUGAGGGUCUUUGGAAUUAUUCUGCAGAGUGACAACAAAAGGACAAAGUUGGGUUUUAUUAGAAAUAUUCAGCAAUAUAAUCCAACACUUGUGUUCCAUCAGAAUCUCAAAAGACAGUUUUCUUUUGUAUGAUCUGAAGCUUACAAAGUUGUCAAAUAGUUUAAAGUUAUUUGACUAAGAAAAAGUUACCCAAUAACAUGACGACCACCAUUAUGAACAGCUUGUGAAACCAAACCCAUCAAGCCUAUGCUCCCACCUCCAUAGACUAGAUCAAUUUUCCUUGAGACCUGCAGAACAAAAAAAAAAACAGAGUUACACUUUUUUUUUUUUUUUUGUCACAAAAACAGAGUUACACAUUAGCCUAAACUUGAUGAUAAGUAGAGCAAAAAUCGUGUAACAAACCAGAACCAGAAUAUUCUGAAGUUAUACCAUCUGGCACGUUUCAAAGAAGAAAUAAAUGAAGCAAAGAUGCACAUCAUCUUAUCUCAAAACCAACCAGCAUAAUCAAAGACAUAAAUACGUUAAAAGUCAUGUAUGUGUUACCAGUUCGUUGCCGAGAUCUACAGCAGCAUCUUGGUAACUACUCUUCUUGCCUUGGCUGCUUCCACAGAAGACACAUAUUCUUUUGAACUUUGACUUUUGCAUCGUUUCAGCUUUGAUCUCCAUUGAAUAUGAUCCUAAACUUAUGAUAAAAUAUAAAACUUCUCCAGAAAGAGAAAAGGUAAACAAUUUUAAGGUUUCUUUCAGCACAAGAAUCUAAUUUCGCAAGACAGUUAUGAGUGACAAAGAAACCUAACUAAAUCUGAAAAAAUAAUUUAUUUUGGGAGUUGUUUUUAUCCUCACCACUAAUGUUUCCUGGCUCAAGGGUUGUUGUUAUAUAUAUAGUGCGUCAUCGAUUUAAGCUUACUUAUUUUAAAUUACAUUCUUUUUGAUGUUUACUAAAGCUAGCAGCCUAGCACAACAUUUAAUAAUACAAAUUUAGAAAAAAAAAUAGAAGGCUUUCGUUAAAAAGUUUAUUUUUUUGUUUGUUUGAAUACUUCAUUUCUGUUUUAUUCCCCAUAAAAAAAAUAUUUUUGACCAAAAUCUUAUAAAUCGUUGAUUUGAAUAUUUAAUAAAAAUCGAUAUUUUUUAGAUUUAUGUUGAGGUCUUUACACGGGAGAAAUUAAAGCACGCGUCUUUCACUACCCGCGCGGCACGCGUGACCGAAUUCUUCUUUGUGUUAAUUUUCCCUUACUAUAAAAUCACGUACAACAAUGAUAGACUAGUACCAUAAACCUUAUUUAUGGUCGUAAAUAACAAUUUUUUUUGUUACUUGAGAGGAAUUUGGAUCAAACCGUAAUCUCCGCUUAAACCUGAAACCAUGUGUCCAUGCAUUGAUAAUAGUUUAUGACAUGGCGUAGAACAUUUCUUUCCAUAUAAAUGACAAUUCUUCGUAAUGGACUUUAUGGUUAGACUCACAAUCACCCAACUAGAUAGAAAUGCCAUGUUAAUGCAGGCUAUAUCUCACAAGGAAUUAUUAUCAGUUGUGUUCUUUGUUGUUAAAGAUCAUAUAUAUCGUGUUUAGACUUCAUAACCCCCUCUUAUGAUUUCGUAAAGAAAGCUCUCAGUGAUUAAAAAAAAACUGAUUCAGUAAAGCUUCGUCAUUUUUCGUUCUUAAUCAAGAAUAGGAAAAAUAAUUAAUUUUCUAUAUAAAAAUAAGAAAAAUGGACAGCAUAUGUGGACAGUGUAAGAUGGGUACAAACGUUAUUAACUGAUACUCUUGAAAAACAAAUAGAGAAAGGGAAAAUAAAUAACCAAAAAUAACCAAGACAAAGGCCACACUAAUAUUCUAAUGGAACCAUGUAGAUGUCAUGGAUAAACCAAUGAGAUAUAUACACACUCACUUAUCUAAAGAGAUAUAUAGAAUGAAUAAGUUAAUGAGAUGAUGAUGUCUGGGAUAUGGAGCAAUGUGCCAUUGAUGAUUGACAUAAGAAAACAAAGUGAUGGCUUAUGUUACCAGUGUAGCCUAAUUCACCCUCCCUAUGUAGACAACCUUCUUCUUGUUCUUUGCAUAGAAAACGUUUCUUCUAUUUUUAUUCCCCUAUAUUCAUUUUCACCAUCCUAAGCUAUAGUAUGGAGUUGUGAUAUAAAAUUCUUUUAAUUUUUUUAGACUAUUAUUUUUGUCUUUCUCUUUCAGAAUAAAGUAAUCAUUAAAUCAUCGUUGAAUUAUUUAAAGUUAUGAAUUCAGAAACAUAUGCAAAUUAUCGCCUUGUGAAAGAAUGAAAAAUAAAAUUUCUUGUUACACUUCCCAUUUCAGGAGAACCUUUUAUAUAAUCUUGAUUUAUUGAAAAAUCAAAAAUUUAAAACCGAAAGCUGAGAGCUAAAACUAAUAAGAAAAAAAAAACACUAGUUUCGUUAAGACUCUAUCGUAACCCUAUUGACAUGUUGGCUUGGAAUACCAGGAACCUCCCCAACACUCUUAUACUUAACUGUAAGCAAACACUUACAAUAUACUUCAGAUCAUAUAUAUUUGUUUAUAACAUGUGUAUAUAGCGUAUGAGUAUUUAAAUAAGAAAAUAAAAUAAUUACAAUCCCAAGAUCUGAGUAGAUGCAACCCAUUCCUUCUAUAAACAAAUAAGUAAGUUUGUAAAAUAGUUUGUAUUAGUAUAUCUGCAUGCUUGCAUGCGCAUUUUUCUCUUGUUUUUCUUUUUCAUCUCUAGUUUCACUUCACAUUCUUCUUGGGUUUUUCACUUCCGACCCAAUUUUUAUUUUAUUAUAAUAACCAUGACGAUGGUAGUGAUACCACAAUUUAAUCAGAUAAUACUUUCAUGCAGUCCAAUUUGAAAGUGUUAAAUAUUUGAAAAUGAGCACAAGAGGUUUUAUAACUCGAAUCUUUUUAUAGUCUGUACAGAAAAAAAAAACAAAAAGACAAUUUUAAAGGUGGACGUUUGAAGAACAAAUUAUCCUUUUUACAAAAGGUUAAUAUCUGUCUCCAAUCGAUUUUGACAUGAUUUCAAAGACAUAUAGUGACAUAGCAUUAACGAACAUCUAACGGAAUCCUAAAUCACUUUAACUAAAAGAAGUUCAUAAAGAAAGAAAAAGUAUUAAGUUAGUCAUACAACUAGUUCAUUCUGUUCAUAAAGGGGUUCUAAGUAUUUAUAAAUAUCAAUUUUUCUUGGAGUGGUUCUCAACCUUUUCAAACAGGUCAACAUUUUUUACUUCCUUUUAUAAAAGGUUUUUGUUAAAUUAAGAAAAGUUCUUUCGAAAGAUGAAACUUGAAUCCUUUAUAUAUUUACUUAUCAGUUAAAGAAGUUCAUUCAUAUUAGACCCAAUACAAUUUUGUUCAUAAAGGGGUUCUAAUUAAGUAUUUAUAAUUAUCAAUUUCUAUGCAGACAUAGGAAAGGCUCCGCGCUUUCUAAUAAAUAUAUAUAUGGGUUAUUAUAUAUCCAUGCCUGACAAAAAGAAAAUGCUUAAUUUGAUUUAAUUUAAGAUUAAGGAGAUGAAGAUGAAAAAAUUAUUAACCCAUAUUAUUUUUUCAUUUAAGCUCUGGCUGUAAAAAAGCUGAACAACUUUUACCAUAUUAUUUUUUUCCGAAGUAUAUUAAAAAGAAGACAAUAUAUUUAUUCACUGUUUUAGGUUUUGUUCCAAGCUAUCACCACUAUUUUGUCAGUAGUACCAUAGAUUCAUGAUUAAAAAUGACUCAAAACCUUUCUUAAUAAAUAAAUUUUAAACCUUAAAUGAAAAACUUAAGCCAAACAUAGUAUCUCAAUAUUGUCUAUAAUUUCUUAAAAUAAAGGAUAAUAUCCUCACACAGUUUUUUGUAGUAGUGUUAAAAAGAACAGUAAUAGUAUAUUCGGAAUAAAAACCUUUUAAAUAUAGCAUCUACGGUAUUUUUUUAGCUUUUAUGAACUAUUUUAAUGAUUUAUUCUUGUUUUUGUUGUUGGUAAACAAAUAUUUUGAGAUGAUUUGUGUAUUGGAUGCAAACGGCAUAUUUAAAUUAAGGAAAUGCUAAUUGGGAGGCAGGAUAAAAUUCUUAUUAAUGUCCAUCGAAUUUUUUUUAUUAAAAAUGUUUGAAUAUGUAAUGUGCAUUGGAGUUAACUAUGACAUAUUCUUAUUACGGGUUGGUUUUGUCGUUGAAACAAACAAGAACGUUAUAUUAAGUUCAAAAAACAAACAAGAUGUUAUGGAGUCACACAACACUAUUUCGUACAGAAAUGAUACCUCUAGUUUUUAAAUGUAAUUUUUUUCCUACAAUUUUGACAUCUUUUAAAAGGAUAGUCCACGUAUGAGACUAUGUUAUGAUUGCAUGGGUAAAUACUUUAAUGUACAAGACGUGAAACUUAAUGCAAAACUAUCAAUAAAGGUCGAUAUGAUUCUUUAAACCAAAAAAAGUUCGAUAUGAUUCCGACAAUAUUUUAGAUUUAUGACUUUGAAACCCAAAAGGAACAGACAUUUACCACUUUGAACCGAAAAUAGAACCCCCAAACUUGUUUUUUUCCUCAACGGACCAACGUUAAAUCCACAAAUUAAGGAAUUGAAGAAAAGAGGAGACAAAAAAACAAGAAAGGAAAAGGGAAGAACAUGGAUUUGUAAAUGGUGAAAAGAGGGACAGUCAAAGGUCAGAGAGGGACAAAUCAUUUGUUUAGUAGUUAUCAUAAAGUGUCGGACAGUUAAUACCGUUACUUACGAGUCAAAUGUCUCUAUUACGUUUUCACUUAUCACUAGUUAGUGGUAACUUACUUAAAUUACUUUUUCAAAAAAAAAAAAACUUACUUAAAUUACCCUCCCAUCAAUCGAUUUAUAUUUUCAAAAUUUCUGUAUUGUGAAAAAGCCAUGCAUUGUUGACGCAAUUUUUUGUUGUUGUUACUUGUCAACUAUUGAUACGUACUACUAACCAUGUUAUGUAUACAAUGCAUCUUUACAUAAACCUCUUUCAGUAGACUAAAUUCACAUUCAAAUCUUUUGAGUUAAACAUGUUUAAAUUGGAAAAUAUUGAGAAAUAAUAACAAUAAAUAUUUAUUGCCCUUUUCAAAAAUAAAAAUAAAGAUUUAUGGUUUUUAGUAAUUACUUGAACUAAAUUUGUUAAAACUUACAUAUACUUACUACUUAGGCAGAUAAAUGACAACUUUUAAAACAGUUAAAGGACAACUUUACGUAUACAGCAUGUAUGUAAGGAGUUUAUGAAGACAAAAGGAGGAAAGAAUCUAACUUAUAGCAAGAAGAGUGGUGAACGUAAGAUGGAGAGAGUGAACAGUCAAAAUACAUUCAUUCAUUCCUUUGUUUUUUUUUCUCUUUUAGAAAUUAAAAUUUAUGUCGUUUGUUUUUGGGACAUUACCUACGUUCAUUUCAACUCUUUCAACCUUUCGGUCAUCUCUAUACGAAUAUACCCCCAUUUGUUUUACAUUUUUAUUUUCUUUUAAAAUUUAUGAAGUUACAUUGGCGCCUACAAUUCAAAAGAUUUAGUUUGACUGGUUUACACCAUGUGAAUCCCAUAGGAUAAAUUAUAAAUAAUUCAUAUGGUUUCUGACGUAUGCGUUAUACAUACCUAUAUUGCAUGUUAAAUAAUGCCCUUUUCUGAGAUGGUGAAUAGAUAGAUAUGUCGAAUUUUUAGUAUAUGAAGUUGAAAUUAUAAGAAAUAUCCUAAAAGUAUUUGCAUCGACAUUCAUUUGCUAAGGAAAAAGGUUAAAAAUGUCUUCAAAAAAGGGUAAUGGACGUUUAAUAUAGGAUUAAGUAGCAAAGGAGCAAACAUGGAACAUGUUCAUCUCCUAUGAAUGAGGUGAAUAAGUCAAAAAAAGAAGAAGAAUAAGUCAAAGUAGGUCUAGUUGCUGGACCGGUUCUAAGGACAACCGGAUAAAAAUCCAUCUUAAUCCCAAUUUUUUUUAAAACUAAGAACUAUUAUACGUAGACCACAUGGUCCAUAUACUAUCCAUAACUUUUUAGUAAGAUAAACCUGAUAAUGUUUGCCAAAGCUCCUUUAGAUUAAUGUUUGACAAAGUGGUCACUAAUGGUUAUACAUCAUGAAGUCUAAGUUCUGAAUCUUAUAGAAGGCAAAAUUGUGCUGGAGAUUUUUUUUAUAAAAGAUGGAGCAAAAAAUACCAUAAAACGUAGAUCUUAUAAGUCGGUUCAAAGUGAUGCAGUAAAAUGUAAAUUCUUAUAAAAAAUAGAAUCAUCAAUUAUAUAAUCGUUAUAAUAUUUUCAUGGUUUGCAAUAGCAUAGCUAUUCAACGUUAAGAAAAACCAAAUAAUGUUUUUUGGCCAUAAAUUUUCGAUCCGGCUUUGUUGCGCUGUCCACGUACAAAACUAUGGCAUAUAUAAUUCACGAGGUUUGAAAUAGUGUUCCUUUUAUUUGUUUAGUUAGUUCUCAAUAUUUUUCUUUCAAAUGAAUGACAAGAGAAAUCGUAUGAGACGAAUAUGAGAGAUAGGUUAAGAAUCAGGAUGUUUUCGUUCACAGUAUAUAUAAGAAAUUAUUAUAAGAGAUUGUAGCUUAUGGAACAACAUUAAGGGUAUGACUGGUUUCCUCGCUGCCACACGCAUGCGGUUGGUAGCGGUUAUUGGCGUUUUGCAACAAUCACUCAAACCGCUCUAAAUCGUUUCAAACCUCAUAAACUCAAAACUGGCUUCAGCUAGCGUUUGCGGUUACGGGAGGAUAAUUUUUUUCAAAACAAUAUAAACAUAAAAAUAAAAAAUUCAAUAAAAAUUUUAAAUUGGAAUUAUAAAAAUACUAAAAUAUAUCUAUUUUAUAUUUUAAUUAAUAUUAUAAAAUUUAACUUUUAAAAUAUAAUUUUUAUAUUUAUUAUAAUAUUAUAAUUUUUUAUAUUUUUAUAAUUAUAUAAAAUAUAAAUAUUGUUAAUUUAUUAUUUAACUGUUGUUGCAUCUGAUAGUUAAUCAGUCAUAAGUAUCCUGCAAAUGCACCAAUUUCUAACUAUAGAACCAGUCGUACAAAUCUCUUAAAACCGCUAGAACUGUAACCAUCCGCAUCAGCAAACUCCUGCGACCGCAACCGCAACCGAUACAUUUAAACAAGUCAGGCCCUAAGACGAUAACGUUUGUGGGCAGCAUCAUUAGCAAAGAGAACUACGUCUAUUAGCAUUAGAAACAAGUGAUGCUCUUCAUCAUCAUCAUCAUCAUAAACUACUUCCAAAGUGUUAUUACACGUAUGUGGUAUGCCGUAUAUAUAUGCAUAUACAGUUCUUUAUAGUAACCUACAUAUAUAUGUAGGUGUAGCCAUCGCAAUAUCUAGGUGUAUUGUAUAUUAGGGUAUAACAACGAACUUAGUAGAGUAGUAUGAAAUUACCUUAAACUUGGUUUAGUUUGGUUGAAACGCGUAAUUAAUAUCUUAGUAUGAAACUAAGAGUAUACACUUUAAGCAAAUAACUAGAUUUUGAUCCGCGCUUUUAAAGCGCGGAUUUAUUUUUUUAUUUUUUAAUUGACAAAUAUUUAGUAAAUGUCGUAUUUUUAUAUAUUUGUCUUUUAUUUUUAUGAAUGCUUAAAUUAUAUUAAGAAAAUAAAAAAAUAAUAAUUAAGAAUAGUUGAAAAAAAAUUAUUUUAACUUGGACUCAAUGGUCCAAAUGAAAAAAAAAAAGUGAGAAUUGAAUCUGAUUUUUUAAUAGGUCCAAAUGGCCCAAGAGAGAUUUGAUUUGGGCUGGAUCCAAAAAUAAUGAUCCAAUAUAGAUUUGUUAUUAAUAUUACUUAAUUGCCCUUAAUGAAACAUGCAAUGUUAGUGAAGAAAACAUACCCCUAAGGUAAUUAUGACAAUAGGAUCCUGCUUUAAUAAUAUAGAUUGAUUUCUCUUGAACCAACUUGCACUCAAUUUGCUCAUUCAACUGCGUAUUGUAUUUGAUUCAAAUAGAUUGCUGUGAUUUUGGUGUUUUACGUGGUUAUCAAAUGUGUUCAUACUCAUAAGCGCAGAAGAUCAGAAAGCAAUAAACAAGACAGAGAAGAUUGAAUCAAAAUAAAGCGAAGCAGUUAAUGACAGCAUUCAGACAGACAAGAACAUGGUCUUCCUUACAAAUCUUAACUCUAUAUGUUUUUCAAACAAAAGACCAUCCGUGCAUCCAAGGCACAACAACACAUAGCUUAGUACGGUCCACCGAAACUGCCAUCCUCUCACAAAAACUGCUUCAAAGCGCCUGUUACAAUUUCCUUUACUCAGAUAAAUCAGUCUAUGAAGUGGUUAAUGCCCAAAAGACCCAUCUAUAAGAACAAUAGUAUAAGUCAUACCUCUCCAGAGAAUAGGAAGCCAUAGAUUGGUGCUCAAAACUGGCGCCUUGGAGGCCUAGCCUCAGCUUCAGACACUCUAAUCUGCCUCCCGUCCAAAUCCUACAACAGGGUACAAAGUAUAAGCACAUCAAGAAUAGUUUCAUUGAUCAAACUGUCGGAAUAAAAAAGAUACUUACAGCACCAUCCAAUGUUCUGAUGGCAUUCUGAACCUCUUGAGCAGAGUUGUAAGUCACAAACCCAAAACCUUUCGACCUACCACUGUCCCUGUCGUAGAUGACUCUAGCCUCAACAACCUUCCCUUGCUCCCCGAACAAACUCUCGAGCGCCAUGUCGUCAACACCCCACGAGAGGUUACCAACAUAAACACGGUUCCCUGAACCAGCACCACCACCACCACCUCCACCAUAUCCUCCACCAGAGCUUCCAAAGCUGCUUCUAGGUCCUCUUGAGAAGGAGUCUUCCCUCUUCGGUGGAGGAGGACCCGCGUUAACUCUCAACGGUCUACCAUCCAACUCCUGCAAACAAAACCCAAUAAGAACAACAAAACAACACAAAGGUUCCAACUUUUUGUCUUUAGCAACCACAAGUUUUUGUCUUUAGCAACACAAAGGUUCCGACAUAAGGUAGAGAAGUAAGUAUGUUCUUACAUAGCCAUUGAACAACACAAAGGUUCCAACUUUUUGUCUUUAAACGCAUACUUACAUAGCCAUUGAACUGCUGUUCAGCUGUCUCAACUUCAGAAGCUGAAGACAUAGUCACAAACCCAAAACCUCUGCUUCUCCCUGUCACCUUGUCAUAGAUAACCUAAACAAAGACAACAAAACGAACAAUCACUAAAACCAAUCUCAAACAACAACAACAACAACAACAAAAAAGAUUCAAUCUUUAUCUCAUUUCUCGAAAACCCAUAACUCAAUUUUGAGUUUUUGACUCGUUACCUCAACCAUCUCGACGUUUCCGGCGCUCUCGAAGAGCUGAGCGAGCUGAGCGCUGUCGACGUUAAAGGGGAGGUUACCGACGAAGAGCUUGAGGUCAGAAGAGAAGGAUUGCUCCCGCCGCGGGGGAGGAGGAGCGUCGUCGUCAGCGAAGAUGCCGUCUUCUUCGACUGAGAAGUCGUCAGUAACCGCGACGUUACGGACGAAGCGAGAGGAAGCGGCGGAGAUGGAGAGGGAGAGGGAGGCGGAGAGGGAGUGGAGAUUGAAGGAGAGGGAAGGAGGUAGGAGGGAAACGGAGGCGGGUCUGGAGAUGGAGAAAGGAAGGGACUUGGGGGUGAAAGUGGAGAGAGCGAGAGAGGAAGCUGAAGCAGCCAUGGUGAAGAGAUGAGAAGAGAUAAGGUUUGUUUUUAGCUUUAGGGGUUUUUGAGAGUGGAGAUAAGAUGGUGUGUUUCUGAUAUUUAUGGGCCAAAUGGGAAUAAAUAUCUUUGCACAAAAUAUCUCAUUCUGAUUUUUAUUUACAAAUUUUGCCUCAAAACUUUAUUUGAUUGCUAAAUAUUCUGCUGCUAAUAAAAUUUGUCAAAUUUCAAUGAAUUUAUCUUAACGUCAUCUCUGAAAAAAAGUAUGUAUUUAAAAAAAAUAUAGGUUUUCAUAAAUUUGUAGACAAUUUCUUUAGAAAAUCUUAAUUUUCAAAAUAUUUUGUAUUUUUCUCACUUUAGUGGUGUUAGUUAUCUUUUUAUUGGAAGUCUCUACUUACUACUUGUCAUACGCUGAAGUGAGAUGACAGAUGAGAUGAGAUCUAAGCCGUAGAGUUUUGGAUGGACAGUGGAGAUGGCACGUCUCAUGCCAAAACCAAAAGAAAAAAUCUAUAAGAUAGGAUUUUUUAACUAAAAGCCAAUGGAAGUAGCAACUCUCGUUCCAGCACAGAUCUUUAACUCCAAUAAAUUCAGAAAACAAUACAGUUCCUCUAAAGAAAACCAUUGAAUCAUACAAAGGUUGCUCCCUUCAAAACAAGUUAAUAAGAAAUGAUGUAUUUGGAUAACAACAGAAGACUGAAGUUCUUGAACUGCAACACGCUUUUAGGAUCUCUUCAAUUGGAGGGUCAUCUCGAGCUUCUUUGUCCUGAAAUGUUCCAACAAACAAGUUGUUGAGUACGAGAUUGUGAUUAAUUUAUCUCUUUGAUUACAUUGACAUGGUGUAAACACAAGUAUUUGAUCAAAACGUGUUACCUGGUCCAUACUCCCCGGUCCGAUCAAAACAAGAGAAACACCAGAUGCAUCCAUCACAUGCUAAGAAAACCUCAAAUGUAUCACUUAAUGAAAUGACCAAACCAUCAUCAAGAUUUUGACAGUGGGGUGAAUCAUUUUACCUUCUUUUACGACAAGCAAGCUUUAAUACCCAACAUAGUAGUAGUAACCAAACACAUUCACCAAAUCUAAUAAGAAACUUCUCCAAAAAGAUUUAACCACCCAAAAUGACGAGCAAAUGCAACAACAGCCUUCCUAUCCUUCCACAAAAUCAGAAAUCAACAGUCUCUCUCCCUGUUCCAGUUCCUGUGAAGAAGAACCGAUUCAAUCUAGUUUAUAAUCUUUUCAGCUUCUCCAAAACAGAACAGAUUCUAAAACUUACCUGAAGCGCCGGUAAUGGCCGACACUGCCACCACGUUACGCCGGAGAGAAAAAUCUACUGGAGAUGAGAACUGGCCAAAGAACCAAACUUUACUGUCCCGUAAACCCAUGAAUCGUUUUUCAUCUUCUGAUUCAGCGUAACGGGAGUGAUCGUCGACGAAGACGGCGAUGAGAGAGAAACCGCCAUUGUUGUUUUUACUCCGGGAAAGCCGAAAGAAAUAAGAAAAAUCCUAACUUUAACGUUUUAGUUAGAAAAAAAAAAUCAAAUUAAAAAAAAUCAAACUUUAAGUUAUUACACGUUGUAUAGAUGACGUAAGCAUUGUCCGAAACAGAAAAAAGUCAAACGCCACGUAAGCUCAGUAAGAGUAAAAUUUUUUGGAAAAGGUAGAUCUUUUUUAAAAGCGAACUAGAUUUUGAUCCGCACAUCCGUGCGGGUAUUCGUUUAAACUUUUAAAAACAUACAAUAGAUAUUUACAUAAAAUUGUUAUAUUAGCGUUUUAUACCAGCUCAAAUAAGAUAAGCUUUUAGCACAUAUAUAAUUAUUAGUAAUACUAUAAGUAAGUAAUUAUUUGAGGUUUAUUUAUUUUAUGUUAUUCAUGUACAUUAAUAUUUAAAAUUUUAAAAAUAGUUAUUAUAUAUAAUAUAAAUGGACUACUUAGUUUUGGAAAGGAAAAAAAUUGAUAUUUUUUAAUAUUUAUGGAAUGGUAAAAACUAUUUUAUAUUGAUUUUAUAUCAUAUCAUUCGUAUUAAUAUAUAUAUGUACAGUUCACAACAGGUAAAAUUAAUUAAUUUUUAACUUUAAGAAAGAUUUUGUUAAGAUAUAUUAUCAUUUGAAACAAUAAUUAAUAUUUCCAUAUAUAAAAGUAAUUGAUGGUAUAUUUUUAAGGAAGAUUUUGUUAAGUUUAACUAAUAUAGUGCUCUUUUGCGAAAUAGACACUUUUUAUUAAUAAUAUUUUAUACGUACAAUCAUAUAAAUAAUCACAUAUAUUAUAUUUUAAAAUUUAAUGUGAAAUAUAAAAGCUAUAAUUUAAGUUGGUGUUUGAAAUUGGGCUUUGUAUUGCAUUUUUUUUGUAGAGUUUUGGAUGGACAGUGGAGAUGGCACGUCUCAUGCCAAAACCAAAAGAAAAAAUCUAUAAGAUAGGAUUUUUUAACUAAAAGCCAAUGGAAGUAGCAACUCUCGUUCCAGCACAGAUCUUUAACUCCAAUAAAUUCAGAAAACAAUACAGUUCCUCUAAAGAAAACCAUUGAAUCAUACAAAGGUUGCUCCCUUCAAAACAAGUUAAUAAGAAAUGAUGUAUUUGGAUAACAACAGAAGACUGAAGUUCUUGAACUGCAACACGCUUUUAGGAUCUCUUCAAUUGGAGGGUCAUCUCGAGCUUCUUUGUCCUGAAAUGUUCCAACAAACAAGUUGUUGAGUACGAGAUUGUGAUUAAUUUAUCUCUUUGAUUACAUUGACAUGGUGUAAACACAAGUAUUUGAUCAAAACGUGUUACCUGGUCCAUACUCCCCGGUCCGAUCAAAACAAGAGAAACACCAGAUGCAUCCAUCACAUGCUAAGAAAACCUCAAAUGUAUCACUUAAUGAAAUGACCAAACCAUCAUCAAGAUUUUGACAGUGGGGUGAAUCAUUUUACCUUCUUUUACGACAAGCAAGCUUUAAUACCCAACAUAGUAGUAGUAACCAAACACAUUCACCAAAUCUAAUAAGAAACUUCUCCAAAAAGAUUUAACCACCCAAAAUGACGAGCAAAUGCAACAACAGCCUUCCUAUCCUUCCACAAAAUCAGAAAUCAACAGUCUCUCUCCCUGUUCCAGUUCCUGUGAAGAAGAACCGAUUCAAUCUAGUUUAUAAUCUUUUCAGCUUCUCCAAAACAGAACAGAUUCUAAAACUUACCUGAAGCGCCGGUAAUGGCCGACACUGCCACCACGUUACGCCGGAGAGAAAAAUCUACUGGAGAUGAGAACUGGCCAAAGAACCAAACUUUACUGUCCCGUAAACCCAUGAAUCGUUUUUCAUCUUCUGAUUCAGCGUAACGGGAGUGAUCGUCGACGAAGACGGCGAUGAGAGAGAAACCGCCAUUGUUGUUUUUACUCCGGGAAAGCCGAAAGAAAUAAGAAAAAUCCUAACUUUAACGUUUUAGUUAGAAAAAAAAAAUCAAAUUAAAAAAAAUCAAACUUUAAGUUAUUACACGUUGUAUAGAUGACGUAAGCAUUGUCCGAAACAGAAAAAAGUCAAACGCCACGUAAGCUCAGUAAGAGUAAAAUUUUUUGGAAAAGGUAGAUCUUUUUUAAAAGCGAACUAGAUUUUGAUCCGCACAUCCGUGCGGGUAUUCGUUUAAACUUUUAAAAACAUACAAUAGAUAUUUACAUAAAAUUGUUAUAUUAGCGUUUUAUACCAGCUCAAAUAAGAUAAGCUUUUAGCACAUAUAUAAUUAUUAGUAAUACUAUAAGUAAGUAAUUAUUUGAGGUUUAUUUAUUUUAUGUUAUUCAUGUACAUUAAUAUUUAAAAUUUUAAAAAUAGUUAUUAUAUAUAAUAUAAAUGGACUACUUAGUUUUGGAAAGGAAAAAAAUUGAUAUUUUUUAAUAUUUAUGGAAUGGUAAAAACUAUUUUAUAUUGAUUUUAUAUCAUAUCAUUCGUAUUAAUAUAUAUAUGUACAGUUCACAACAGGUAAAAUUAAUUAAUUUUUAACUUUAAGAAAGAUUUUGUUAAGAUAUAUUAUCAUUUGAAACAAUAAUUAAUAUUUCCAUAUAUAAAAGUAAUUGAUGGUAUAUUUUUAAGGAAGAUUUUGUUAAGUUUAACUAAUAUAGUGCUCUUUUGCGAAAUAGACACUUUUUAUUAAUAAUAUUUUAUACGUACAAUCAUAUAAAUAAUCACAUAUAUUAUAUUUUAAAAUUUAAUGUGAAAUAUAAAAGCUAUAAUUUAAGUUGGUGUUUGAAAUUGGGCUUUGUAUUGCAUUUUUUUUUAUAUAUUGAAAAUAUUUUUAUAAUAGUUAUUGGAAAAUAUGUUAGUAAAAAUUAAAUUUUGAAUAUAUGUAUACUUUUAAAUGAAUUUUUGAUAUAAAUCAAUUUUAAAUUAUUAUUUUGAUUUGAAUAUAUAUAUCAAGUAACAUAGACCCAUUAUUUUUUAAUAUAAUAUAAUAGACUUCCAAUUUUUUAGUAGCAUAAGCCUAAUAUGUUUUUUCCUAACUUACUACUAUCUAUGUUUCCAAACAAUACUAUUUUUUUUAACUACUAUCCAUAUUGCCAAACAAUCUCAGUGUGUACUUCAACUUUAAUAAUAUAUAUAUAUAUAGAUGUUCCUUCUUUGCACGUUUAAGGGAUCUCAAGCCGCUUCUCUCUCUCACACAUCUCUGAAAUGGCGAGAGUAUUGCGUGUGGCGAGAUCCUCCUCCUCCCUCUUCAGCUUCGGAAGCAGAUCUUAUUCAGCCGAAGCUAGCCACGUGUCCUCUCCCCCUCCUCCGUUUCUUGGAGCUCGCAGAGACGUUACCAAGGAGAGAAACGUGCAGUGGGUGUUCCUCGGUUGUCCCGGUGUCGGGAAGGGGACUUACGCCAGCAGACUCUCGAGUCUCCUCGGUGUUCCUCACAUCGCCACCGGAGAUCUCGUCCGUGAUGCGCUAGCUUCUUCCGGACCUCUCUCCCGACAGGUUCUUGUUUCACUUUAUGUCCAAAUGAAUCCCAAAACGACGUCGUUUUCUGUUUAAAUCUGCUAAAAGUUCAUGUGUCUACCAACAGAUCUAAUGAACUAGUGUUUGUUUUGUCCUAACGGAUCUGAUCCUUUUUCUAAUAAUAGUCAACGGCUCUCUCCUCUUGCUUGUAUUGAGAUUCUUAUUACUUGAUUGCAGCUAUCAGAGAUUGUAAACCAGGGGAAGCUUGUUUCUGAUGAGAUCAUAGUGAACUUAUUAUCAAAGAGACUUGAAGCUGGUGAAGCCAAGGGCGAAUCAGGUUUCAUUCUUGAUGGCUUUCCUCGUACCAUGAGACAAGCUGUAAGUUAAUUCAUUGACUUCACAUCAUAUUGAGCAAAGUUUUGAAUGAUUAAUCUUUGUGUUUUCAGGAAAUAUUAGGAGAUGUCACUGACAUCGAUCUAGUGGUGAACUUAAAGCUACCUGAGGAGGUUUUGGUUGACAAAUGCUUAGGGAGGAGAACGUGUAAUCAAUGCGGUAAAGGUUUCAAUAUAGCUCACAUCAACUUAAAGGGUGAGAAUGGGAAACCAGGAAUCAGCAUGGAUCCACUUCUCCCUCCACCUCAGUGUAUGUCAAAGCUCAUCACUCGUGCUGAUGAUACUGAGGAGGUUGUGAAAGCUAGGCUCCGUAUUUACAAUGAAACCGUAAGUCCUCUUUCUCUCUCUCUAUUGUUCUUCCCAUUUUAGCGAUGCUUGAUGCUUUGAAUGAUGUGUGCAGAGCCAGCCUCUUGAAGAGUACUACCGUAUCAAGGGAAAGCUGAUGGAGUUUGACUUACCUGGAGGCAUCCCUGAGUCUUGGCCAAGGCUGUUAGAAGCUUUAAGGCUUGAUGAUUACGAGGAGAAGCAAUCUGCCGCGGCGUAGUUCAACUACAACUCCGGUUUAUAAUUCUUUGCAUGUGGAAGACAUGUGCCUAUAUCAGUUUUGUGUUGGAAAAUAAAGAAAACCUUAGAUUGUUUUUUUUUAUUGCCUCAGAUCAGAAUAAUCAUCAUCAUACACACUUUGCAAACUAUAUGAUGUAUCAUGAUUGUUUAUGAGUUUGCUAGUUACAGGAAUGUAUAAACACUUUGGUACACUUUUGAUUAUUUAUUGUUGAAUGUGAUCAAUGAUUGUUUAUGAGUUUGCUAGUUACAUUACAUGAAUGUAUCAAUACUUACACUGCUUGUUACACAUCAGGUUUGAUGUUUGGGCUCUUGUGAUUAGUUUGUUUAUUGUUGAAUGUGUGUGAUAAUAUUGCGGCUGGCCGAGCUGGCUGGUUAAAGAACACAACCAGACAGUAAAGUAAAACAGUCGCAUACAUUAAAGAUUUUGUGGAACGUAUAACCAGCUCCUGUCUGUCCUAGAAUUGGCGGUUCAGGAUAGAACUGUUCCUUACAUACUGGAACUUCCAGUAGAAUUUGAUGCUAAUUGUUGGUCCUAAACUAGUGUGUAUCAGUUGCUAUGUGAUCUCAUAACUGGACCUUAUCUUAUGGUUUGUGCUUGAGGUUUCUGAGAAAUCGCUGGGUUCAUUUGAUUCUUCUGGUUUGACAAUUAGUUUCUUGUUAUGGACACGGUGAAAUCAGACUCAAAUCGGUGGAAUAAGACAGCCUCAAAGAAGGCAGACAUAAUCAUGUUUGCUCUUGAUUCAUCUUCAAUCUCAACAGGACAUUAAAAUCAAUUUGUAGCUUUAUUUUGUUAGUAUAUAGAUUUGAUGAAAUAAACAACCUUUAAAUUAUAAAUAUAAAGAUGAAAAUAUUCUUAAACAUGAAACCGUUUUGAUCAAGAUUCAAAAAAAACUUCAUUAAAAGAUAGGGACAUCUUCUGAAACAUAUCCAAAAAGCUCUAAUGAAAAACAGCAAGAUAAGGUCUUUGAGAUGUAAUGCAAACUCAAGGCCUAGGAAGAUCCUCCUUAACGGUUGGCCUUCGCAACUCUCUCAAUCUCAUCCUUCUUCUUGAUGGCAUAGCUGCAAAAAAACAAGACAAGAUGCUAUUAGUAUUUAGCAACAAACAAACACAAUUUGUGAACCCGCUUUAAGAGACAAGACAAUGUAAAGAUGUUUACCUGUUGGAAGAUCCCUUGGCAGCAUUGAUGAGCUCAUCAGCAAGGCACUCAGCGAUUGUCUUGAUGUUUCUAAACGCAGCUUCACGUGCACCAGUGGUGAGCAAGAAGAUGGCUUGGUUCACACGUCUUAGAGGAGAGAUAUCAACAGCCUGCCUCCUAACCACACCAGCAGAUCCAAUCCUCGUCGCAUCCUCACGUGGACCACUAGCUCACCAAUAAAACACACACAACAUUAGAAAAAAAGGUUUCUAGUAACACGCAAUAAAGAAUGCAACAUUGUUGUCUUACCUGUUGACAAUGGCAUCAAUGAUAACCUGAAUAGGGUUCAAGUCAGUCAAGAGAUGGAUGAUCUCCAUGGCGUGCUUGAUGAUCCUCACAGCCAUCAGCUUCUUUCCGUUGUUCCUUCCGUGCAUCAUGAGAGAGUUCGUGAGCCUCUCAACAAUGGGACACUGAGCCUUCCUGAACCUCUUGACAGAGUAUCUUCCAGCAGUGUGGGGGACAAAGGUCGCGUGCUUAGGAGGCUGAACCCCAAUGUAGUCAACAAGACUAAUGUCUGUGCCCUACCCAUUCACAAAAAAAAAAAACACAAGAUCAACAAAACAAAUACUAAGAACAUAGCCAUUGUUGCCAAUUUAAAUUUUAGAGAUCUAAUAUUCAAAAACAAACCAAACAACACAGAAAGUGUUGGACUUUAAGACAAAGAAACAUCAGGAUCAACCAAGUGUACUGAGACAAUAAAACAUGAAUUGAAAAUUAACAAAAAUAAAAACAAAAAGAGGACAUUUUUUCCGACAUAACUCCAUGAGUUAUAUCUAAUUCAGACAAUGUAACUAUUUUUUUGUAAUAGACCAAUCAUUUCAUUGUAGAAUUAGAUCCUAUAAAGAUUGCAAAUGAGCUAUCGUAAACUUACCGAAACGUCAUCAAAGCUCCAGCGAUUGAAGAGCUUGACCUCGUUGGUAAGCUGCUGCUGAAUCUCAGCGUCAAUCUCAACGGCGGCGGCCAUGGCUGGAAACACCAAACAUACUUACACUGCUUGUUACACAUCAGGUUUGAUGUUUGGGCUCUUGUGAUUAGUUUGUUUAUUGUUGAAUGUGUGUGAUAAUAUUGCGGCUGGCCGAGCUGGCUGGUUAAAGAACACAACCAGACAGUAAAGUAAAACAGUCGCAUACAUUAAAGAUUUUGUGGAACGUAUAACCAGCUCCUGUCUGUCCUAGAAUUGGCGGUUCAGGAUAGAACUGUUCCUUACAUACUGGAACUUCCAGUAGAAUUUGAUGCUAAUUGUUGGUCCUAAACUAGUGUGUAUCAGUUGCUAUGUGAUCUCAUAACUGGACCUUAUCUUAUGGUUUGUGCUUGAGGUUUCUGAGAAAUCGCUGGGUUCAUUUGAUUCUUCUGGUUUGACAAUUAGUUUCUUGUUAUGGACACGGUGAAAUCAGACUCAAAUCGGUGGAAUAAGACAGCCUCAAAGAAGGCAGACAUAAUCAUGUUUGCUCUUGAUUCAUCUUCAAUCUCAACAGGACAUUAAAAUCAAUUUGUAGCUUUAUUUUGUUAGUAUAUAGAUUUGAUGAAAUAAACAACCUUUAAAUUAUAAAUAUAAAGAUGAAAAUAUUCUUAAACAUGAAACCGUUUUGAUCAAGAUUCAAAAAAAACUUCAUUAAAAGAUAGGGACAUCUUCUGAAACAUAUCCAAAAAGCUCUAAUGAAAAACAGCAAGAUAAGGUCUUUGAGAUGUAAUGCAAACUCCUUACAUAGCCAUUGAACUGCUGUUCAGCUGUCUGAACCUCAGAGGCUGAAGACAUAGUCACAAACCCAAAACCUCUGCUUCUCCCUGUCACCUUGUCAUAGAUAACCUAAACAAAGACAACAAAACGAACAAUCACUAAAACCAAUCUCAAACAACAACAACAACAACAACAAAAAAGAUUCAAUCUUUAUCUCAUUUCUCGAAAACCCAUAACUCAAUUUUGAGUUUUUGACUCGUUACCUCAACCAUCUCGACGUUUCCGGCGCUCUCGAAGAGCUGAGCGAGCUGAGCGCUGUCGACGUUAAAGGGGAGGUUACCGACGAAGAGCUUGAGGUCAGAAGAGAAGGAUUGCUCCCGCCGCGGGGGAGGAGGAGCGUCGUCGUCAGCGAAGAUGCCGUCUUCUUCGACUGAGAAGUCGUCAGUAACCGCGACGUUACGGACGAAGCGAGAGGAAGCGGCGGAGAUGGAGAGGGAGAGGGAGGCGGAGAGGGAGUGGAGAUUGAAGGAGAGGGAAGGAGGUAGGAGGGAAACGGAGGCGGGUCUGGAGAUGGAGAAAGGAAGGGACUUGGGG